AGUAAACCAGCUGGCAUAUUAUCUAAGAGUUGCUGAUGGAAGUGAUUCUAUUUCAACGGUUCUACAGAAAGUGCUUCCUGAAAGGACUAAUGCUGAUGGAAUUUUGGUUAACACAAUAGAGGAACUUGACAAGAUUGGACUAGUGUAUUUCAAGAGCAAAUUUGGCCGACCAGUUUGGCCAAUAGGGCCUGUUCUUCGGUCUACAGGAAGCAAAGCUGGAGCCGGCAAAAGAACAUGGAAUCUCCGCGGAGUUGUGUAAAAAUUGGCUCGAUACAAAGUCAUGCAUAUCAGUUCUUUAUGUAUCGUUUGGUUCACAAAACAAAAUAGCUGUUUCGCAAAAGAUGCAAUUGGCAAUGGCUUUAGAUGCUAGUGGCAAGAAUUUCAUUUGGAUUGUUAGGCCUCCGAUUGGCUUUGACAUAAAUUCUGAGUUUAAAGCCAACGAGUGGCUGCCUGCUAGUGGCAAGAAUUUCAUUUGGAGCAAAAGAUGCAAUUGGCAAUGGCUUUAGAUGCUAGUGGCAAGAAUUUCAUUUGGAUUGUUAGGCCUCCGAUUGGCUUUGACAUAAAUUCUGAGUUUAAAGCCAACGAGUGGCUGCCUCGAGGAUUUGAAGAAAGAGUCAAAGGUUAAGGACAAGGGCUAGUGGUACACAAAUGGGCACCUCAGGUGGAAAUUUUAUCUCAUAAGUCAAUAUCUGCAUUUUUGAGUCAUUGCGGAUGGAACUUGAUCUGCGCUCGAAGCUUUGUGUCAUGGGGUGCCGAUAAUUGGGUAGCCAUUGGCAGCAGAGCAGUUUUAUAAUUCUAAGUUGCUUGGAGAAGAGGUUGGGGUUUGUGUGGAGGUUGCAAGAAGGAUGAAUUGUGCCGUUUGAAAGAGCACAUAGUGGUAAAAAUGGAACUGGUAAUGAAUAAGACUGAGAAAGGAGAAGCAGUGAGAAUGAAUGCUUUAAAAGUUAAGGAGAUUACUGACAAUGCUUUUACAAAUGAAGAAAAUUGUAAGGGAUCUUCUGUGAAAGCCAUGGAUGGAUUCUUGAGUGCAGCAUUGAUAAUGAGGGAGAUGAAAUAGAGAGGAUCAAAUAGUGAGGUUUGCUGGAUGCAUGUUGAGUGCUUCUUGGUUUCUUUUGGCAUUUCUAUAUCUUUUAAUGAGACAUAGUUUUGGGGAAAAAUCACGAGUAAUCGUUGUUGUUGUUUUUAAUUUUUUAAUUUUUAAUUUUUGUUUUUUUUUUUUUUUUUGCUGCGUGUUGUGUGUCUUUUAGUAAAUCAUGAAAAUAUUCUCACACGUUAUACAAAAAAAAAGUGAAUAAAAAUGAAGCAAUGCUUCUGACGCAUAUUGAUUUUAUGGUUGCUCUUAGACACUUUUUAAGAUUUGCUUUGCUAUUUUGGUACAUAAUAGAAAUUUAUCAACACUUUAAUCUAACAACAGAGGUCCAUAGAUAUUAAUGGUGGAGUCACCUCUGUUUUUUCCCGUAUUAGCCUGUGUAUUUGUGAACAAUGUUAUAUAUAUACACACACACACAUACGCCCUUUGCUACAAAAUUUGGCACUAAACUUUUUGGUGACUUAAUUUAUUAAGAAUUUUUUUUUUAUUGCAUGAGACUAUUGUUCAAACUACAACUCAUAUUACAUGAGACUAUAACUGAUAUUAAUAAAUCACACUAUUAAUGGGACCAACAUACAUCAAUGCUAAUGGAACUCUACCCAAAUUUUAACCAUCACUAAUAUUCGAGGGAUUUACAUCAAUGUUAAUGGAGCUCUACCCAGAUUUUAACCCUCAUUAAUAUUCGAGUGAUGUCUACUCCAUUCACUCUGGGACCAACUUACAUCAAUGCUAAUGGAGCUCUGCCCAAAGUUUAACCUUCACUAAUAUUCGAGGGAUGUCCACUCUACUCACUCUGGGACCAACUUACAUCAAUCACUAAUAUUCGAGGGAUAUCGACUCCACUCACUUUGGGACUAACUUAUAUCAAUGCUAAUGGAGAUCUGCCUAAAGCUCUGCCCAGAUUUUAACCCUCGCUAAAAUUUGAGGGAUGUCUGCUCCACUCACUCUGGGACUAAUUUACAUCAAUCACUAAUAUUCGAGGGAUGUCUACUCCACUCUUACAUCAAUGCUAAUGGAGCUCUACCCAGAUUUUAACCCUCACUAAUAUUCGAGGGAUGUCUACUCUACUCUUACAUCAAUGCUAAUGGAGCUCUGCCUAGAUUUUAACCCUCACUAAUAUUUGAGGGAUGUCUACUCCACUCACUCUCGGGUAACAGAAAAGACUACAUUCACUUAAUUAUACAAUAUAAUUAAGGAAGGAAUUACCCUCACAUUGCACUUGUAGGGGUUCAAACUGCUACCCACCAACUUGGAGGGCAACAGCCCUAACCACUCGGCUUUGGCUGAGUGGCUAUAUUUAUCAAGAAUUUAAAUUACUUAAGAGUGGCUAUACUUAAAGGUGUUUUUUUUUUUUUGAAUUUUCCUUACUGAAAAAUAAAAAUAUAAUUAAAACAAAAGAAAAAAAGUCCUAACAAAUUCCACAGUAGCCACCGAUCAAAUGCCCCUCAUUUACUUAGAAUCAAAUUCAUCAUGCUCUAAUUUUGUAAAUCUACAUACACAAAAAAAAAGGAUAUAAAGAUGCAAAUUGGUACUGAAAUUUUAGAAUAUCAAACUUCAAUAUACAAGACAAUAUGAUUUUUUUUUUUUUGGUACUACAAUUAACUAAUUAGUUAGUUAAGUAGAAAUCUAAGUAGUUAUCUUGGAAACAACGUGGCUUUUGCUUACGGGAUAGACAUCAGCAAGUUUCAACGACUUUAAAUCAUCGUGAAAAUCACAAGGUUUACUUCUAGGCGUAUUCUUAUUGGCUUUACAUUUACAUGCAGUGAUGAAAUAAGUAGGUGUUUUGGUCGGCAGUCUGGGAAUUUAUUGAUAAUGUCAACUAGUAACGACGAGUUAGCUUUUGGUGGCUUGAGAUGGUGACUAUGAUAGUGGAAGGUGGCUAGACUUCAUGGAAUUAGCUUUUGCUCUAUUUUCCAAUGAUAGCAAGAUUGGCCCCAUUGGCCAAACUGACAAGCCUAGCUUUCUCUUCAAGUACAUGAAUGCAAUCUGAUCAAACUCUUCAAUGUUAUUACACAAAAUCCCGUUAGAAUUCACCCACGCAGGAAAAUUUUCACCUUGAAACAAAGACCAAGAAUCUGUCCCAUCAGCCUCUAACAUAUUCAAGGUUAAUUGGGAUUUAUGAAUCCUUGAAGCCUCUUCAAAAUCUGGUAACAUAAACUCAUCUGAAGUAACUUUUUUGUGAGGAAGAUUUGUCCAAAAGGAAUAGUAACAAGCCAAGCCAUAGCUACUAGCACCACUAAAAAUUGCAUGAAACACAUUAAACAUCCGUAUAAAUGUAACAAUUUGAAAAGAUUUGUCCAAAAGGAAUAGUAACAAGCCAAGCCAUAGCUCACUCUUAUCUCCAUGUUUGUCUGUCCUACGUUAUAAGGUGCGAUUGUCUUUUUGUUGAGAUUUUUUCUUUGGAAAAAAUCUAAGGUGCUUCAGGUGCAUUAUUAUGUUUCUGUUUAUUUCUUGUUAUGUAUAUAUAAUCGAUUAGUUAUGAAAACAUCCGUAUAAAUGUAACAAACGAUGAAAGAGAGUACUCUGAACUCAUAUUUUGAACUCAUAUUUUUAUAUUAAUAAUAUGUUCCAUAGGCAUUCUUUAUUUAUUUUUUAUUUUUAAGAUGAGGAGAAUUAAAAUAUAAAUUUUAACCUCAAUUUUUUUCCUUAAAAAUUAAACUUGAGUGAUCAACCAAAUAAAGAUUCUAAAAAUUGAAUUUGGCUGACUCAUGGGACUUCCAUUAAAGUCAUUUGUUGAUGAAGAGGACUAGCCAAUUUUUGAGCUAACGUUUGACGAUGAUUGUAAUCCUGAUUUUAGAUUAAGGAAUAAAAUAUGCAAUUUAUGUGUUGAGUUUUUCGGAAUAAACUUAUUGUAGCUUUUGUGGAGAUUACGAAAUUGUUAACAUGGAAGAGUUAAAGAUAUGUCAUGUCCAUUUAGACAAAAUUACAUAAUUGGUCAAGAGUGUGGAUGAGUGGUUUUCAAUCGAUUUUAUUUAGCUAGCCAUCCGAAUCUAAAUCUUAAGAAAAGUAAGGGACUGAAAAUUAAUUUAAACUUUAUUCAUCCCUUAUCAUUUAAAAAAUAUAAUAAAAUAAAUUAUUUUCAUUUCUUCAUGACGAUGAGUCGACGAUGUUAAGGAACGUGUCCAUGACCAAAUGGCGGACCCAAUUCUUCACCAACUAAUUUCUAGAGAGAAGGAAAUUAAGAGUCCAUAAUUGGAACUCAAAUUGGCCAUACAUCCUGGUAAAAUUAUUCUUAUUGUAUUUAACUAUUUAGUCUAAACUUGACAAUUAUUAGAGAACGCAACGUUAUCUUUAAACAUACCAUUAAUCAGUCCCCAUAACAUACUUCAAACCUCAUUAUUAUUUGAUCAAUCCUCCUCCUUCUGUGCCUUCUUCAUCAUCAACGCAGCAUCCAAGAAUUGUUCCAUGGCUUUUACAGAAGACCCCUUAAACUUUUCUUCAUUUCUAACAGCAUUCUUAAUAAUCAUCUCAACCUCAGAAGCUUUCUUUCUCAAGUCCAUUCCUUUCUCAGUCUCAUUCAUCACCAACUCAAACUUUGCACUUAAGUUCUCUUUCGAAACCUCACAAUUCAUCCCUCUAGCAACCUCCACACAAACCCCAAUCACUUCUUCAAGCAACUUAGAAUUAUAAAACUGCUCUGCUGCCAACGGCCACCCAAUUAUCGGCACCCCAUGACUCAAAGCUUCAAGCACUGAGUUCCAUCCGCAAUGACUCAAAAAUGCAGAUAUUGACUUGUGAGACAAAAUCUCCACUUGAGGUGCCCAUUUUUGGACCACUAGCCCUUGUCCUGAAUCUUUGAUUCUUUCUUCAAAUCCUUCAGGCAGCCACUCAUUGGCUCUAAAUUCAGAGUUCAAGUCAAAACCAAGUGGUGGCUUAACAACCCAAAUGAAGUUCUUGCCACAAGCCUCUAAAGCCAUUGCCAAUUGCAUCAUUUGUGAUGCAGCUAUUGUGUUUUGUGAACCAAACGAGACAUAAAUAACUGAAUUGCAUGGCUUGGUAUCAAGCCAAUUUUUACACGACUCUGUGGAGAUUCCGUACUCUUUUCCUGCCCCAGCUCUGCUCCCGGUUGACAAAAGCAGGGGCCCAACUGGCCAGACGGGUCGGCCAAGCUUUCUACUGAAAUAUAUUAGAGGGAAAAGGACAUUCAACCCCCCAACGUUCAGGAAAAUGGAUAAAAAACCCCUGAACGUUUUAAAAAGGACUUAUAACCCCCUUUCCGUUAACAAACACCGUUUGUUUUAAUAGUAAAUUUAUUUUUAAUUUUUAAUUAACAUUAUACCCUUAUAAUAAAAAAAUUAAUAUAUUAAUUUGAGAUAUAUCAUAAUUAAUAAUUUUUUAAAAGCUUAAAGUUGAGAUACACUUAUUUUUUUGCCUAAAUUAUUUACUAUAAAUUAUACCUUUCUAACAAUAAUAAUAUGGUUUUGAUUCCUCAAAGAAAAAAGGUUUAAUCAAAUUUUGUUUUAUUAGUAAUAAUCACAUAUGAAAGGUUUGAUCAUUAGAAAGGUAUACUUUAUAGCAAAUAAUUUGGAUAAAAAUGUAAUUGUAUCUCAAUUUUUAGUUUUAAAAAAUAUUAAUUGUGACAUGUCUCAAAUCAAUAUAUUAAUUUAUAUUUAUUAUAAGGGUAUAAAGUAAUUAAAAAUAAAAAAUAAAUUUACUGUUAAAACAAACGGUGUUUAUUAACGAAAAAGGGGUUAUAAGUCAUUUUGGAAACAUUGAGGGGUUUUUUGUCCCUUUUCCUAAACGUUGGGGGGUUGAAUGUCCUUUUCCCUAUAUUAGACCAAUCUUGUCAAGCUCCUCUACUGUGUUAAACAAGAUUCCAUCGGCAUUCAUCCACUGAGGAAGCACUUUCUGAAAAAAUACUGAAAGUGAAUCACUACCAUCAGCAAGUCUUAAAAACUUUGUCAUCUGAGUUACAUGAAUUCUUGAAGCUUCAGGAAAAUCCGGCAAUAGAAAUUCAUCGGAAUCCCGAUGGGGUAGGUUUAGCCACAAAGAGUAGAAACAAGCAAAGCCAAAACUACCACCUCCUACAAAUAGAGCAUUAAAAAUACCAUAUUCUUGUGCUAUCUCUGCACUCCAUGCAAAGAACAUAUCUGCAAUGAUGCAAACCGGUUUAUGGCCAUUUUGUUCAUCAAAAAGACCAUUGAUGAGUUUCCUGAAAUGGGGUUUAAAUGAUAAAGUGGAUUCAAAGAAAUUUGGAAAGAGAUGAAAAGGAAGAGAAUCAGUGUUUUCAGUACAAGGAGGGAGGUCAUGAGCUAUGCCAUCGAAGGGAAUUUCACGAAGGUGAAUGGAGGAGUUUUGAGGGAGAGACGAUUUGAGUUUCUUGAGGUUUGAAGGGGUGUUAACAAAAGUUAUAGUGUAUCUGUUUGUAUUCUCCAGGUGAAGGGCUAAUGCAAGGAAUGGGAUUAUAUGGCCUUGUGCCAUGAGCGGGAACAUCACUAUGUUCUCUUUUCUUUGUGCCAUUCUUGUUAAUAGGAAAAAAGAGCAGUGAGUACAGGAUGAGGUAAAGAAGAUGCGUGGGGUGUGUGAUACACAUACACACGGCUUUUAUAACAGUUAGAAGAAUUUAGCGUACGUUAAGAAUUAAUCUUAAGCUAAUACUAUUGGUUCAAACAGGUACAUAUAAUAAAGAGAAAAUUAAAAAGAAAAUUAAUAAUAAUAAUAAUGCUGCAGACAGGAACUCUGUGAAACUUUCCUAAGCGACGUGUCAAAAAUUUGACCGCAUUACUCCACCCAUCGACCCCAACCAAUCCAAGGUUAGUGUGAGGGGAAUUCGAACUUUUAAUCUCUUUGAAUUCAAUUAAACAACUGAGUCCUCAGAAUUUUCUCAAAAUUAUUUACUCAGCCCGCCGAGCAAUAAAUUAUACGUUGUCCUCUUGACCUCUUCGAUAAUGAUGGUAUACAAAUUGAUUUGCUGAACUCGGUUUGUUUUAUCUCUCUAUUUCUAUUCUUAUGUCAGCUAACAAACAGGGAUGGUGCUGCCGAUUCCAUUAAAGGGCCAACUGCAGGACACCUCACUCGUACUAUUUUCCAACCCACUCACUCACACUUUUUCAGAUGGAAAACAGGGAUGAUUAAAUUGUUCAAUAAUACUUCAUAGACCUCUUAACUUUCCUCCAGAAAAAUUUAAGAAUCAUACCCACUCCCCUUAUCUACCACUUAUAUACUACAACAAAUAAUAGUAUUACCGGCGAGAUAUUUCCGAGAGUUUUAUUUACUUUUGGUACUAAAUAUUUUUUUUUGCAAAGGUGAAAAAGAACUAUCAAAAAAACAUUAAAAAACUAUUAGCUUUUUCAAGAGCAAAUUGCUAUCGGUAAUAAAUAAUACACCAGUCGGAAGUACAACUAUACAAGGGCAUAAUUAAUGAUAAAUCUUCUCAAGUUCGACCUAAUGUCAGUGAUCUGUUAAAAAUAAAUGAGUGGCUAAUUAAAUUAUGCACUGGCUCUGCUAAUUAAUAAAGAAUCAUAAGUAAAUAACUAAUCACCUGGCCAGUUGGUCCCCUCUUUAUUCUUAAUCUAGAAACAUCGACUCCACUGAACUUCAUGUUACUAACAAAUAAUUGGCCUUGUUGAUCGUCUCCAUACGCCCCGAUCAGCCCACAAGGAACCCCAAAGCCUACGCUAAGCCCUCGAAUAGUAUUGGUGACACUACCUCCAGCUAUUGUCUUUAUAGGAGAGGCUCAUCCAGAAUGUGGGUUUUCACUUCACUCAAUAUAUGCUCAAGCUCUUCAAUUGCAACCUACACAACAUUUUUAAUUUCGAUUUUUUUUCUAGCCACAAAGAAUUGCUUAUGAAAAAAAAUAAUAAUUAAUAUAUAUAUAUAUAUAUAUACGUACAGCAGAUAAAUAGAAAAAAGAAAUCAAGUAGAAUGAAAUUGUUAAAAAUAAAUGAGUAGCACAUGUUGCAGCUGCUGGAGAAUUUAAUAACAAUGUUCCUUAUCUGAGAGUGCACAAUGUGGCUGAAAUUAAGGUAAUGCCUAUAGUGCAGGAAGAGUCAAAGAUUGUCAAACAGACUUCGCUUCAAAAUGAACAAAGGCGGUCGAUGAGAAAUAAAUGCGGAGAAAGUACACUGAAGCUUACUGAUUUCCUUUGACCACUGAAGAUUUCCUUCCUGCCUUUUUAUAGGCUUCCUCUGAAUCUCAGUCCUCCGCUCUUUUCGAGACGGUAUGGGACUUCAACUGCUGCGUUAUGGGCAAAACAUGGGAUCUAGCGUGUUAUGCCACGGUUCAGGGGAAAGCGUGGCUGCCACGGCUCUGUGAGACCUUGCGUGUUACGCCACGGUUCGGGGGAAAGUGUGGCUGUCAUGGCUCUCGGGUCUCCUCGACGACAACAUCGUGGACGAGCAGGAUGUUUCUGAUCCUGUUCUUCCACGCGCUAGGCUUUAACGGAACACAUCGGUUCGCAGAACUCCGCCAUCAGAUGUCUGCUCGUCAUUCCUGGUCCCUUCGACGCAUUUGUCCCAAACAGUAUCCCUCCCAAACAACUAACAUAUUAUUUUCUGUUUGGAUUCUAAUUACUGAAUAUUAUUUGAGUCUACGUUCAAAACCAUGCAUGCUGAGUGUUGGAUAAUCAGGAAAAUAAUACUACUAUGUUUCAAUUUUUUAUUUUUUUUUGGGUUAAUUUAUAUGCAUAUAUAAUUUGACAGCUGAUGAGUUUUCAGUUGAGCUAGCUGAAGGGCUUGCUUUUGUUGCUGCUCGUGAUGAUGAAUCCAAACUCUUUAUGGUAGUUUUACUCUCUUUCAAGGUUUGUGAACAAUUUAUACUUGGCGAUGAUUGAUUCUUCAAGUAGCAAUUAUUUCAUACUCCUUGUUUGGCAUUCUUCAUUGUAUUAUAGUUUAUGGAGAAAGAAGUGAAGAGGUUGAAAAGAAUAGUGAAGCUUGCACUUGGAAACUCAAGUGCACAAGAAUCACCUCUUACGUUACAGAUUGCUAAUUUUCAUUUACUUUCAAGCUUUUUAAAAAUUUUUUUUUUCACUUUCUAAUCCAUAGAAACUAACCAUAACAGGGUUUUGUAACUGAUAGACCAGAUUACCGCAAGCACAUAAAUCCUCUAAUGGCAGUGUUGCAUUUUUCGGCCUCUCUAAAUUUAUAGGUUAGCAAUACUUGCUAAAUUUAGAAUCCAACUCCUGCUGUUGACUUCAAAUAUUAGCAUAUUUUCUUAUUGAUACAAAAUAUUGCUCUAAUGAUUAUUAUCCAUUCCAGUCUCAUAUUUUGUCAGGCUUCUUAAGCAUAUCUUGGAUAUAAUACUUAUGCUUAAUUCUAUACAAACUGAUUGUCGAAAUAACAUACUAUUAUACUAGUUACUGAUUUGAUAAUUUACUGAUUAAUAUUUCUUCGUUGAUCUAGGAUAUUAUUUGGUAUACUAAUGAUGAUGUGGGGAUGGAGCAGAUUCAUAUUUCUUGAUUCAUAUAGGAUAUUAUUUGGUCGAAUGAAGAUGAUGAUGGGAAUGAAGAAGAUGAGGUAGAGGCAAACGUAGGUCUCAGAGACUAAAGAACAUGUGUUGGAGGAUGCUUGAAAUAAUUCAUGCUAUGAAAUCAUUUUGCGUAUACAUUUGAGAUUUUUUUUAAAAAAUAUACUAUUAAAAUUGAUUAUGUUGUACUGUUGAUUGGUGAAUGCAAUUUCUAUAAAUUUUUGAAAUUAAUGAAGCUAUAUUUAAUGUAUUUUGCGUGUUGCUAUUGCUAUUUUGUUGAUUAUGUUGCAUUGGUAAUACAGAUACUUAAAAAGAAUAAAAGUAAAAAGCGUAAUAAAUAAUAAUAUUAAAUAAAUUAAAUGGGUCACUAAAUAAAAAAGAAGAAGCAUAUUUCCAGCGUGUUUCUUGCAUUUUCGAGGGUAAAUUAUGGUUGGAAUAGUAAUCAUUUGUGUUCUCCAGCCUCAUUUCCAAGGGAAGUUAAUGCGAUCUCGAAGGGCAAAUGCAAUUGGAAAUAUGUAAUUUUUGGUUUUAUAGAAUCAUUUUCGAGGGCAUUUGAUGUCAUUUCUGACGGCACGGCUAUUGAAAAUAAUUUUUUUCUCUAACGACCCAUUGAAAGUUGUACUUUUUCGAUGCAACUUAAUACAACGACGGUCGACGGCAUGAUUUUCUCAAAAAUAAGUUUUUCCAAAAGUGUUUGUGUAUUUCCAAGAGUAUUUACCCUUAGAAAUAACCGUUUUUCUUUUAGUGUUAAUCCUCUACUUUUUCUCCUUCUGAUCCUCAUCAACAACAAUGGCACAGAGGAAAGAAACCAUAGUUUUGUUUCCAUUCAUGGCACAAGGUCAUUUAAUCCCUUUCCUGGAAUUAGCCCUUCACCUAGAGAAAACAAAUAAAUGCACCAUAACUUUUGUUAACACCCCUUUGAACCUCAAUAAACUCAAACCUUCUCUCCCUCAAAAUUCCUCCAUUAACCUUUUUGAAAUUCCCUUCCAUAGCAUAGAUCAUAAUCUCCCUCCUUGUACUGAAAAGUGAAAACACUGAUUCUGUUCCUCAUCAUCUAGUUUCCAAACUCAUUGAAGUUACUUUAUCGUUUAAGCCCCAUUUCAAGAAACUCGUCAAUGAUCUUAUUCACUAAACCCAUUAAAUCCAUUUAUGAAUACUUAAUAAAUGUGUCAUGGAAUUUCUUAUAAAUUUAUUAAAAAUCUAGAAAGUUCUAGUAGCUCGUCAACCACUGAACAUUGACUUAAGUUGGCAACACCAUGAUCAAAUAAGAAGAUGACCCAUUCGCCUCAAAACCAAACCAAGAGCUUUAUCUCUCUAAAUAUGUACUAUAAACAAAAAUAAUUAUAAAAAAAGAGUAGAAAACAAAAGACAACUCAAAUAUGAAAUUAUUUUUUAAUUAUAGAAUUUGACAUUGCAACCUAUAAUAACUUGUAAUUAUAUAAGGAUUAAAAAAUCAAUUAAGAAUUUUAAAUUAAAAUAGAUCAAUACAUGUAAUUAUAAUUAAUUAAAAAUUGUAAGUAAAACUUUUAUGCUUGAAGUGAAGUACUAAAUUACCCGACUUAAUAAAUUAAAUAAUUAAAAUUUAUUUAUCCUUUUAAAUUGUAAAAGUAUUUUUAAUCAAAAGUUUUAAUAAUAAACUAAACUCAAUUUAGCAAAAAGAUAUUUGGGUGCAGUUAUUUCUUUGUCAGAUGCUCUAUCUCUCUACUAAACUCAAUUCAGCAAAAAGAUAUUUGGGUGCAGUUAUUUCUUUGUCAGAUGCUCUAUCUCUCUUUAAAGAACUAGAAGUUGAUAAUUCUUCUAUUAAAAGCUCUUAAAAUACUCAAAUUUUAUUUUCUACUUGUCAUCUUAGUUAAUAUAACUAAUAAAUAAAAUCUGAAAAUUCACAUUAAAAUUUUAUGAAAAUAUUGAUAAUUGUUACUAUAUGUUAUUUCUGUAAGUACUUUUAAGUCUAGUGAUGAUGUUAUAUUACAUUGACAUAUAUAUUUUUUAAUUAGAAGCUUUUUAAAAUAAAUUAAAGCAGUAAUAAAAUUUUAACACCCUAAUGUUUUCAAUCUAUUCAAUAAAUAUAUAAUUUAAUCAUUUUAUAAAAUAAGUCACUAAUUUCAAUUGAAAAUAAUAUAAUUGACUUAGGGACACAUUUAUAAAUAAAAUAAAAACUCUAUUAUUAUAUAAAAUUAAUGAAAACAUAUGGGUAAUUGAGUUAGGGACAUAUUUAAAUAUAAAAUGAAAACUCUAUUGUUAUACUAAAUUGAUGAAAAUGUAAGGGUAGUUGAGUUAGGGAUAUAUAUGAAACUAAAAUGAAAACUCUAUUGUUUUAUUAAAUUAUUAAAAAAGUAAGGGGUGUAAAUGAUUUUUUUAAACUAGACCGGGCUACAGCCCGGUCUAGCCCACGUGCAGGUCCGCCACUGCUCAAAACAAAAUAUCACUUCUCAAAUAAGCCAGAUGAUUGAUGUCAAAGAAAAGGACCACAAAUCAAACAAAGAAAAGAGUAACGUCUUUCAAUUUCAGCUAAAUACUUCACACAAACAAAAAAGAGUACAAGGUGGAAAGCACUUACACAACACUAGAGGAGAUAUUUGCAGUAUAAAUGAUCCGAAACAAGGAUAGGGUUUAACAAAAGUAUGUUGAAUGUAAAGAUGGGUUCAAAUAUCAAAAAUUAUUAUUUUUUAUUAUAUUUUAGUAUCCACAAUUGUAAUUUAAUUUAGGCAUAUUUUAAUCAUUAAAAAUUAUUUUCAAAAAUAAGUUUAAUAAGUAAUUUAGUGAGUUUAAAUAACCAUAUCUUCUUAAAUUAUGAAUGUUAUUUGGUCUUUAAAAUGAACCAAAAUUACCAAAAUGACCCCACUCCCCUUCUUUACCUCUUAUUCCUCUGCUUCUUUCUCCUCCGAUGAUCCUCAUCAACGCCAAUGGCGCAAAGAAAAGAGAAUAUAGUGAUGUUCCCAUUCAUGGCACAAUGCCAUAUAAUCCCUUUCCUAACAUUAUCCCAUCGCUUGGAAGAAACAAACAGAUACACCAUAACUUUUUUUAACACUUAACAUCCUUUUAAACCUCAAGAAACUCAAAUCAUCUAUCCCUCAAAAUUCCUCCAUUCACCUUCUUGAAAUUCCUUUCAAUAGCACAGACUACGACCUCCCUCCUUGCACCGAAAAACACAGACUCUAUUCCAUAUCGUCUCUUUCCAAAAUUCCUUCAAGCUUCAUCGUCGCUCAAACCCCACUUCAAAGAAUGCUGCAUUGAUAAUGAAACAGAUGGAAAAGGAAGCAUCAAAGAAUGAGGUCUGAUUUGCGUGGAAGGAAGUCUCUGUUACCAUUUCUGUCAAUGAAAAAUAAUGUAAUCUCUUAACGAGACAAUUCUGGGAAAUUUCUUGUAGUAACGUUAUCUUUUAAUGUAAUAGGCUAGUUAGUGGCAAGAAUUUCAUAUUUCUUUUAUUAAAUAUGAAAUAAAAUAAGAAAUACCAAAUCCGAAGAGUUUAAAUGAGCAUCAGCCCCCGACAAAAUUUGAGAAACCUCAAAUACAAAACCAUAAAUUUACACUCCUAAAUCGUACACCUGAAUUGUUAGAUGUCACUAUAGCCUUUAAAUCAAUUGUCCUCAAUUUUUUUAAUUAUAUUCAACUGGCCCUGAAUUCUGAUGGCAACAAAAAACUUAAGCUUUCAUAAGCAACUAUGAACAAUACUGACUUUUAAUUUUUGAACACUGAUAGUGUGUCUGAAUUAUUUAUGAUAUCACCCCACUCCCCUUCUUCUCCAAUGGCAUAAAGAAAAGAGAACGUGAUAAUGCUCCCAUUCAUGGCACAAGGCCAUGUAAUCCCUUUCCUAGCAUUAGCCCAUCACUUAGAAAGCACAAAGAACUACACCAUAGCUUUUGUUAACACCCACUUAAACAUCAAGAAAAUCAAAUCAUCUCUCCCUCAAAGCUCCCCCAUUCACUUUCUUGAAACUCCCUUCAAUAUCAUAGAUCAUGAUCUUCCUCCUUGUACUGAAAACACGGAUUCUCAUCCAUUUGAUGUUGUUAGAAAACUCCUUGAAGCUACUUUAUCCUUUAAACCCCAUUUCAAGAAACUCAUCAUUGAUCUUAUUGAUGAACAAAAUGGCCACAAACCGCUCUGUAUCAUCACAGAUAUGUUCUUCGGUUGGUGCAAAGAGAUAGCACAAGAGUACGGUAUUUUUCAUGCUAUAUUUAUAGAAGGUGGUGGCUUUGGCUUUGCAUGUUACUACUCUUUGUGGGUAGACUUGCCUCAUCGGAACACAGAUUCGGAUGAAUUUUUGUUGCUGGAUUUUCCUGAAGCUUCAACAAUUCAUGUCAACCAGCUGGCAUGUAUCUAAGAGUUGCUGAUGGAAGAGAUUCUAUUUCAACGGUUCUACAGAAAGUGCUUCCCGAAUGGACUAAUGCUGAUGAAUUUUAGUUAACACAAUAGAGAAACUUGACAAGAUUGGACUAAUGUAUUUCAAGAGCAAAUUUUGCCUACCAGCCUGUUCUUCGGUUUACAGGAAGCAAAGCUGGAGCUGGCAAAGAACACGGAAUCUCCGCAGAGUUGUGUAAAAAUUGGCUCGAUAGAAAGCCAUGCAGAUCAGUUCUUUAUGUGUCAUUCGGUUCACAAGACACAAUAGCUGUUUCGCAAAUGGUGCAAUUGGCAAUGGCUUUAGAGGCUAGUGGCAAGAAUUUCAUUUGGAUUGUUAGGCCUCCGAUUGGCUUUGACAUAAAUUCUGAGUUUAGAGCCAACGAGUGACUGCCUUGAGGAUUUGAAGAAAGAGUCAAAGGUUCAGGACAAGGCCUGGUGGUACACAAAUGGGCAUCUCAGGUGGAAAUUUUAUCUCAUAAGUCAAUAUCUGCAUUUUUGAGUCAGUGCGGAUGGAACUCAAUCUGCGCUUGAAGCUUUGAGUCAUGGGGUGCCGAUAAAUGGGUGGCCAUUGGCAGCAGAGCAGUUUUACAAUUCUAAUUUGCUUGGAGAAGAGGUUGGGGUUUGCGCGGAGGUUGCAAGAGGGAUGAAUUGUGCCGUUUUGAAAGAGCACAUAGUGGUAAAAAUUGAACUGGUAAUGAAUGAGACUGAGAAAGGAAAGCCAAUGAGAAUGAAGGAUUUAGAAGUUAAGGAGAUUAUUGACAAUGCUUUUAGAAAUGAUGAAAAUUUAAGGGAUCUUCUGUGAAAGCCAUGGAUGGAUUCUUGAGUGCAGCAUUGAUAAUGAGGGAUAUGAAAUAGAGAGGACCAAGGAAUGAGGUUUGCUGGAUGCAUGUUGAGUGCUUCUUUCUUUCCUUUGGCAUUUCUAUAUCUUUUAAUGAGACAUAGUUUUGGGGAAAAAUCACUAGGAAUCGUUGUUGUUGUUAUUUUAUUUUAUUUUUUUUGCUGCGUGUUGUGUGAAGUGGUGAAAAAACUGCUCAACCUAACCUUUCAACGAACACUCCCCAAGAUCCUCGAUUAGAAUCAACAAGAUGCUUAAGAGAUGAUCUGAAUCACUAAUAAAGAAUCCAUGUAUGAACAAGAUGAUGACUGAUUCAGAAAUGAUCAAAGAAUUAAUCAACAAUUCAAAGAGUCACAGAAGAGAGCUAUUAACGUGGCUCAGUCAAUUUGCAUUGACCUACAUCCACGAGGGUAUUGAUUGAUUCAAGCCACAUUUACACAGAGUUUUACAGAGCAUAUCAAGGAACAAGAAAACCGCACACGCACCAGCUAUCUCUCUCUCUCUCUCUCUCCCGAAUGCUCUCGAAUCCCCUGUUUUUCACACCAGAUGCAGCUGUGUAGAUAGCCGUUAACGAACCCAGAAAACUUUUCCAGGAGCGCACGUGUUUGUCAUGUGAAUUAACGGCCUCGUAACAGCUUUUCAAGUCACGUGCAUUGCGUAUGCUUUAUUAAUCUGAAAACGGCAAAGCUUCUGUUCGUUUAAGCUAGCAAAUUAAAUGUACAUCAAAACACAGAUCUUGCUUGUCGUUUUGCCUUAGUCAUAGACAUACCAAAACCCAAAUCACCUCUGUCGUUUUGAUCUCUUUGAUUUGCUUCACUAGUUUACACAACAUCGUGUGUCUUUUAGUAUAUCAUGAAAAUAUUCUCACACGUUAUAAAAAAUGAAUAAAAAUGAAGCAAUGCUUCUGACGCAUAUUGAUUUUAUGGUUGCUCUUAGGCACUUUGUAAAGAUUUGCUUUGCUAUUUUGUUACAUAAUGGAAAUUUAUCAACACUUUAAUCUAAUAACAGAGGUCCAUAUAUAUUAAUGGUGCAGUCACCUCUGUAUUUUCCUGUAGUAGCCCGUGUAUUUGUGAACAAUGUUUUUAUUUUUAUUUUUUUAAUACGCCCUUGGCCACAAAAUUAGGCACUAAACUUUUCGGUGACUUAUAAUACUUAUCAAGAAUUUGAAUUAAUUUAGGAGUGGUGAUAUUUGAACCCUUCAAUUUCUCUAUCCAAUUCUCAUUUUUCUUAAUUAAUGUCAUUUAUUUUUUGAAUUACCCGUAUUGAAAAAUAAAAAAUAUAAUUAAAACAAAAGCAAAAAAAGUGCUAACAAAUUCCACAAUAGCCACCGAUCAAAUUCCCCUUAUUUAUUUAGAAUCAAAUUCAUCAUGCUCUAAUUUUCUAAAUCUACAUACACGAAAAGAAAAAAAAUAUAUAAAGAUGCAAAUUAGUACUGAAAUUUUAGAAUAUCAAAGUUCAAUAUACAAAAUAAUAUGAAUUUUUUUUUUUUUUUUGGGUACUACAAUUAACUAAUUAGUUAGUUAAGUAGAUAUCAAUGUAGUUAUCUUGGAAACAACAUAGCUUUUGCUUACGGGAUAGACAACAGCAAGCUUCAACGACUCUAAAUCGUCGUGCAAAUCACAAGGUUUAAAUUCUAGUCAUAUUCUUAUUGGCUUUUACAUUUACAUGCAGUGAUGAAAUAAUUAGGUUUUUUGGUCGGCAGUUGGGGGAUUUGUUGAUAAUGUCAUCAAGCAACGACGAGUUAGCAGUUUGGUGGCUUGAGAUGGUGACUAUAAUAGUGGAAGGUGGCUAGAGUUUAUGGAAUUAGCUUUAUAAAAGUAAUUGAUAAUGAAAAAUAAAUAAAUAAAUAAAGGUGAGGGGUGGUGAAAGAAAGUGAGGAGGUGAAAUAUCGCCAGUCAUACUUUAUAAUAAUAUAGGGCUUUCAGUAACAAUAAAGUUGGAAUCGAAAGCCCACGCCCACACCCUAAAUCAAACCCAGCGCCAAUCACAUCAUUUGGGUUGGUUUUCGAUGUUAGAAAUCCAGCCCAUUUUAAUGGUAGGCUGGACUAAGUUGAAUUUGACAAAAGCGGGGUUUUAACUCUCUCGCAAAACUCUUAUGAAGCCUUCCCUUCGUACUUAUAUCUCUUUCUUUGAUAAAAGUUAUAAAAAAGGAUCAAUAAAUUACAAUAAAUUUUGAAUUAAAUUUUACUAUUUAAAUUGUGAACAUACUAUUUCAAACUAAAAUACUUAUUAUUAGAUAAUUUAUUUCUUCAUUGAUUCAAAAGUAUAAUGAUUUUUAUAUAUUAAAGAAAAGUUAUUUAUAUAUAUGUUAGGAUUCAAUCAUUCAAAGAGAGUUAGAUCCAUUAUUUGUCCUUCAAUAUAAUAGAACUAUGAUUAUAAAAAUGGGUUUUCAUAAGAAUAUUAAAAGGGUGUGAAAACUGAAAAGUAUUACUCGCUCACAAACUCAUACGACCCAAGCCCAUGUAUUUAAUAUAUAUAUAUAUAUAUAUAAUGAUUUUAUUGAUAAAUUAGCAUGAAAGAAAAAUAAAUGCCAACUAUUUAUUUUGGUAUAAUUGGAAAUUUGCAUCUCUUGAUUUAUCAUUGGCACUUAGGGUUGGGCAUAGAUUGGGUUUGUGAAAAUCAACCCAAUCUACUAUUGAAUAGAUUGAGAUAAAUUCAACCUAACCUAAUUAAAUAAACAAAAUCAAUGGGUUGAGUAAGGUUGGAUUGAUCGGGUUGAAGAUUAAAUCAAAAUUAAAAGUUUAAUAAAGAAAAAAGAUGUAAAACUUAAAAUGAAACUUAUUAAAAUUAAAUAUAAAUCUAUUAUAACAUGAAAUUUCAUUCACCAUUGAGUGUUCGAUAAAGAAAGUUAAAAGAUUAGCUAUCUAAAAAUUUCAAUGAUGAGCUCUUCGACUUUAUUCCUGGUUCCUCGCAUCUCUUUUUCAAACUCUAAGUUUAGACCUUUUAGAUAAUUAAUUAGCAUCAUUUUCAAUAACAAAAUGAAAGUGGUAUAUAAUAAUAUAAAAUAAAUAUUUAUUAAAAAAUAAAGAGAAAUUGAAAUCAACUUACUUUCAAAAUUAUACUUAAAAGAUAAUAAAUUCACUUAUAUGAGAGAGAGAUUUUAGUUUUGGAAUUAGACUUUAGAGCAACAAAUACGAGAAUGAAAUAGUCUUUUCGAUAUAAAAAUAAAAAGAGUUAAAAAUUAGGUUAGUCGUUUAGGUUUUCAGGAUUUUACAGUUGAGGAUUAAUAUGUGUGUGUAUUUGCAAAUGUUGAAUUAGGUUAGGCAAAUUCAUUAUAAUUAACCCAACCCAACCCAAUUAUUAAUUAAGUUCUGAAAAUUGACCUAAUUAACUUAUAACAAUCCGCUCAACUCAUCAAACUUAAAUUGGGUUGGAUCAAGUCUAUUGGGUUAGAUUAGGUUUGCCCACCCCUAAUGGCGCUACCACCAUCAAUGAUUAAGUUUAUGAUAGUCGCUAUAAUGAUAUUUUUAAGUUUCAGCAGAAUUGGAUCACCACCAUUGAAUUUUUUAGUUAUUUUUAAAUUAAUUUUUUUCCUAAGAGGAUAAUACACUAAAAAUUAUUGAGUCUAAAAGAAAGAAAGUGAACUAACUUUAUUUAUUUCCUUUAUCGUUUAUUUAUACAUUUAAAUCCAAGUGUUUUAAAAAAUAGUUCAAAUAUUACUUUUCUUGAAAUUUUGGUUCAAUCACAUGCCGUAAAUUUCAUUUUGUGAAGCCCAAUGUUUAUGGGAGAUUUUUAUAUCUCUAACACAUCCAAUAUAUGAAAACAAAAUUCAUAAAAAUGUACUUUUCCAAAACAUAUGUAUUUAGAUAUCUAUUAUUGUCAAUUUUUAAUUAUUUUUCCCAUUUAUUUAUUUAAUAUUGCGUUUAUGUUCGCUUAAAUAUUAUAGGAGAUAUUAAUAUACACACAAUAAUAUCAAAUUGUUGGAGGAAAUGAAAUUUAAAUUAUUGGACAAGUGAGAGUAAUUUUUUUAUAAUGGUAUUUCUCUAUUAGAAUAAAUAAAAUUAAAUAAAUAAAAUGGUAUUUCUCUAUUAGAAUAAUAAACUGUUUUCGUCUAUACAUCAACCAAAUUUGAGCUUACUACGAUGCUAUUGUCAUAUUUAAGUACAUUAUUUUUUGUCCGGAAGACUCUCCAAAACUAACAUAGAGUCAACAAAUCUACAUCAUAUAUUCCCAAAAAGAUUUGCAAAAUUAGUGUUAAGAAGCUACGCAGCGUGAAGUCAACUUGAAGUUAUGCAUGCCUCCGCUGCGAAAUCAGAUAUUAAAAAUUCUUGUUGAUUACAUCGAUCUUGAAUUCGAAGUUCAAAUUGCCAACUAGUUAUGAGUUGGGUCACGAACUUCAUGGAGUUUGGGUUUGGGCCAAAAACCCGUCUGGCAGCCCAAAUGAAAUCAACAUUUACAUUUUUCUUUUUCAAUUCCUAAAUUGUGGAUAGACCUAUCACCUAUAGUCAAUAUGCGACGGCUACUAAAUUAAGGCGAGGAAGGAGAAUUAUUUUCUUUGUUAUUCUCGAUUAGGUGGGUUAGCUCACAUCAAAAUCAAUUCAUUGCUUCACAAUUUUAUGACGUUAGAAAUUUCUAUUAGAAAUUGUAUACUUCAAUCAUUUAAAAAAAGAAAAAUCCUAUAUAGGAUUCCAAUUCUAUCACUUCAAAAUUCCACCUAAUCCCCUAACAACUACAAGUCAAUUUAUGCUAGCAAUAGAAAAAAAAUAAAAAAAUAAAACCCAUCUGACAAUUUAUUCAAACAUCAAUUUCACAUAUAGUUACAAACUUUCUUGGCUCUUCAUUUAGGCUGCUGAUUUAUACCUGCAAAGAACCUUACAUCUCAGAACCUUAUCUUGAACAUAAAACCCAGGCAUCACCAUGAUUUUAACUCGGCUCGAACCGUGUGACUUUUGCCUAUCCAUCAACAUAUCUUCCAUGUAAUGUGCAUCAAAGCUUCUAUUAUCUUCGACCCUCAAGAUUCCCAAUGGUGGAUUGAAUGAAAAUGCAAGCAAAUGAAGUAACCAAAUGCAUUUAGCUGCAACAAAGAAAGCCUGCAGCAAUUGCUCAGGCCAUGGCCUAGUCCAAUUCAGUGUCGUGAUAAUGCAACUCAUUUUUUGGUCGCAGAACUUGCUAAAUUCUUCACUAUAGAAUUUAGUCCCCUUCCUCAACACUUCAUUCCAGCUUAGAUUUCUUAGUGAAACAAACGACGCAAACUGUGCUUGGCGAUCUUGCUGUGGAUCUAAAAUCUUCGGUGAGCCAUUUUUCUGAAACACACAAUUCUCAAAGUCCUGGUAGAGUGAUUGGUUUAUCAUGGCUUCCAAGUGGUACAAAACAGCCUUGGAGUAUUUUGAACUUAGUGACAAUUUAUACGGUUGAAGCAGCACAUUCAAAUUAUCCAUUAGAGUGUGGUCCGUCUCUUCAAUCUGUGCAACAAGUGUCUUGCAAAAUUGCUUCACCGACAAUCUUGCUUCUGAAACAAUCUGCAAGAAACCUUCCACCAUUGCUUCUUCACUAACCGGCAUCAAACUCUCUCCAUUUCCAUCAAUAGACUUCCCUCUUCGGGGAAAAUUCCCAAGCUUUUCAUUAACUUGAUGAGAGUCCUUUGCAUGUGUUGCUGCUUGUCUCAAGGCUUUCUUCAGCUCUUCACAAUAAGCCUCCAAGUACUCCAGCUUUUGCCUUAGCUCCCCAAAUGAAGAUCUCAUCUCUGAAACUUCCAUUAAUGCUGCGUCUCUACUCUCAUUUGCUUCCAUAAGUUCCCUCUUCAAUGUCUCUAUUGACAAUAUCCCCAAGUCCUUAAAAACCUGUGAAACUUCCUCGGAUUCUGUCCGGUUAGGGGAGUUUUCACUCUUGUGCUUCUUCUUUAACCGCGGAAACAACCAUGACAGCACUCCCCCACGACUCUUAGGCUGCGAGUGAACCAUUGAAUGAGAGUCUGUCAAGGGCACAACAAUGUUAGAACUCCUGAUGCUUCUAACGACAUUUUCGGAUUCACUUGUUAUAACUGCCGGCUUGCAUCUAUUGCAAGAGGAUACUGAUUUGAAGUCCCCCAAGCUGUUUCUUCUGCUUGACUUGUAAACUUCAGUUCCUGGUGAUGUUUGUAGCACAGUGAUGUGGUUUGUGCAGGAACCAGUAACUGAUUUUUGGUCAUCAGCUGGGCAGAAAUGGGACUCGAAACUGGCCAAACCAGAAGGCAAUCCUUUCUUUGAAGAUAAAAUUUCUUUCUUAUAAUCAGAUAAAGUUGAUUCAUUGCCAUUGCCUCCAUCCAAUGCAUACUCAUCCCAGGUUCCCGAUGGAUUCUUUGAGUGAAUCUGAUGAUACCCGGUUACUGGUUCAUCUUCAUAACUCUGUCAAAAAUUCCCCAAAAUCUCAAUAUAAAAUCCAACUACAUGAGAAAGCUAGAACAAAAUUGAAAGCAUAGCAUGUUAAAAAAUGGCCUAUAUUAUCCCAUCACGGUAAAAAAUCAAGAAAAUGCACAUGAGAUUAAAAUUAAAAUAAGUAGAAAUUUAAAAGAAUGAGCAUGUUAGUUUAUACAGAAUACAAUAUACAUUGACAAAACGAAAGGGCAUAUUAAUAUCACAACAAAACAAAUUUCUGGUUUUUAUUUAUUCAAUCGCUGCCAACUACUAAAGUACCUAAAAAAUUCCUUUUGUUACAGAAUCUUUUCAAAAUAUUAGACCACAAAUGGAGUAGCAACAACAGAAAAAACAUUCCGUUUCAAUAAAUAACAUAAAGGUAAUUAAAAAAGAUUACAACUUGUUUUAAAAAAAUAAGAAAAUAAACAAAACUUACAGGAGUGAAAACAGGGUAAUCAUGAGCAGAGAACUGAGAAACAGGGCGAGAAACCGGGGAAGUAGAAGAAGAAUUGAAUCUGUUAUUAGCAGCAGGGCUAUUUCCUUGCAUCAGAGCUGAAUGAAGGGCUCUGAGCUCCACUGCUUUAGCAAUGGCAGCUUGUAUUUCUUGUCUGCUAACUUCAUUAUUAUUGUUGUUUUCGUUGCCACUGUCGUGAUUUUGAAAGAUUUGUGUAGCAGUAGUUGCCGCAGCCAUGAACAGAGCAUAAAACAGAGUUGCACAUAAACAAAAUAAUACACAACAGAGAAUAGAACAAAGUAUGCGACUAGAUAUUGUUGUAAAAUUUGGGUAUCCAACGGUUGGAUGUGAUUCGCAGAGAUUAAGAUGAUAUCCACUGUUAGAAUCUUGGAGAGCCAGAAAAUUGUGAGAGAUGGGGAAAUGAAUAAGAAAAUGGAAAUGAAAAUGAAUGUGAGGUAUAUAUGUAAACUCCAAUGAACUUUUCUUUUGUCUUUGUCUUCAAGGAAUUAAUAGAAUGAGAGCAUGUGAGUAAGAAAGAGAGAGAAGUUUCAAAAUGGAUUAAUAGAAUGACAGCAUGUGAAGGAAAAGAGAGAGGGAACAAUUCAUGGCUUUGCCAGUUUCCUAAAAUGCCCAUGAAUUUUUCUAAAACUAAAUUUCUUGGACCACCCUAGCCUUUCAAGAAAUAUCGAGAGGUUUCAAAACUUUUUGAUUAUAAGUUGUGAUAUGACCGUGAAUUGAAUCCUAGACUUUUUGUAGUACCUAAAAAGGAAAAAGUUCUUGUAGAUUGAGAGUAAUGUGCAUUCGGGGUUUCGAAGACUCACAAAAUCUUAUUAGUAAAACAAAUCUUUUUACACUCACCAUUAAUAAUAAUAGAAAAUGAUCAUUUUCAAAUAGCAACAAGAAGUGAUGGCGGUACCACUUAGAAACAUGAUUGCUCAAGUAUUAUAACAAGAUGGUUCCACUAUAAAAUCAUUAUUUAUACCAACAGUUUUUGUUGGUGGUGUUGUUCUCAUUAUUGCAUUGAUUUGAAGUUGUUAUCAUACAUGUGUAAUCAUCAUAAUUGAUCAUAUAAGUAUGCUGCCAUCUGAGGGCACGCUCUAGCCCCACAUUGAUUAGACUAUUUGUUUAGAAAUAGUAAAUAAACAUGAUAUUAUUUCUAUUGUAAAAAGUUGUGUUCACAAUCAUAGUCUUCACUUGAAUUUUCUUUCCUUCAUUUGCAUUUUCAAUGGAGUCUAAGCUGUAAAUCCAUAUGAAGAAUAGACAAAUGCGGAUCACAAGUAAAAAGAAAACAUUUGACUGGUGUUAAGCUUGACUUUAGUUUUUAACGUUGAAUAACAUUGUAUUAGAGUUAUAAUUCUAUGCUAUAAAUUCCUUCAACUCAUUCAAUUUAUUGACGACUUCAUCUCGGUUUCAAUUUCAUCAAAGACAUGUAUUUUGAUUUAAGUCAGAUUUCAUUGAAUUCUCAUUCGACAUUAGAGACCUAUUAGACCUAACUAAAACGCAACAUUUUUCUUGAAUUCUACCUAAGGUUUUGAUAGCGGCUGCUUCUCAAUUGCAAUUUCAAAACCAAACUUUGAAUUAACACUAACAUAGUGCAUGCUCCUGUGGAAAAUUCACGCAGUUGAUUUCAAAGUGGUUAAAAGCCAUGCAAUUGAUGUUCACUGUGAAAGUUGAGCUAAUUUAUUGUUUAAAAUUUUUCAAAAUCUAAUAAAUAAAUGGUUCACUUUUUAGUAAGCAAAGAAGAAAAGAAUAGAAAAGAAAAAGUUGCUAUAAUUACUCCAUUACAUUGGACCUUUGAAGGUAGAAUUUAGAGGUUCUUAGGGUAGUUUUGUCCAAAGAGAGUUGCCCCAAGGUUGCGGGCUUGCGGAUUCUGCCGAAAGGAAAUCAGGUGGGGGACAGACAUGUCCGAUAGCUUCCACAUACUCACUGUCUUUCCCUUUUCUCUGAGUUGUGAAUCUAGUGAGAAAUAAUGCCAUUGUGGGGACCAUAAAAAUUAAUCUUAGUACAAUUUUUUCUUUUUUGUUUUAAUUUAGCUUAACGGUUGUAACUAACAUAAACUUUGACCACUUAUACUGCGCUUAGUGUCAGUAACAACGCUACAGAGUUAUAGACUCCGGAUAUGCAGAGUAAAUAUAAAUAUAGACAUCCCUAAAAGCAACAGUAUGUGAGUCACGAGACAGAUGAAUAAAUAAAAAUACUAGAUUAAAUAAAAAGAGCAAAAGAAUAGCUAAUUAAGAUGAGAUUUAAUCGGUCACAGCUGAAAGUUUUUAUAAAUAGAAAUAUUGAAUAAUUUGAAAGAGAUUUGAACUUAAAUUCUCAGGGGAGAAUAUGUCCAUUCUCCCCUAAUUAAGAUUACUUUUUUUUUUUUAGUAUUUUCCAAGGAACCAUAUGCUAAUUUGAGCGAUGAAAUUCUUUUUAUAGGUACCAAAUUGACACUAGAAGUUGUGGGAGUUUGAAGAUAAGGACAAAAUUGUCAUUUUUUGAUAUCGAAGGAAUUUUGCUUCUUCAACAAUAAUCUAAUCCCCUUCCAUCUAUACGAGCAUAGUUGAAAUAUCAUACUUCUUAUUUUCAACACAAGCUUCAACAUUAAUCUAAUCCCCUUCCAUCUAUAGGAGCAUAGUUGAAAUAUCAUAUUUCCUAUUAGUAAUUCUAAAAAAAAAAAAAAUUCACGUAGUUAGCUACUUCCAGUGACGUUAAAACUUAGAUGAGAAUUUCAAUCCAAGCGACAUUGGGGGUUAAAUGGAGAUUAUUGAAAGAAGUAGGGCUUUUUUGAAGUAACCAAUUAUGUAUUAAAUAUUUCAACUAUGUAAUAGUUUUUGUUGUUUGUUUAUUUCAGAUGGAAUUCCAGGUAGGAUUGUUGAAAUGUUAAUUUAGUAUACGAAGUUUGCUUUUCCCCAUCAUCGCUUUUGUUUUUGUAAAAAAAUUAUUAAUAAUAAAAACCAUUAUAAUAUUGAGAUUAAUUUUCUGAUCCAACCACCCCAUCAAAAAGCUUACUAAGGUUUUGUCAACCUCCACAUGCAAAAAGUGCUGUUAAUUUCUUGUUUAAUCGAUAAGAUAAUGACUAUAAUAAGUUUAAAUUAAGCAUAGUGAUCAUAGCAGGUUUGAUGUUGCACAAAGUUUAGAAUCUAAGCAGCUAUAAGCUGUCUAGUAAUUAGCCAUGACUCCUGCAAAGAUAAGGCUUGGAACCCAACAAAAGAAUUAGGUUCCAUUCUUUUGACGAUUUACGAAAAAAAAAGUCAAAAAAAAAAAUUUUUAGUAUUCAUAUUGUUCGGUGAAAAUUUUGUUCAUACUAAAUUUUAUCUUAUUAUGAUCAGAUCAAAGAGAUGAAUCAAAAUUAUUAUUGAGCACUAAAUGAAUAGUUUGUAUUUUUUGAUUUUUUUUUAUUCUCUCACCUAACAACUAUUUAUUCAGAGCUCAACAAAAAAAUUAGCUCAAUAAUAAAUCUUUAUUCUUGAAAUAUUUGUAAUGUUAACAAUGAAAUGCAAAUGAUUUUCAAUAAAAUGCAAUACUAUGCUUAUGAUAUCUGAUGUUUUACUAAUCAAAUUAAGACCGAACUUAAUGCCGUGACUCUAUCAUGUUGAAUCUAAAACCUAGAAAGAAGAAUAAUUUAUUUCAUAUUUUACUUUAACAAUUUAAUACAGACCGUAUUAAUGGUUUAGGAUAGGGCCUCACAAUCAUUUGUCCAUUUCAUUUCUUAGAAUCAAAGGCUUCUUAGAGGACAGGCUUGACUCUUCAUACUGCAAAAGUGAUUGAGGGUGGAGCUUACACAGUAUAUCACAUCUUGAUCCUUGAGAAUUUAGAACAUGAAAAUAAAGUAUAUAUCUUUUCUUGUGAUUGGUUACUAAUAAAAAUUUUAAAACAAUUAAUAUUUGACAAGGCGGAAACAUUGAAAGUAGAUUAAUAUAAGAAAUAAAGGUUUGUGAAUAAUGAUAAGUUUUAUUGAAAAAUCUAAAUGAGUAAAACUAUGGUUUUGAGCUCCUUUUAUAAUAAGUUUAGAUAUCCUGAAUUUACUAAAAUAGUUAAAUUCAAAAUAUAAUAUGAUAAUUAAAUUCUCCUAAUUAAAAUAAUAAAAUAAAAAUAAACAGCACUCAAACUUGAAUUCCAAAAAAAAGAUAAAAAUCUUUAAAAAAAACAAGGAAAAAUAGGAAAAAAAAUCCUAAAACUAGGAAAUGAUCAGGGAAAAAGUAGAAUUUCUAGCUUGAUCCUGGGGCAGAACAACACAAGUAGUUCUGAGUUAGAUUUGUCUUGUCGCAAGCUUUAAAACAACAUAUUAUACUUAAAAAGGGGAUGCCUGAGGCCUGUGGCUCAAGUUAUGGCCUUCAGAAGAUACCCUACUUGUAAUACACAAUUACCAUACAUCAAUAUCAAUCAUAAUGUAAUAAUGAUAAUUAUGAGAAAAUCGAGAUCUCCAUGAUAACAAGCUUGUUACCUCAAUAUUACAGCAAAAAUGCAAAACCCAGUAAUCAUGCAAUCCUUAGAUGGAUAUUUCUCAUCCUUUAUGAGAAAAUGAUUAAUUUAGAUUCAGACUUGAGAUUUUUAUACUAUUGUAACUAUCAUUGAUUAGAUAAAAAAUAAUAUUUAAUUAAAUCUUAACUAUAAACCACUAUAAAUUUUUGCGUGAUAGAAAAUAAUAAUAAAAAAACUCAGCUCAUAUCUUUAAUACUUUUAGAAGAAUAUCACCGGGUAAAAGCCUAUUUAGUCUCUGUAUUUUAAGAUUAGUGUCCAUUUAGUCCCCGCAUUUUUAAAAAUAUCUCGAAACAUUCAUAUUGUUCAAGUAUUGAUGCCCCUACCCACGUUAAUAUGUUGAUAUUUAGCAAACCUGACCAGAAUUAAUUCUAUUCUAUUAUAACACAACUCAGAGGUCUAAACCUAUUUUUCUUAUCAUGUCUACUUCAUUUGCCUUUUUCAAGGGAUAGGUGAUAUUCGGGUAAAAGUUCAUUUAGUCCCUAUAUUUUAAUAUUAAUGUCUAUAUAGUUUUCGUAUUUUUAAAAAUACCUCGAAAUAUCAUUGAUGUUAAAGCAUUGAUACCCCUACCGUUACUUUUUAUUUUUUUUGGCUUAUUUUUACAAUAUUACCCUUUUAUAAUAUUUUUUUUGUUUGGACAUUAAUAAAAAGAAAAUAAUUAAAUUACCAAUUUAACCCUAAAAAUAAAAAAUAUAAAAUUAUAUUAAUUUUUAAUUGUCAAAAAUUGUAUGCAAACUAUCAAGUGUGCAAAUGGUGCUUGCAAAAAAAUUAAUAUAAAUUUUUUAUUUUUUAGGGUUAAAUUGGUAAUUUAAUUAUUUUAUUUUUAUUAAUCCAAACAAAAAAAAUAUUAUAAAAGGGUAAUAUUGUAAAAAUAAGCCAAAAAAAAUAAAAAGUAACGGUAGGGGUAUCAAUGCUUUAACAUCAAUGAUAUUUCGAGGUAUUUUUAAAAAUACGAAAACUAUAUAGACAUUAAUAUUAAAAUAUAGGGACUAAAUGAACUUUUACCCGAAUAUCACCUAUCCCUUGAAAAAGGCAAAUGAAGUAGACAUGAUAAGAAAAAUAGGUUUAGACCUCUGAGUUGUGUUAUAAUAGAAUAGAAUUAAUUCUGGUCAGGUUUGCUAAAUAUCAACAUAUUAACGUUAUUAUUUUAUUGAAAAAACACAAUAUUUUCUUCGAAAUUGGGUCCCUUAGAAGCAAAUGAACAUUGCCACCAUCGUUUGUAUUUUUGCCUCGUGUCUUCCAAUUGAUACUGAUCAUAUAUUAUUUUAGGAGAAACCUGCGGUGCAACUGUGGUACCGUGCCACAGUUGCAUCCAACCGUUAGAUGCUAAUGGAUUCCAUCAAUUCAAGUACAUCCAAUAAUUAGAUGUAAUUGUGGUACGGUACCACAGUUACACCGUAGCCUGAUCCAUUAUUGUAAUACAAAAAUCCUACAAAAGUUAAGAACAAUCUCCAGUCUUUGGUUAAUAUUUUGUUCAAUCCUUUUUUUUUAGUUUCCCCAGACAGGUGUUCCAAAAAAAAAAAAUAAUAAUUCUCCAAAGAGAAUAUUUAUAUUUUCAUGAUUGUAGCUUUAUGUUUGUAUACACAUAAGUAGUGAAUGCUCAUCAUUUUCAUUUUACAGCUUUAUGUUCUUGCACAGAGAUUGAUUGUCUGUCCCUUUCUUUCGUACCGAAGAGAAUAAAGCAGCGAAAAUACUGCAACAAAAUCCAAGCAAAAAUACUGCAAAGCAUUAAGCGUGCGUGUUUUAUUUCUUUUUAUUUUCUUGUAUUAUUAUUUAUCUCAAAAAAUAAAUUAUUUUUAAAUUGAAAAAAAAGAAAGCAAGAAUAAAGUGUUUCUGUUUGCCAAGUUAGGAGUAUUUUUUAAAGUGAAAGUAGAAAGAAUGAAUACUCAUGCAUGCUUGGCUUACUCCUCGUAUAACGUUUGGAUUUUGGCUUGGCUUGGUUGUUUGCUCGUGCUAAAAGAUUAUUCCUUUUGUUAAAUGUAUGUGUAUGCUAUUGCGUAUAAAGAGUCAGAUUCAAUACCCACGAAAGUAACGAAAGAGGAAUUUUCAAUAAAUACAACGACUAAAUAGAUCAUUGUCUUAGCCAUAAUUGUGAGGAAAGUGGUUCGCGCCCCCGCAGACGCAUUGCAGGGGUUUAAUUUAAAUAUCUUUAUUUGAGGCCUUAGAGCUUGAGUGAAGACAGUCUUUCUCAUAAAAUGAGAGUUGGGCAUUCCUCGAAUAUUUGAGAGGGUUAAAAAUCUGAGCGGUGUCAUAUCAGAAUUGAUGUAAACGGGUCUUAGUAAUUUAUAUGGUGUAAAUAUCAUGAACAAUAAUUCUUUAAAAAAAAAAAAGAUCAUUGUCUUAAAUUUUCGGGACUAAAGAAUAUUUACUUAAUAUCUGUGACAACAUACCAUAUUUUUUUUUUCUUAUAGCCCCAUUGUCGUUUCAUAUUAGUUGAAAUAGACUUCGUGCUCAAGUUGAGACAAAUGAGAGCCCACUGUCGUUAGUGCAUUCACGUUCUUAAUUUUGAGUUCAUUUUGUAAGAUAUAUUAAUUGUUUUUGUGACGAACGUCGUUGGAGUUUGCUCUUCAAUUCAUAGUGAGCUAUAAUAUUCGAGUUACCUAAUACAAUCGAACUAAUAUAAAUAGAAUCUCUAGAGCAAGACUAAUUAAAUUCAAUUUAGUACUCUAGAAACAAAACCCAAUAAUUGUAAGAGGAAUCUAUGUCCCAUAAAACAGCAGCACAGAUAAUUAGUAAUACGAUGUUAAAGAACGAUAUUUUCUUUUGAAAUAUCAAAGCUCUUAAACCAAUUAGUGCAUGCAUGAUAAAAUUGACAUCCAUGUUUUAGCCCAUCGACUAAUUUAAGUCGAUAAAUCAUCUCACAAUUAGAGGCCUUCUCCUUCCCCACUUUUCGACAACAAUAUUUUUCGCGUUGCUUCAAGAAGUAUAGGGAGUUGUUUCUUCGAUUGUUGAACCCAAGAAGAAUGUCGAAUUGUAUCUCUUCAAUAUCAACUUAUCUAAUUGCAAAAACAUGCACGCUCACAGUUUGUCAUGCUUAAUUUUCCGAAAUAAUAUCAUUUCCAACAUCCUUGAGGGUGAUUAAUUACUAAGUAUUGGAUAUGAUUGACGAUGUUAAGAUUUAUUUUAUACUUAUUCUCACCUCUUCGUCUCAUCGCUAAGGUUGAGGGUUUGAAUUAGUUUACAUCGAGGCAGUUCAAAACAAACUUUAUGCUCGGGCUUCAAAGUGAAUUAUAUUGAGACACGGCUCUCCUUAAUAUGAAAAUAGAUUUUCGAAUUGAUUUGCUUACUCUUGAUUUGAACUUCAACUGAACUACAUCAAGGCAGGGGGCUAGAGUCUCCUUUAUUAAGCAUACUUCCCAAUAAAAUUUCAAUUGCGCUACAUCAUUAGAAUCCCAACGUAUUUAAUACAACCAUUAGUAUACUUGUAAUAUACUUGGAAACGGAGAAACUAUAUAUAUGAAAACUAUCACAUCAAGCUUUUAGAUCCAGCACUUUCUUUAACGCAUAGACCAUUUAUAUUUAUUUAGAAGGCUAAUGCAUGGUCUAUUUGGUUAUUGUGAUUAGACGCUCGAGGUUGAUUAGUUGUUGCUUGAUACAAAUUAAUUAUUUCAUUGUCGUUUUGGAGCCACUUGUGUGUGUUAGGACAUUCGAAUAGGACAAAUAAAUCAUAUUCAAUGAACCCCAAGGAAGCAGCCAGUGAUACAAAAAUCAAAUAUGAAUAUUACACAUUUUUUAAAGUAGAGAUUAUCCUCCGACCACUUACAACAAUAUAGAAAUUGUAAAUAGUAAUUAUAAAUUUUUUACGAUAUCUUAAAACUACCUUAAAUUUUAAUUUUAAUUUAAUUAAUUAUUUUCUAUUAAUUACAUUAGUCACUAUUAAAGAAUCUAAGAUAAAUAAAUAAUUUUAAAUCACCACCUAAAAUAUAGUUUUAUCUUCUUAAAUAAAUGUAGGGACAGAACAAAUCCGACGUUCUCCAGCAUUUGAAGAUAAGAACACCUUCAUUAUGUAAUAAAACUACUUCAAAAUUUUUUGUAAUAAUUUCAAUCUAUCAUUAAAAUAAUAUUUUUGUCCCUUCUGAUUCAGUUAUAAACUAAUUAUCGAUUGUUUAUUGAGUUUUCGUUCAAGGGUAGGAACUAGGAAUCUAAAUGAUAAUUUUUUUUUUUUAAUUUUUUUGUCUGACAUGGAUGAGAAAAUGACAAAUUAAUUGAGUCCAUGACGAUAAGAGAUUAACUCACGAGUGUUGCAAAACAGCAACCUCCCUAAAAUUUUGACUUUUGUCAAAAAUUGAGUACCGCGUGGGACCUUGGGGUGAUAAUGCUCUGGUUGCAACUAAUCUGCAAAUUACUAAAUUACUAAAUUACCCGAAUAUUUCAACUAAUUUGCAAGUUUGCCAAUCCAAAUAUGCAAUGCAGUGCGCAGUAGAGAAAGAAAAAGACUUGUCGCUGUUUGCAAUUAGCCAAAUAUACAAAAGAAUCAUAAAAUUGAAUUUAAUAAUUCCAAAAAUUGUUCACUAAUUAAUUUACACAGAAAAUUCAAUAAGGAACAAUGGUCUCGAAACAGUUGACCCCAUCGAGCUCCAGCGCAAACCUCGGCAGCUUCGUCUUGGUUUGUUUCUGCUGCGUCAUCAUAUUAGCGUCGUUCGGCGUCGGUUUCCGUGGCGUUGACGUUGACCUGCCACCGUCUUCGUUUUUCUUCAUAAUACGAUCAUUAACAACGUUAUUGUUGUUGUUGCCGCUGUCUUUUGGCUUAGAUAACUUCAGUUUCUGGCCGUACGAUUCGGGGAAGAAGGCAUCGAACGAGCUGAAAAUCGACAUCAUCGUCGUUAAAUUAACUUUGAUGAGAGAAACUACCGAAUGAUUUGCCUUGAAUAUGAAUUUUAUAGCUUUUGAAAUCUCCGAAUCCGAUGAUGAAAAGAUUUCCCAAGAGUGGGGGUAUUUAUAUUUCAUAAUCAAUCAUAUAAUUCAUAGCGGAGGGAAAAUAACUGGAAACAACUGGGAGGACAGUGAGUUAACGGGAAACGAACUGGAAGGUGCGGAAUGUGGAGUACGUGUCAUGUUAUUAUUGGAGAUAUGACUCGACGUGGCGGGCGGCAAGUCAAUUGUGGAUGGACCGGGAGGGACUCUGUCAGCGCAUUUCUUUGACUAAAGCUUUCGGAAACAACUUUAAUUCAAUGUAUUAGGCUCAGCAAGUGGACGCAGUUGAUGUGCCAAAUUGUAAUCGUUUUCCUCGUUAGAGUAAUGCGAUAUUAUGUAUUUGGGAUUUAUAGUGUGUAUUGCAGCAUUCAACCAAACCUUAAUCACAUUAAUGAGGGGUGCGGUUUGGUUCGGUUUUGCUUAAAAACCAAAUCGUCGAGCCGAACCGUUCAAAAAUACAUGAAUCGAGUACGAACUGAACUUCUUUCUUUAAGCCUGAUUCGGUUUAGGUUGGAUCGGUUUUAAAUAAUUCGGUUUAUGAAAUUUAAUAUUUUAUUUUAUUAUUAGCCAAAUUUUUAUACUUUUCACCUAAAUUUGAUUAUUUUUUAGUUCAAUUUAAUUGUAAUCACGAAUCAAAUAUGUUUUAUGUAAAAAUACUAAUAAAAAAUAUUAUUGUACAUAUAAAUUAAUUUUUUUUUAAAAAAUUUUAACACUGGUCCGUGAUCAAUUUGGUUCGGUUGAAAACUAAAACCUGAUCGAUUCGCAUUUCUUGGAUUAUUCGGUUUUGUCUGACUAAACCGAAUGCUCACCCUAGUGAAACAGCACUAUGGUCUAUGGAUUUCUUAAAAUUUUGAUCCACUGCGGUGCCAAAAAAAUUCAAUUAAAGUCUUUCAAAUCAGUCAUGGGCUUCAAGCGAGCUGCUAAAAAAACCUGGCAAUAUAACUGCACCCGAUUUCUUGAUAAGCUCCAAGGACGACGUUGGUUUUAUUUUGGUGUACUUAGUAAUAUAUUUGGGUACAUUUAGUUCAGCGCUGCCUAAAUUUGAAAAAUUCGUAGAAAAAAAAACCUCAAGAAUACCGCCAAAAUAAAAAAUUCACACAGAUUACGAUCCGCGUCAAUCUUUAAUAAAAGAUUCUCAGCCGUAGAUUUGACAUAAAUCUACGGUCCAAAACUCAUCGUAUCAAGAACUCUGGAAAACUGAAAGGAACAAGCGCAAAUUUUUUCAAGUUUCCCUCCUCUUUACAUUUUUCCCUUAUAAAUUACCAUCAACUCGUCUCUUACCCACAUCUCAAUCGCCUCAAAUUUUCCUGAGAAACAAACACGCUUUCCACUCAUCCAAUUUCAGAAAAUGGCUCGUACCAAGCAGACGGCAAGGAAGUCCACGGGAGGGAAGGCGCCACGUAAGCAGCUGGCGACAAAGGCGGCUCGGAAGUCGGCGCCAGCGACGGGAGGAGUGAAGAAGCCUCACCGUUUUAGGCCAGGAACCGUGGCUUUAAGAGAAAUUAGGAAGUACCAGAAGAGCACUGAGCUUUUGAUAAGGAAGCUUCCGUUCCAGAGGCUCGUGAGAGAAAUCGCUCAGGAUUUUAAGACCGAUCUGAGGUUCCAGAGCAGCGCCGUUGCGGCUCUUCAAGAAGCUGCUGAGGCUUAUCUUGUGGGUCUCUUUGAAGAUACCAAUCUCUGCGCCAUUCAUGCUAAGAGGGUCACUAUCAUGCCCAAAGAUAUUCAGCUUGCUAGGAGGAUCAGAGGAGAGAGAGCUUAGUCGAUUAAUUGAUUUGUAUCUAGAUCUGAUUUGGCUUUUAGCGUUUCAGUUUCUAAGAAAUGGGUAUGCAAGAUUGUUUUGGAAUGUAAUGGAAAGUUUGAAUCUAUUGUUACAUUUGUUGGGUUUUUGUUUUUGCAUUCCAUGUGUUUGUUAAAAGUCUUAUCUUUCAUUAUAAAUGAAGCAAAAGAAUAGCGGAUUCAAUUUUAUUUGCAGUAAUGACAUCGUUGUGUUUGAACGAUUCUCAUAUUCGGAUGAUGUUUCAAUUCUCGCAUAAUGAAAAUAUUGAAAUUUUGUUGUUGGCUUUGUUGGAUCUGUGUUUUGCGUUCCAGAUGUUGGUUAAAAGUUCCGACAACUGCUCCUUGCUAGCCGCCGGCCAUGCGUUUAACAAAAUCGAUAAUACCUAUAGCCCACUUUUGAGCAUAUCAAACAAAAUGAAGCAUCCCAAGAAUGGCCAUGCUAGUGUAUUUUUCUAGUGGACCCACUUCAUCGCUCCCUUUUCCACAAUCCACAAACAAAUGAUGAAGAAAAAUCAUGAUGAAGAGCGGACCGUGUAACUUCUGUAACACGUAAAUAUCAGAGCAAUCCUUCCCCUGCUUUUUUCAUUUCCAAUUCUAGAGCAGAACUUAAGCUCUCUGCCUGUCUUUUGGAUUUCUCAUUAGGAUGACUGGAUAUUAUAUUCUCUAUCUGCUUAUUAUCUUCCUCUAAUUGCUUCUUAUGUUGCUCUAGUUUUGCUGUUUGCUCAUCAAUCUCUCGAAUAUGUUGAGCUUUCUUCACAUAAAGCUGGUAAAGGUCGCUGUCCUUGUCUCGUUCGUGAACAAUUGUGUAAUGAUAUUGCACGAUACACUUCAAAUGAUUAAAGGCAAAAUCAGUUCUAAUCCCUCCGUGCUGCACAAUUCUGAGUUGGUACCACCAAUUGAAUAUUAACUCACUCGAUAUCUCCAUAGUCACAGUCAUGUACAUGCUCUGCACAACCUCACAUAAUCUGAUAACGAAAUCAUUCUUCAGACCUGAGCUCAAACUCAAAGCAUAAUCGGCAAGAUCCCCAUAUUUUGAAAGCAACUUUUCAAGAAUUGGAGCCAACUUCUUCGAGAUCUUGUAGCCGCCAACAUUGACAACCUUCUGCUCAUCAACACCAUCGUAAUCCCACCCCAACGAUGAUACGCUGUUAUAACUGCGGUGGAGCGUCACCAUUAACUGUAACAAAGUCUCAUCCGAAUAAUAAUUAGGAGCCUUUUCUGAAAAGUCGCUCGUGUUAAUUACACUGCUACUCAAAGAUAAUGUCCCACUAACUUGUUCCAUCUCCUUAUCAAUGUCCAUGCAGAUGUCAUCUAUUUUCUUAAUCUCCUCUUCCGUUAGAGAUUCAAAUAAAUCUUCUAUGGUCAACCCCGCUUCUUUACUCACGACUCUUAACGGAACAUCUCUGCAGUUUUCCUUCAAGCAAACUAAUACCUGUAUACAAUUACAAAAGUAACAACAAUUAAGGUAAAUCAUCAUCAUCAGUUAGUUAGCUGUAUAUCAAUAUGAUGCAUGCUCACGAUAUAGACAAUUCAAUUAUGAGUCAGCUUCCAGUUCCAGUAUAGGAAUACUGGACAUUUCCGGGACCCGUUUAUAGUGUUGUAAACAACUUUUUUUCACUCAUUUACAAUGUGUUAAAAGGCUGUUUAUAAUAUUGUAAACAAGUACCGCGCUUUGUAAAGUCAGGGAUUCUCAGAUUGGAAAACUUUCCAUCAAAUUAUAGAUAGACACGAAAAUUCUCUCCCGCAGACAUCCUCAUAAAUUUUCAUGCAGAUUCAGAGUUUUACGGUGUAGCAAAAGGAUUUGGGCCAUCUUAAAAUGAUUAAGGAUGGCGUAAAACACUAAUUCCACACAAAAUUUCAUGCUCGCGUUUGCGGGAGAGAACACUUCAUAUAUAUAUGCACGAAUAUAAUUGGCCUACGUACCAAAGAUCUCACGCAGCUAAAUUCUGCAACAAAGUCACAUUCUGCACAAUAAUAAGCACAUUCUCGUCGGUCUCUUUGCUCCUCACAAAUAUCACAAACCUCAUCCUCAUAAUCAUCGUUUGCCAACUUAUCCGCUAAGAUAAGGGAAUGAUGGUGACUCUCGUGUUUUAUAGUUUCUGGUAGGGGGAUGCACCAGAGAUGGAUGUUGAAAUCGCAUUUCACACAACGCAGAUAGUAGGCGUUGGGAGAGGUAAAAUUGCAGCUGCCUUGGCACAUCUGAUUGCUAUAUAACUUGUCAAAGAUGGUAAGCUUGUGCUCAUGACCUCUGAAUAUCAAUAAAGGCCGGGGUGAAACGCAGUCGAGAUCCAGAUAAAAAUUGCAAGUGCUGCAGUUAUAAGUAAAGCCAUUGAAGUAUUUACAACAAGCUUUGCAUUGUCGGCUUGCUGCAGUAUAAACCAGAGUGAGAACAUUUUUGUGGAAGCGAUGCUGGAUCCGUCUCGGCAACUCAGAACAAGAUUUGUGAAGAUAGCAUGAUUUGCAGGAAUUACAAAUGUAUGCUGCUGGCCCCGCUUGGAUAAGUUUGUUGCAUGCAUAGCAAACUUUAUCAUCAUUAGUCUCCUCCUCUUCAUUGUCACAUAGAACCAACGGAUGCGGGUGGCUGAAAUGUUUGAUCAGUUCUGUGUCACAUUCCUCAUGAAAAUUGAGAUCACAUUCCACACAACGGAGAAAGGGAGCGGCAACCUGAUGAUCAAUAUCAAACCCGCAUGCAUUGCAUGCCCAUCCUCUGCCCUGGGAAGAUAUAUCCAUAUCUACAUGAUCUAUUCGAAUAACAAGAUGCUGCGUAUGACCAAUGUACUUUAUGUUUGGUGCCAGAGUGGCGCAUUCAAUAUGCAAGGAAAAUGCACAAUAAGCAGAACACUGGUACCUGAACCCGCGACAUAAGGAACCACAGGCUUGACAAUAAGGAAUAUUCUCGGAAUCAAAUCUUUUCGUUUCGAGAACCAAAAAAUGGGAUGGGUGAAAAUGAUGCCUAACUUGGUGCGGCAAUUCAAAACAUGACUUAUGGGCAUAGAACUCACAUGGGGUGCAGCCAUAGCCAUAGGUAGGACCGCGAAUGAUAACAUCGCAUAGCUUGCACGGCCCAUAAUCUUCCUUCAUCAUGAUGAGGGUCAAAGGAUGCUCGUGACAGAUAUGUUUGAUGUGUUCUUGAUUACCUUCUUGGCACUGCAUGAGCAUUGCAGCCGAUCCAUAACCAAUCUCGAAACUGCACUCUUCACAACAGAACUCAUAGAUCUGUUUUUCUUUCUUCUGAUCACUUGGCUUAAUCAUCAUAUCGUAAAGACUGGAUUUUUCUGCAAGGUGGAGGGAGGCGUGUGGAUGAAAGCUAAUUUGGAUCUCAUGCGGUAGUUCGGCGCAUGAUUGGUGGAAAACAGGUGUUUCUGGCCAGCAUUGUUCGCAUAUAUAAUAACAACCCCAGGCCGAGGCCGACGAGGAGUAUAAGUUAUUGCCACAAGCAGAGCAGCCUGAAGGACAGAACUUACAGUUGUGACAACUGAAGUAUUCAUCCGGAAAGAGUCGCCACACCAAUAGCAAUGAAAAUUUUCACCUUCCUUCACAUUCUCGCACAGUGUUAACGGAUGCUCGUGCAGUAUAAAGUUUUUAAACCCCUUUUUACCCCUCCCGCCAGUAGGAAGUAUAACUGGAAUUCAGAUACAUAAUGUGUCAAUGGAAUGGAAAGCAUAUACUAUGAUAUUUUCUUUCUCAUAUUACUCAUUGAAUUUAUCAAUAUCACAAUAUAUAAAAUCUAUGAGAAACAAUUCUAUGAUAUUUUCUUUCUCAUAUAAAAAUUUCAUUAAUAAUUGUAUAGAAAGUCAACUAUUAUCAUACACACGACAGUUAUUGAUUGAUGUCAUUUUGUAUCAUAACUUUGUAUGAAUAUCGUUAGUCAAGAUUCAUCUGUUCUAAAAAAUUAAGAUACCCUGUUUAACGGCCAAUUCCUCCUCAAUUGCUGGCGACACAUCAUCCAAUUUUUUUCGGCCCUCUUCAGUGGAAUCUGAUAUGUCUUUUAUGGUUAAGCCUUUACUGAUCGCCUUAUCAACAAUUGAUCUCUUGAUAGUUCUUAGUUGUACACCUUCGAACUCUCCUUUCAAGGAACCAAUUACCUAAGAAGCAACCAAGAAAAAAAAAGAUUUAAAUAGAAGCAUUUAUGACUUAAUUAUGAGAUGGAAGUACACAACAGUUUACUAAUUUAUAAGAUUUUAGCCAUCACUAGAACCGCAUAUAUUAUAUGUAUAACGUUUCAAAAAUCAGAAUUAAAAAACUAUAUGGAUUAUUUCUUUUCAAAUGCAAUAGGCGUGCGUGCGUGUGUUCGUACCUCACUAAUGACGCAGUUUAAUUCUACCAUAAAAUGACAUGCUGCACAGUAGUAGCAAACACAUUCUCGAGGGUCUCUUUCUUUCUUGCAAACAUCACAACUAUAAAGCUCGUCUUGAAAAUCAUCUACUUGUUCGACAAGGGUGAGUGAAUGGUGGUGAUUCUGAUGUUGAAUAGUUUGUGGUAAGGGUAAGCACAUGAGAUGUAUAUUGAAGUUGAAAAUCACACAACGUAAAAAGGGGCCGACGCAAGAGGUAGCAAAAUUGCAGGCAACACAUUUUGGUGUAAAAUAUAAUUUAUUAAAGAGAGUAAGAGGGUGCUCAUGAUGACCUUGGUAACUUAUUGAAGGCAGCUGCAAAGAAGCGCAUGCAAUAUCCAAGUUGAAGUUGCAUUCAUAACAACUAUAAAUGAAGCCACGACAAUGUUUAUGACAUGCUCUGCACUCGCUGUAAAAAUCAGUAGAAUCGAGAGUUAACGUAUGAAUUAGGUGGAAGGGAUGCUGAAUCUCUCUAGGCAGAUCCAUACACGAUUUAUGAAGGUAAAAUUCGCAGAAAUCGCAACCAUAAGCUGGAAUAUUACUAUUAUGAUCGCGGCCGCCUUGGAUAAGUUUCUCGCAAACAAAGCAAAUAUUACCAUUAAUGUUCCUCUCGUUUUGAAGGAGAGUUAAGUAAUGUCUGUGGCUGAAAUGUAUCCGUUUCUCUCUGCCGAUGUCAUUCACUUGUACGACAUCGUCAUCAGUGACUACGCAACACGCGUGAGCGUUUUAGUCACAUUCAGAAUCAGAACAAGAAUAGAAAGGAUACUUUUGAUUAAUUGUUUCUUUCUUGCACACGUCACAGUACAAUAUCAGAGACAGAGAAGAAUGAUCACCAUCAUCAAGAAGAUUGGAGGCGGAGGUGCGUAUCAUGAGAGGAUGCUGUUGGUGAUGUUCAUGGACAAUAAUAGUCUCUGGUAGCGAGACCAAGCUGCUGUUGCCACACUGAAGAUGAAAUCUGAUGUUACAUUCAACACAACAAACAUUAAAAAGACUCUUGAUCGCAGAAUUACAUGCUUUGCAUGCGUUUGUGUUUGUGUUUGUGUAUCUGCAAUUAUCUACCAAAGUAAGAAGAUGUUGUUGAUGAGCUUCGUGCUUUAUGUUGGGCUUCAGAUAUGCACAUUCAACAUGCAUCCUAAAGUCACAGUUCCAUGCAACACAUUUGUAGAAGAUAAAUUCCAGAUGGUAUCCACAGACUUUACAGUCUCCACAUUCAAUCAAGACUCUUGAUUUAUCGAUUGUCAAUUGAUGGCCAGGGUGAAACGAAUGGUGGAUUUUUUUUCUGCAACUCAACACAUGAUUUAUGGAUAUGAAACUCACAAUUACGAAAAACCUCAUGGUCAGCACCACCGGCGAAAAAGUAGCUCGGAUCACCAUGAAUGCUUUGGUUGCACAACCAGCAGUUCCCGUAGCCUUCCUUACGAAGGGCCAGGGGACAGGGGAACCAAUAAAGUUCGAUGAUAUGUCUCCCUGAUUUACACGAUCUCUCAUAUCUCUCGAUCAUCUCUUUUUUCUCCAUGAUCUCUCUUUAUCUCGUUGUGUUGCCGAUUUUGUUUUUGUUAAUGUUUUUUUUCACUUAAUUUGAUUUAUGGCCCUUUCUUUUUACUCUUAUAUAUUCAAUAUAUGCAAUUGGGAUAUAUAAUAUUCAUUAAUUAAACUCAUUAUUUCCUUUGCUGAUGCUUCCUGGAAAGUCACCCCUCAACCAACUUUAAUUUGACGUUAAUAAUUUUUAAGUGACAAAUUUCAAUUAAACUGGAAAGUUGUUUUGGCCGAUCCAGGGAGUCUACAUCGUAUAUAUUGAUUAUUAUUUAUUUCGAAGGGGCAAAGUUAACACAACACAAGCAACUCCUCCUUAAGUUGGUUGCGACCUCCUUUAUGAAAAGUAGAACUUCCAUGAUUUUGAAAGCCAUAGUAAAAUGGAAAAUACUUGACUUUGGGCUUCUGAUUGAAUAUUAAAAUGUGUUAGGUUAUCUAAUCAAAUUUAUCUAUGAAAUAGAAUAAAUACAAAUAUAGGAUUACGAUACCGAGAUGAAUUAAUUAGUUAUUUGUGUGGGUGUUGAUGUCUAUAUGGAGAUAUAUAAUUAUUUUUAGUUGCGGACACUUUUUUUUUUAACGUGAACACACUCAAAAAAUAGGAUAUAUAUAUAUAUCCUCUAGUGAUAGCAUUUAACCAGUUAAAAAAAAUACAAAUUUUAAUACUCUCUAGAGGCUCCUAAAUAACAUAAUUUAAUAUAAAAUAACUACUUGGUAUUUAUAAAAUUAAAAAUUUUAAUGAUAAAAAAACUACAUAGUAUUUAUAAGUUUGCAUAAAUUAGUAUUUAUAAAUUUUAUCGGAUGGCAAAAUCUACAGAUCAGAAUGCAGAUAAGAUCCGGAUGCGGAUAAUAUCUGCACGGAUUAUGAGCGAAUAUUACAUAUACUUGAUCCGCAAAAAUUAAAAUUUAACAAUUUAAAAAUAAGAUUAAAUAUUUACAAUUUUACAUUAUAUUGAAAAUUAAUGCAUUUAAUUAAAGUAAUUAAACUAAAAACCAUAAAUUCAUUCUUACUACUUGUUAAUUAAUUCAUCAAUUAAUCAGUCAAAUUUUUGUAAGUCGUCGUUGAGAUUCGGAGAAAUAAAGAGGAUUAAAACCGUUAAAUUCAAUCUUCAAAAUCAGCAGCAACAGCAAUAGCAUGCCAACGGUGGCUACUUGUCUCCGUUCAAAUUAGCCAAGUUGUUAGAUCCAGACGCAUCCUGGGAUAGGGAUCAAUCGGGAGAUGUGUUGCAUUGGAUUCGACAUGUGGUGGCUGUUGCUCUGAUUUUGUACGGCUUGUAAGACAGGAAAAAAAAAACCUAAUUAAAGAAUUGAAUUAAUUUGUAAGCCAAGGAAGAUUACAGAGAUGCAGCCAUGUGUAUUGUGUGGUGUGCUUAGCGAGCCAGAGAUGCAGCGGCGUGCCGGCGUUUGAUGACAGCAAGUGCGGUCAGUGAGGUGAGGCAGAGCAACUGGCGUUCAACGACAGCAAUGCGUGCCCAGCUCUGUGAGGCAACCGGCGUUCGAUGAUAACGACUGCAAGGCAGAUGGCAUUCGACGGUGAGGCAUUUGGGGUUGUUUUCGAUUUCAGCUGCAGCGGCUGCUUGUGAGCGGUGGGGAAGUCGUGAGUGCAUGCGAUUUUAGUUUUAGCUUUUAGGGUUGCUGGGACUAGUUUUUUUUUAGUUUAUAUAUUUUCCAACUGAAAAUUGAUUAAAUUAAUAAUUUAAUUAAAAAUCAGACGGAUCCGGAUAUCGGCUUUCUGGAUGCAAGCGCAUUCAGAUCCGGAUCCGGAUAUGUGCAUAUAGACUCUGGAUCCGAAUCUUUUGUAUCUUUGCGGAUGAUUCGGAUUUUUUUUUCAUCUCUAAUGACAACAAAGAUACGUAGGGUACAAAAUGUCCUUUUCAUUCAAAAGAUUUGAGCCAAUUAAUGAAUUUGUGUUUUUUUUCGAAUAUUUUCUAUUUUACGUCUUUCCCUAUUGUUUUAAAGAGAAAAGAAUAUUUUUAUCAUGGUAUGUUAAAAAUUCAAGCAAUACAGUGGCUGACUACCAUAUACCAAGACUUAUAAUGUAGAAGCAAAGAAAAGUAAUUUUGUACAAGUGAUUUUAAAAUAUAAGAAUUAAAGAAAGUAAUGUAAAAGGAAAAAAAUUAAUUUUGUACUAAUUAUUUUAAAACACAAGUAACUUUGUAAAAGUGAUUUUAAUAGUCACUUAAGACUUAUUUAUUAAAUAUCUGGAGUUUAAAAUUUUAUUAGUGUUAAAUAUACUUUAAAUUUAUUUGUUUAUUCUUUUUGUAACUUAUCUUAUUUUUAAACAUUUAUAUCUAAAUUAAAAAAAAAUGUUAAAAAAUAAACCCUUAGUUUAUUGUUACUUUCCCUUCAAUUUCCAUUAUCUUUUUGCUGAAGAAAUUUCAAUGAAGCCUAAAGAAGCCAAGCAAGUCAAAGUCUGGUGAUAGGAAAGUAGAUCCAAGCUCUCAACACACAUCUACCCUCAAGAAUCACUGUUUCUAUCAGAAAAUUAAUCUCUAAAAUUUCCAGUCAUGGGUUCGGCUUUAUCGUCAUCUUCUUGCAAAUACGAUGUCUUCAUCAACUUUGGAGGGGGGGACACUCGCGAUAACUUCACUAGCCAUCUCGUUGCCGCUCUACACGACAGAAAUGUAAAAACCUUCAUUGAUGAAGAAAUUAGGAGAGGAGAUGAGAUAUCUACUGCCAUUUCGGAUGCAAUUGAAGCAUCGAAGAUUUCAGUAAUCAUUUUCUCAGAAGACUAUGCUUCUUCGAAAUGGUGCUUGAACGAACUUCUCAAAAUUCUUGAAUGCAAGGGAAAAAAAGGCCAGAUUGUUAUACCAGUUUUCUACGAAGUAGAUCCAUCAGAUGUAUGCUAUCAAAGUGGAAGUUUCAGGGAUCCUUUUGUUAUGCAUGAAGGACAGUUCCAGGUGCAUCCAGAAAAUGUACAGAAAUGGAGGGAUGGGCUGACAGAAGCAUCCCUUAUAGUUGGAUUGGAUUCCAUGGAUUUCAGGUAGCUCCUUAAUCUCUUUAUCUGUGAGUUUGAUAAUAUCGUAGUUGUAGUUAAUUUUUAAAAUAAUUAUUAUUAGUUAUAAGAUAGAAAUAAUUAAUUAUGAACAAAAUUAAUAAAGAAUUUAGUAAAGAGUUGAACUAUUGGCGUUCCUCUCAAAUUCUCUUGGAACUGGUGAUUGAGAAAAAGAAAAAAAUAAAACACAUGUCAAAAAUCCCUCUGAUUUUCUUAAAAAACUUUACCUUUCAUCUGUAAUUUUGUUUCUGUUUAAUGAAUAAAUUCAUGUAUAUCUGUGAUUAAUUUUGUAAGAAAUCGAUGAAACAGAUAUGUACCUACAAAAUGGAAAUAAAUUAUUAUACAAAUCUCUUGUGGGCACUAGCAAAUCGAAACAUUUCCCAGAAGCCCAAACGCAAUCGCAAGUAGAUGUUUGCAUCGCCGAACAAUUAGUUCAUUUAUAAUGAAAAAGAGAAGAAAGAUAAAGACAAAAAAAAAAAAAAAAAACAAAUGUGAAAUCCUUAUUUAGGGAGGGGACGUUGAUUUGGUAAAAUCUCCAUUCCCUCCUCAUUCCCCAUUUCUACUUUUAAUUUUUUUCAUUUUAUUUCUUCUAAAACUUGUAGUAAAGACAUUUAAAAUUUAAAUUGUAUACGGCGUGGAUGUAAAUAACAAAUGUGAUAAAAUUUGUGAAAUUAAUAUAAAUAACAACUAAUAUAUACACGUGAAAAUUGCGAAGGUAAUUCUGUUGAUGAUCCAACCGUGUGCCUUCUACAAAUGUGUUCAACUUUGAAGCUCUGGUUUUGCUUAAUGUUAUAGAUCAUCUAAUAUUUUAUUAUUAUUAUUAUUAUUUUUGCUCUGUAGUUUUAAGUACACUUAUUAUCUAUUCCUAAGUUUUCAAAUGCCGUCACUAUUAGAUGAAAUUCCUUUUAUAUCAAAACAGAAAAAUAAAAAGGAAUUUAGAUGUUAUUCUUCUGGAUUUGCUUUUUCUAUUUGUGAGUUAAAUGUGAGUAAAAUAUUUACAAUUAUUAUUAUUAUUAUUAUUAUUAUUAUCAUCGGUGUUUCGGGCUUAAUUAAUCCAAUUUAUCUCAUUGCUUUUCGUCUUCUCAUCUUGUAGGUCCGAGGCGCACCUGGUAGACAAAAUUGUGGAAGAUGUUAGGAAGAAAUUGAAUAUUUCAACCGUCUCACUUGACUUUAAAGAUAUUUUUUCUUUUUUUUUUUCAGACAAUUUUUUUUUUCUUCCUGCCUUCUCCAAGAGCGGCGGUCAACUUGACCGCUCUUUGAAAGAUAUGUUGUCACACGGUCGGCUCACCAUUUUUUGGGAUUUUUUUAAGACCCGUUCUCACUUAGUGACACCACGUGGUCCCUUCUCACUCUCUUUUCUCGUCAUUUUGUCAAAUUUUUUAAGACACGUUCCACCUCAUCCCCGUUUCUUUCCCGAAUAAAAAAUUAAAUAAAAAAAAUUUUCCAUUCCUUCCUACAAUAAAAAACAAUAAAAAAUAGAUAUAAAAUUAUUUUCGUACCCUCUUCAAAAUGAACAAAAUUUCCAAGAGUACCUAUUUUCGUGAGAUUUUUGCUGUCCGUACUUAAAAUAUUCUCUGCUGAUCAAUCGCGCUGCAAUUAUUAAAUGAUACGUCGAAGCAUCGCCAUCACGAGAUCCACAAUCGCAUCAAUAGAUAUGAACAAAAUUUUAUAUUAUCAAAACUCACGGCAUGCAUUUAUAUCAAAUACUAAAUUUAUCGGAAUCAAAUGUGAUUCGUUUAUCAAAAUGUCUGAAUUCCAUUUGUUUAACAAAAUUAAUAAAAUAAUCACAUCAAAUUUGGGUUCGCAGCGUAAAGUUAUCAAGCAAAAAAUAAUCUCACAUUAAAAAAAUAAAGCAAAAUAAAAUAUUAUAAAGUGUUCAACUCAUUAAUUAACAUUCAAAUUUGAAACAUUCUGUCAUCUAAACAUUUAUAUUAUCUUUAUUGUUUAUGAAUUUUUUUUUUUAAUUUAGAUGGCAGAUGAACGGAAUCAAUGUGCUCGAAGCCUCAACCCCUAUAUAUGAUUGAAGCUCAUGGUUGAGAUGCCGUGCGAUAGUCGUGGCGGUUGUGCUGGUAAGGGUUGGGACCUGAUCGGACCGGUCUCGGAGUGGGGACGGCGACCCGGCUGCUGCUGCUGCCGCCGCCAUUCUCGGUGCGACUUUUAUGGUGGUGAAAAGUGUUAGUAUCUGAUCGGACCCGUCUCGGAGAAGGGACGGCGGCCCGGCUUCCGCCGCCGCCAUUCUCGGUGCGAGUUUAAUGGUGGUGAAAAAUGUUAGGAUCUGAUCGGACCGGUCUUCCACCAGAAACGGCGGUCUAGUUGCCGCUGCUUCUAUUCUCCGAGCCAGACUCCUAUCAAGAAGAAAAAAAGCAUAAAAAAUCGCCGAUCAUAUAUAACUAAAGCUCCAAGUGUUACUUUUCAAAACGAGUAAUGAGUUAGUUACCUGUGUGAUGUUCCGAACAAAACCAGUAGAGCUGGCUAGAGACUAGAGUAGCGAAAAUAAGACAUAAAACGAGAACAACGGUUACGGUGUCGUUUCUGUUUCCGACGGCCAUUUAAGCAACCGGAAAAAUAAAACAAUGUAGGGGUAUCUGUGGGGGAAACGCUGCAUUUUAUAAGUGAGAAACAAAGCAUAAAUAAAUAAUAAAUAAUAUGAAAAAAUGGUGGCGACGUGGAACGCCGUUGAUAACACACGUAUUUUCCAGUAGCCAUCUUCUUCGGUUUUCUGACAGCGACUCGUUACUAAAGACAAAUAAACAUGAGCUCAGUAUAGGAUUAUCAUUUAGUUAGGUAGAGUCAGGAUUUUUCUCUCUAGCAAUUUGCGACUCUAUCUGGUCAGAAAGGGUGAUGGAGACCGCCACCGCAGCAAUCUGCAGACAGCGACAAAAAUAUGAUAAAACUUUGGAGGAAAGGAAAAGUUGUGCGCGGCGGCACUAUCACUAUAACCUUUUGACUUCUUCUGGACAUGCGAAUUGGGUUUUUAGGAAUUUUUAAUGAGUACUGGUUUGGUGUUGGGAUUGAUAAAAGGAAUAAAAAACUUUAGUUUCUUUACACAGUAAUUCAAGACAGUGACAACUACUAAUUGUGUAAUUAUAUUGACAGGUGAUUUGACGGCUUUACGUACGUUCCUGCCUAUAAUAGACAUUCUCAUGAUCGUAUCCAAACAAAAUGUUGACCGUAUCCAACUGGGAUCCCUUGACACGUGAAGAAAAUAAUUGACACUUUGACGGGACUUUUAAAGCAAAUAUUUUUUUCUGCUCCAAAGCCCCACCAAAAGACUCCCGACACAAUAGCAGGUUCCCAAAAUUGUCAAAUGGCAGAGCAGAGCAUGAGUGGCUGGGCCUGGGCAUACUAUCUUAGUUGACUCAAUCAAAUUAAUCUCUGUUUUUUUUUUUAUCCCCUCCAUUUAUCUCUCUGUUAUGAUGGAUCUUUGAAUUAAUGGUACAUUUAUAUUUUAUACCUCAUAAAAUUUGUACAUGUUUUCUUUUUUCUAUGAGAAUUUGGUAAACUAAUAAAGAAGGGGAAGAAUGAAUCACCGUGAAUAAGUUCUUGUAACUUGAUUUUAGCAAUGAACCCAGAAAAUUAAUAAAAAAAGAGAGUGAAACCAUCAUUCAGCAUUUCUUGAUCACCACAUGGUUAUAAGUAAGUGAAUCAAAUUUUAGUGAAAAAUCGAGAGUCAAAUUUACCUUUUUAUCAGCAAAUUCGAUCAGCAACUGCGGCUUCAAAAACUGCUUCUCCUUGAAAGAAAUGGAGUAAGAAAAACUGAGUACUCAAAAACUCAACUACUCUGUUUGAAAUUUAAUUCAAAUGUAUCAAGCACAAGCAGUAUAAACAGUCCAACUGCAUGCUAAAAGAACUUCAAAUUUCUAAAUUUUCUAGAAUGUCAAGUUAGACUGGCUACACAUCUUCUAGUGAAGGAACACGUUGACGUCAACCAGCAAAUCCAGCAGAAUAUUCAUUUGGGAGAAAUUCGAAAAAUAUUCAUCAACUAAAAUGUCAUCUAAACAGCUUUCCAUCCUUCGCAUGCUGUCCGGCCCAUGGGACUACAUUUUCGAUUUGGGCCGGUCAUGGAAAGCACCCAUUUAUGCCUCAGAAAAUGGUUCGUCAUUAAUUAGUUUUUUUUUUAAUUUGUAUUAAAUUAAAAAUCUCUGUCUUUAGUACUCCCCCACUACAUAUGUAAUCGUAAAAAACGUUUUAUCCUUAGUAUUAUAUUUAGGGUUUUUAAGAUGCUUAAAUGUGAUUUUGAAAAGUUAAAAAUUAAUUUUUUAAAAAUCGAUAAAUUUUUAAAAAAAUUAUUUUUAGCAAAAUCAUCUUGUUUCUUCAACAGAUUUUAAACAGUGGGGGAAAAGUAAUUUUUUCAAAAGUGGUGAUAUUUGACCCCCUCAAUUUCUCUGAUUAGCCCAUAUUUCUUAAUUAAUCCCAUAAAAUUUUAGAGGAGAUUUGCCAAUUUCUACCCUACAGUAAUUAACAUAUACUAUUUUCCCCCCUGCUGUUUUUAUAAUAGUAAAAAACCCCUGCUGUUUUUAUAAUGGUCAAAAACCCCCAUGACAAUAUAAGUUUAUAAUAUUACCCUUAUUUUCAACUACUCUUUUAUUUAUAUUUAUUAUAAAUUAAAUAAAUCACAUGAAUAGAAACUAAAUAAAAAAUUAAGCAUUAAAAAAAAGAAAUAUAUGUUUUGAUAUGAGAAAAAAUAAUAAUAAAAUUUUUUUUGUACUUAUUUAUUUUGUGAAAAUUUUCUUAUAAUAAAUAUAUAAGAAAGUUAUUAUAAAAUGAUAAAAAAAUUAUUAUAAUAAAAUUUGAAUGACAAAUAAAAAUUUAUUAGAAGAUAAAUAAUAAAAUAUUUUGCCUAUACGUUUUACAUUUAAUUUUAAAAUAUUACAAAAUUUUUAUUAUAAGAAAAUGUUUACAAAAUAAAUAAUUACAAAAAAAUUAUUAUUAAUUUUUUUGCUCAUAUCAAAACAUAUAUUUCUUUUUUUAAUACUUAAUUUUUUAUUUAGUUUCUAUUCAUGUAAUUUAUUUAAUUUAUAAUAAAUAUAAAUAAAAGAGUAAUUAAAAAUAAAGGUAAUAUUGUAAACUUAUACUGUCAGGGGGGUUUUUGGCCAUUAUAAAAACAACAGGGGAAUAAAUGGUAUACGUUAAUUUCUAUAGGGGGGGAAGUGGCAAUCUCCCAAUUUUAAAAUAAUUUUUCUCCUUCAAUACAUACCAUGCAAUCCUAAAUUUACCCUUGUUAUCAUUUUUUUAAAUUCUUUUUAUACUCCCCAUCAUUUAAAACUUCCAAAAUCUAGUUGUUAAUUUUAAUCAUAUUUUGAAAAUUAAACAUAAUUCCCUAAAAAAAUUAAAAUUAAACCUUUGGCAGAUCUCCAACACCAAUGAAUUAUCCUCCUCCUGAUUUCUCCUCUUAGCCAUUGGAUACAUAAAGCUGGUAUUUGACGAAUAAAUAUUUUUCUUUACAUUGAAACCAUUUUUGUUGGGUUAUUUUCUUUUUGGUAAAUCCCACAAUCUUUAUGGCUAACAAAUUAUGCAGUGGGGGUGGGGGUACCAGUUCAUCGUCAUCAUUCAUGAGUUUCCAGCUAUUUCGACUUCUUCUUCCUUACUACAAACUAGAUAACAGAGGUAGUUUGAGAAUUUAAAUAAUUUGAAAAAAUUAGAAUAUCAUAAUGUAAAGACAAGACAAAAUUGAUUGAAUAGCUCUGUUCUUGCAAAAAAAAAAAUUAUUUGUAUUGUCAAUUGUGGGUACUUAAAGCGUAUUUAUCUUUUUUAGUAAUUUCAUAUAAGAAUAAAAUGGAAAUUUACAUUAAAGUAAUUAUUAGGAGCAGGUGAGAGAAAUUAGGUGUUCAAAUACCAUCACUCCUUUUCAAAAUUUAUUUUUGAGAAUCAAUUUUGUAUUUAAUAUAAUUUUAUAUAUAUCCAUCCUCACAUGUAUUAUAAAUAUUUAAAAUCAUCCUUAUUCAAUUAAGAAAUAAAAUCAUUAAAUUUAGUUAGACUAUUAUUAUUGCCAAUUAUAUUGAGAUGGCAAUAUAAAAAAAAUUAAUAAAAUAAAAAUAUUUAUUUUAAGUUUUCCAUUAAUAUAUAUAUAUAUAUAUAUAUGUUCAUAAAUGUGUAAAUAAAUUUUAUUAAAUAUUAUGUUCAUUUUUGUUAUUUGUAUUAUUAUAAUAGUUAUUAAUAUGAUUUAUUCAAUAUAUAUGAUUGCUUUUAAAACUCAUAUCACUUUUAAAAAUAAAUUUUACCGAACGUCUAACUAAUUUAUUUUAUAAUUAUUAUUUUUAUAAUACAAUUGAUAGUAUUAUUUUAAAAACUAUAUAACGUCAUCAAAUUUCCCCAUAAUAAUGUUUUUGCAUUAGACACAAACGUGUGUUAACAAAAGACUUUAGUAUUUAGAUUAAAUUCAUCAAGAAGGUCACUUUGAAAAAAAAAAUCAUUCGAGUAAUAAAAAUAAUUAAAAAAAAAGAGAGUAAAAGGCUUUUAUUAUUAUUAUGUUGACAAUUGCGGGCGGUCAUCGCCCCCGUCAUGCCACGCCAUUCGCCAACUCUCCACAAAAAAAUGUACACCCCAAAUAAGCGGCAAAAGAUUCAAAAGCUAGGGCAACGCUUUGGCUCAUCUCAUACGUUAGUUUUGACUUUUGAGAUGAAGAAACAAGGUAAUUUAAUGAACUGAUUAUGACGGUCAGCAAGUAGAUUUAGUAGCUCUUUCUAGACGAUGAACGUUAUCUUAUCAAGAUUUCAAAACUUGGAAUUUUCUUUUUUUUUUUAAUGUGAAUAUUCUCCAAAUGUAUGAAGAUACUGCAACUAUGACUCAAUGAAUAAAGCUCGCUUUUCGGCUACCGCGUGUUGGAGCAUAAUAUCACAACUGUUGUCGGCCGUGUAAAGCCAAGAAAUUAAGGGCCAAAGACUUCUUUAUAUGUAAACACGAUAAAAUUGACUAGUUGAAUUAUUAAUUACUGUGAACAAGAAAGUACAAGGCAAUUGCAUUGAAAAAUGAAAUUCAAUUUUGAUGGGCUCUCGCUAAUAUACGGCAGUGUUUUUUUGACUCAUUAAUUAUCACGGUCAAACUAAUCACGUGGUGAUGAUUUGGAAUUAAUACAAAUAGUAUGAUACCAUACAAGCUCUCGCUAAUAUCCAAGUCAAAGUGAACUGAAUUUUCUGAUCUCUUUUCAUUUGCAGAAACCAUAGUAUGAUACCAUAUCAUCUGGCAUCUUGAUGCAUUUUUUUUUUCAAUCACUAAAAAUCAAUUGUAAAAAUAGGCGUAAUCUGAAGGGAUUAUGGAUCCGCCCCCUACACACACACACACACACACACAUAUAUAUGUAUGUAUGUAUUGGAAUCUUUGCACUUUUGGAUAAGGGUGAUUUGGGCUGGGGCAACCGCCUCAAUUGCCUAAGCAGAGUCCAAUGUCUAGGCCUAAGCCACCCUUGCUAUUAUCUGCCCUUAUUGUAUACAAUUUGUUAAGAUACGUUUAAAAGCAUGAGGCAUAGAUUUUAGAAGGAAAGAACUUGAAUGGCUAACUAUUAUAACUUUUUAUAAGAUUUAGAGUGGAGCUCUUACAACCCCCACAAAUUAUCUCAUAACCAAAUCUCAGUUGUUGUUAUAUUUAAAAUGAUGAAAUUAAUUUCAAGGAUGUUGAGUAAGCUUAUGGAGGAAAUGUCGAUGAGAAAUCCUUACUCUUAAAAUGUCCAACUUUUAAAUGUCUCUCUUGUGUUAUAUGAAAGGAAUCAAUAAAUCUUUUACUGGAGCUGAAAGCGUCCUACAAGGCGGAUGUACGGUACAGCAGAAAUAAAAUAUAUAUAUUAAUUUUUGUGGAACACACUCUUGAGUUAAAAUAUUAAAUUUUCUAAAAAAAUUGAUAAUGUAAUUUUUUACGAUAUUGAUUGCGGGCGGUCAUCGCCCCCGUCAUGCCACGCCAUUCGCCAACUCUCCACAAAAAAAUGUACACCCCAAAUAAGCGGCAAAAGAUUCAAAAGCUAGGGCAACGCUUUGGCUCAUCUCAUACGUUAGUUUUGACUUUUGAGAUGAAGAAACAAGGUAAUUUAAUGAACUGAUUAUGACGGGUAGCAAGUAGAUUUAGUAGGCCUAAGCCACCCUUGCUAUUAUCUGCCCUUAUUGUAUACAAUUUGUUAAGAUACGUUUAAAAGCAUGAGGCAUAGAUUUUAGAAGGAAAGAACUAGAAUGGCUAACUGUUAUAACUUUUUAUAAGAUUUAGAGUGGAGCUCUUACAACCCCCACAAAUUAUCUCAUAACCAAAUCUCAGUUGUUAUAUUUAAAAUGAUGUAAUUAAUUUCAAGGAUGUUGAGUAAGCUUAUGGAGGAAAUGUCGAUGAGAAAUCCUUACUCUUAAAAUGUCCAACAUUUAAAUGUCUCUCUUGUGUUAUAUGAAAGGAAUCAAUAAAUCUUUUACUGGAGCUGAAAGCGUCCUACGCACUGCAUCCAUUUCAAGCUAAAUGCAGUCAAACAUCAACUGGGACCAUCCUAUAGCUAUCCUACACAUGCAAAGCCGACAUUUUCACACAUAGGGUGAGUUUGAAAUUUCAAUUGCUGAUUUUACUUUGCGGAUGUAAUAAGCUGAUCACUAAAGAAGCAGCCUGGUAUUUGGUAAACGGGUAAAAGCUCGUUUAGUCCUUAUAUUUUGAAGUUAGUGUCUGUUUAGUCCCUAUAUUUUUAAAAAUACCUCAAAUCAUCCCUACCAUUAAAUUAUUGACACUUUUGCCAUUAUCUUUUGUUCCUUUUAACUUAUUUUUAUAAAUUGCCCUUUUAUAAUAAAUUUUUUAGAAAUUAUUAAAAAGAAAAAAAUAAAUUACCAGUUUAACACCAAAAAAUAAAAUAAAAUAAAAUAUAUAUAUUAAUUUUUGUGGAACACACUCUUGAGUUAAAAUAUUAAAUUUUCUAAAAAAAUUGAUAAUGUAAUUUUCUGCUGUACGGCCAAGGCGGAUGUACGGUACAGCAGGAUUCGCANNNNNNNNNNNNNNNNNNNNNNNNNNNNNNNNNNNNNNNNNNNNNNNNNNNNNNNNNNNNNNNNNNNNNNNNNNNNNNNNNNNNNNNNNNNNNNUGGACACUAACCUCAUAAUAUAGGGACUAAACAAGCUUUUACCCUUUGGUAAACUGUAUUGUUAAGGCUGCUCUGGGUUUAAAAAGCAGUGUACAUGCGUUUGGUAAAUUUAAUUAUUAACGUAUUAUUUUAUUAUAUAAUAAAUAAAUAGACAUAAGUUUUAAUUACCUCUUAUUUUUUAGAAUAACACAUAAAAUAACAUAAAGUGAAAAAAAAAACUCAAUUAAAUAAAAUCUAAUGAACUUAUUAGAUCAAAACUUUGAUACUAGAGAUAAUUUGUAGUAGUUUUGACAGUAAUUUAAUUGUGGCGAAAAAUUCUGAAAAUCAGGCCAAGCUAACACACCUUGGACUUGGGGACUUGGGCGGACAAUUACUUAACGCACCUCUACUCGCUUCUAAGCGCACCUUGGGGCGCCAGUCUAACUUUCUUUUCGGAAAACUUCGAGCGGCUCGCGACGAGUGGCCGUCAAAAGAAAGUGGGGAGCUACUAGAAAGAUUCUAAAGCUCGAUUUUUGUAAAGAAAUUGAUUUGGCACCAAUCUCGUCAGCCAAAGGGAAGAAAAUAUAAAAUUAGAGAAAUGGUACAAUCAGCGAAUGUUGAAAUUCCACCUAAACCCCAUACCCCCCCGUAAAAAUAAAUAAAUAAAUAAGUUUUUUUAAAAAAAAGGUUUUGAGAGAAUUCAAUUUACAGAUGAUGAGAUUUUUUUACGUGGGAUUUAUUAACAGAGAGACAAGUAUUCCGAGAGUACUAUAUCAUUUGCUUUUAAGAGAAUUUGAUUUGCUUUCUGGCACGUGCUGGUCGUGUCAAUCGACGGCAACGGCGACAUUAAAAGGCAACUUUCCAACCGUGAUCACCAAUUUUUUAUUUAUUUAUUCAAAUAGAAGUUAAAACAAUUAAGAUUGAAGACUCUGAAUGGUAAAAUAGAAAGAAAAAAGAAAAGAAUACAAUGAUUACCGCUGUAGGUCUUUAUUUAAGAUUAAUUUGAAGAACAAGCUGUUCGGCGUCCAGGUGCUAAUUAAUUAAACCAACUCAUCCAUUCAUCAGUUAAAAUAUUUACACCUGUGUGUGGUAUUAUAUUAUUGGUGAUUAUUAAUCUUUAAUUAAAAGCAUACUUUCCUAUAACAAAAAGCCAUUUUCACCCUCAUGAAAAAGUAUUUUACUAGCGGACACAAUCCUUGUCAAUCUCCCACAGAACUACUGUCAAAGAUUCUUUUUCAAUGCUCUCAUGUCUUCAUAGAACAAAAUAUAUGAGCCAAGAAGAGUUAAGGAAAUAAGGGUGUCUGUCAGAAAAAUGAGUCAUUCGGCAGAAAAAAAAUUAAAAUUAAAAUGGGUGUUGAGGGUAGAAGAAAUAAAUUUUAUAAAAUGGGAAAUUCCCUGGCGUUGGUGAUUAAUUUUUAUAAGGGUGAUUUUUAAAAACCUCCCCUGAGGUUUGGACUUGUUGCAAGUAGAUGGCGAGAAUUGAUUUAUUUGUAAACAAUCUCCCACCGUCAGUUAAUUUUAACAUUGACCGUUAGUUGACAUUGAAAAGACAAUAUUACCCUUAAUAAUAGUUUGUAAACAAAAAUAACUAAAAAAAAACCAAAAUUGUUGGCACAAAAAGCACAAACCCUAUUUUUUGAUAAUUUUAUACUUGUCAAUUCCAAAGAUUUAUAAUAUCAUAGGUAAAGAUUAUGACUAUUUUAUUUUUAAGUUUUUUAUUUUAUCUUUCUUGUAAGAACUUUAAGGAAAUAUAAAAAAUUUAAAGAGAAAUUUUCAAGUUUUUAAUUUUAUAUUUUUUAUGGGAACUUUAAGAAAAUAUCAAUAAUUUAAAGAUGGUAAAAUAGCCAAUAAUUUUAUUUAUUUUUAGUUAUUUCGUUUACAAACUAUUGUUAAGGGUAAUAUUGUCUUUGCACGGUCAACUAACGGUCAAUAUUAAAAUUAACUGAUAGUAGAGAAUUUAUUAUAAAUAAAUUAAUUCUCGCCAUCUACUUGCAACAAACCCAAAUUUCAAGAGAGAUUUUUAAAAAUUACCCUUUUUAUAAUGAAGAGACGGUGGCCGACAAAAGAAAGUGGAGCUAAUGGAAAACUUGGAUUCUAGAGCUGGAUUGUUUGUAAAGAAAUAGAUUUGACACCACUAUAGAAAUUGAUUUGACACCACUAUCUCCGCAAUCAUUGGUAAGAAUAAAAUGUGAGAAAAUGAUGCACUCAACGAAUAUUAAAUUCCACCUAAACCCCACACACCCACCUUAAAAAAGGGGGAAAAAAAGUUUUAAAAAAUAUUUUGAAAGAAUUUACUGAGAGGAUGUGAUAUUUAGGUGUCAUAUGAGGUGGUUUUGUUACAAAUCGGCAUGUUGUAUGUGAUAAUUAUUUAUUCUGAUGGCAAAAAUAAUGUUAACUCGUUAAAAAGUAGUAACAAAAUUGUCAUUUUUCUGAAAUUUUAUUAUUCAUUGUUCUCUUUAGUCCUCUCCAAAUUUCUUUCCAUUUUCUCCAUUAAAUUAAAAGACAAGAAUUAUUACUCAUUUCUAGAAUAUAUAUAUGGAUUAUCACUUAAUAAUUUUUUUAAAUUUUAAUAAAAUUUAAUAAUUGGAUUAGAUUUUAUAUGUAUAUAAAAUCUUAUAUUAAGCAUCCUUGCCUUGCACAUGCUGUAUGGUCAAAUUUGGAGGUAUCGUAUCAUUUCCUUUUGGGUCCGCCUUAAACUUACGGCCAGCCUGUAAAACUUCAUCCAGGCCCCUACACUCUUUAUUAUUUAUAAUUUAUUGAUAAGCAUUAUAAAAUUUUUUGGAUUGUAAAAUUUCAUUUAGUCCCUUACACUUAAUUUUAUUUUAUUUAAACUCUAGAGUACGAAUUCGCCCCCUAUAAUUUUAAAUUCCCAAAAAAUUAACGAUAAUUAUUAUUAAUAAUUAAUUUUUGAAUAAUAAUAACAAUAACAAUAAUUAAAAUAUAAAAUAAUAAUUAUGAUAAAAAUUAAUGAAUGCUUUUAUAGCAAUUGGUUAUAAUUUAAUUCAUUCUGAUUUUGAUUCUAAGAUAAAUUAAACACAUAAAUGGUAAUAAAGCUCAUUUUAUCAUAUUAUCGAUAGAUGAUAAAAUCAACUAACAUUUGGAUGGCAGUUUUAUAUUUAAUUUUUUUUAUUUAGGAAAUGGACGGAGAUAAUUUAAUAUCCAAUAUCUUAUUUAGGGAGGGGACGUUGAUUUAGUGAAAUCCACAUUCCCUCCUCAUUCCCCAUUUCUACUUUUAUUUUUUUCAUUUUAUUUCAUCUAAAACUUGUAGUAAAGACAUUUAAAAUUUAAAUUGUAUACGGUGUGGAUGUAAAUAACAAAUGUCAUAACAUUUGUGAAAUUAAUAUAAAUAAAAACUAAUAUAUACACUUGAAAAUUGCGAAGGUAAUUCUGUUGAUGAUCCAACCGUGUGCCUUCUACAAAUGUGUUCAACUUUGAAGCUCUAGUUUUGCUUAAUUUUAUAGAUCAUCUAAUAUUUUAUUAUUAUUGUUAUUAUUUUUGCUCUGUAGUUUUAAGUACACUUAUUAUCUAUUCCCAAGUUUUUAAAUGCAGUCACUAUUAGAUGAAAUUCCUUUUAUAUCAAAACAGAAAAAUAAAAAGGAAUUUAGAUGUUAUUCUUCUGGAUUGCUUUUUCUAUUUGUGAGUUAAAUGUGUGAGUAAAAUAUUUACAAUUAUUAUUAUUAUUAUCGGUGUUUCGGGCUUAAUUAAUCCAAUUUAUCUCAUUGCUUUUCGUCUUCUCAUCUUGUAGGUCCGAGGCGCACCUGGUUGACCAAAUUGUGGAAGAUGUUAGGAAGAAAUUGAAUAUUUCAACCGUCUCACUUGACUUUUCAGAUUUUUUUUCUUUUUUUUUUUCCAGACAAAUAUAUUUUUUUUUUUUUGUGUAUGGAGGGUGGUUAAUGGUCAGAAAAGCUCUACUUGCACACAGAAAGCUCUAAUACCCCUUCGCACAGUGCGAAAAGCGAUACUAAAUGUCAUUCUAUUGUAUAUUUUUAAAACUCAAGAAAGAAUAGCUCUCAAACGGAGAAAAUAUCGAACCUACAUGCAUCUUCCACCACGAAAUAAAAUUAAACAUGCUAGAAAGGACUCAUUUUAAACAAAUUCAAUAAUUCCACCCAUUUCAGGCUGUAAAAGUUGCUAUAUACGAGAAACGAGUAAAGAAUUAUUGUUGAAUAUUUAUCCUUAACUAAUUAGCUGCCAUAUAUAUAUAUUAGUAGUUUUCUGGUCAGGGAUUUUAAAGUACGGGAAAGUUCGGGAAACCCUUAAAACCGCAUGGUUUUAAAGGCUUAAGGCUUUCCCGGACUUUCCCGUACUUUAAAAUUCCGGACUGGAACAUUUCUCUCUCUCUCUCUCUCUCUAUAUAUAUAUAUAUAUAUAUAUAAUCAAAGUAAAGCUUUAAUUAGUUUACUUAAGAUUUGAUUUUGCGAGACCUCGUUAAUAACGAUGCCGGAGCAAUUGCACCUAACUUGUUUUCCGAGAUGGACGGACUUAUAUCUUCGACUCCUGUUGCAUCUGCAAGAACAAGAAACGAUGGACGUGAAUUGAGUGUACUCGUACGUAAUAAUAGUUAAUAGUAAUAAUAAUUUUUUUUUUUAACUCAAGAAAGAAUAGCUCUCAAGGAAUCCAUCAACCCCAGUCAAAUUUGUCCAUUAACAUAUUUGCCCUUUGUCGUGUCGAUGCUGCUGGCAAAGAAAAAUUCAACCGUUGAUUUCAAUUCAAAAGAAAAUAUCUUUUGGUUUGAUUCUCACAUGCAAAUGCAAUGAAGGAAAACAAAGUAGAUCAUUUGAUUUCAAGCUUAAUUGUUUUGAGCAUGGAACUCAAAAGUAUGAACAUGAAUUAACUAGUCUGUGACAUUGUAAAAGAAAAUCAUCUGGAUAAAUGAAUUUUAGAGAAGUGUUUGUCUUUCUUGAAAAAUGGCAAUAGUCAUAAGUCAAUUACCAAUGAUGAUUUGAAAGAAAAACAAAAUCUCAGUGUGCAUAUACCAGAAAAUAUAUAUAAAAAAAAAAAACUAACUAAUAGAAAUGAUAUUCUAGAAAUCUAUUUGUAUCUUGAGAUAGAAAGCCACGAAUCUUUUUGAGGAGGCUCCUGCCACCAAGUAAAACCCGAGUAAACCAAACCUAAAUUGUGAGACAAUCUGCAAGAUUGUUAUUAUCCAGUGUGAGUACAACAAAAAUUCAUACUAACAAGUAAAUGUUUGUAUGAUUUUAAAGUAAAUUUUGAAUUUAAAUUUAAUGUACUUAAUUAAUUCAAUGGUGGCAAAUUUAUAAUUUAAAUUUUUUUCCUUGAUUUUUUGGACUGACCAUUUGUCCGAAAUCAGUAUCUUUUUCGGAUUUUCCAAUUUAUAAUUUGAAUAGGUGGGAAUGGCGGAGCCACUGCUGCACGACAGUUUUGAAUUGGGAUUUUGUUGAUGAGUUGACGUGGACAGGUACACUUUCUCGGUUAGUCAUGGACUUGAAUAAUUUUGUUAAUGACACAAUGCAAUGUAGUCUGAUAUCACUCUCAAAAGACUAAACCAACCUGGAAACCUGCAUUCAUAUUUUCUGCUUUAAAAACCCAUCACAUGAACUUCAAACUAUCAUCCAUACCACUCACAUUACAUUACUCUUAUCAUCAAACUCUCCAGACAUGCUUAAUUCCAUUUCCAUUACCUGCCUUGCCACUUUCAUAUUCAGCUUCAGCUUGUUGCUUCAUUCUCAAAGCUUUUCUGCCCAUACAAACGAGACAGAUCGCCUUGCAUUGCUUGCAAUAAAGUCGCAGCUUCAUGAUCCAUUAGGAGUUACAAAUUCAUGGAAUAAUUCUAUAAACUUGUGCCAAUGGGCAGGCGUGACGUGUGGUCAUCGGCAUCAAAGGGUAACUGAGUUAGAUCUGAGACACCAAAACAUAGGUGGCUCCUUAUCUCCAUAUGUUGGGAAUCUCAGCUUCCUCAGGUAUAUCAACCUCGCAACCAACAACUUUCAUGGUGAAAUUCCGAAAGAAAUUGGUUUCCUAUUCAGGCUUGAAACUCUAAUGCUAGCUAACAAUUCAUUUUCAGGUAAAAUACCAACCAAUCUGUCCAGUUGCUCUAACCUCUUGUCCUUUGUUGCCUAUAGAAACAACCUUGUGGGAGAAAUUCCAGAAGAUAUUGGCUAUAGCUGGUUGAAGCUUGAGCAUAUUUCCCUUGCUCGCAAUCAUCUAACAGGAAUGCUUCCAGCUUCCAUUGGGAAUCUUUCAAUAAUUUAUCUCCAUGUAGGGGAAAAUCAAUUCUCUGGCACAGUUCCUCCUUCACUUUAUAACAUGUCUUCACUUGAAAAUAUUCUCCUCGACGUAAAUGGAUUCACUGGAAAUUUACCACUAGACAUAGGUGUAACUCUUCCAAACCUUCAAGUAUUUGCAAUUGGGGAUAACUAUUUUUCAGGUUCUAUACCAGAGUCAUUCUCCAAUGCUUCGAAUAUUGAGAUAAUUGACCUUCCCAUAAAUUAUUUUACAGGAAAAGUGUCGAUUAUUUUUGGUAGACUUAAAAAUUUAUGGUCUCUAGAUUUGGGAAUAAAUAAUCUGGGAAGCGGAGGAGCGAAUGAUCUUGAUUUUGUAACCAUUCUAACCAACUGCAGCAAAUUGAAAGUUCUUGCUUUCGAGGAAAAUAGGCUUGGAGGAGUUCUGCCACAUUCUAUAGCCAACCUUUCCACAACAAUGACCGACAUCUACAUGGGAGUUAAUCAAAUAUCUGGAACCAUACCUUCUGGGAUAGGAAACCUUGUCAAUCUAAAUUUACUUGGUAUAGAGUUUAACCAACUAACUGGAAAUAUACCUCGUGAAAUUGGUCAGCUUAGAAACUUACAGGCAAUAGGCCUAAGCUCAAACUUUUUACAAGGUAACAUUCCCUCAUCUCUAGGAAAUUUAACACUUAUGACCGAUCUUUUUUUGAGUUCUAAUCACUUGCAAGGCAACAUACCCCCUUCUCUAGGAAAUUGCAAGAAUUUGGUAUCCUUGAACCUCUCUGACAAUAAGCUCAUUGGUGCUGUGCCCCAGCAAAUUCUCACCAUAACAACUCUUUCACGUUUCCUAGAUCUGGGUAAUAACCAUCUCAACGGCUCUCUUCCUCUAGAAGUGGGCAACUUAAAGAAUCUCGUUGCAUUGUAUAUAUCUGGUAAUCAGUUCUCUGGUGAGAUUCCUGUUACUCUAACUGGUUGUACAGGCUUAGAAAUUUUUCAUAUGCAAGGCAAUUCAUUUAGGGGAAGUAUUCCUCUUUCUUUGAGAUCCUUGAAAAGCAUUAAAGAGUUAGAUCUUUCUUGCAACAAUUUGUCUGGUCAGAUUCCAGAAUUUCUUGAAAAUUUAUCUUUCUUGGAAUACUUGAAUCUCUCAUACAAUCAUUUUGAUGGCGAAGUACCAACAAAAGGAGUUUUCAGCAAUAAAACAAGAGUGCAACUUACAGGGAAUGGAAAGCUUUGUGGAGGUUCAAAUGAAUUACAUUUACCAUCCUGUCCCUCUAAAAGAUCGAGAAAAUCAACUGUCCUUCGUCUCGGUAAAGUGGGGAUUCCAAUGAUAGUGUCAUGUUUGAUCUUAUCAACAUGCUUUAUUAUUGUUUAUGCUCGAAGAAGGAGAUCAAAACAAGAAUCUUCUAUUUCGGUGCCGAUGGAGCAAUACUUUCCAAUGGUUUCUUAUUCAGAGUUGAGUGAGGCAACUAAUGAAUUUUCAUCAUCAAACAUGAUUGGUCAAGGAAGUUUUGGCUCUGUGUAUAAAGGGAUUUUGGGUGAAAAUGGAACAUUUGUUGCGGUGAAGAUCCUUAAUCUUAUGCAAAAAGGGGCCUUGAAGAGUUUUGUAGCUGAAUGUGAAGUGUUAAGAAAUACCCGCCAUCGAAAUCUCAUCAAAAUCAUCACUGUUUGCUCUAGCAUAGAUUUCAAAGGGGCUGAUUUCAAAGCUCUUGUUUAUGAAUACAUGCAAAAUGGAAGUUUAGAGGAGUGGCUACACCAAAGUAACGGUCAACCCGAAGUGUGCGAUUUAAGUCUUAUUCAAAGACUUAACAUAGCCAUUGAUAUGGCCUCUGCAAUCGAGUAUCUUCACCACCAUUGUCAACCCCCAAUCGUUCAUGGAGAUCUAAAACCAAGCAACGUUCUGCUUGAUCAUGACAUGGUUGCCCAUGUGAGUGACUUUGGGCUUGCAAGAUUUCUAUUCGCUCGCCCAUUUGAUACUUCGAUGGAAACUCAAUCAAGCUCAAUUGGGAUAAAAGGAACUGUUGGCUACGUUCCUCCAGGCAAGUCUUUUUUAUGACUGAUAUUCAAUGAUUUAUCUUUGCAAAUGUUUUAUUCAUUUACUAGAUGUCAACACUGAUCAUAUAGCAUAGCUAAGAUGUUAAAUCUGCCAUGUUUAGAGUAUGGCAUGGGCAGCGAAGCUUCCGUAACCGGAGAUGUAUACAGCUUGGGAGUUAUGUUGCUUGAGAUGUUUACUAGAAGGCGACCAACGAAUUGCAUGUUCCAGGGAGGCUUGACUCUCCAUGAAUUUUGCAAGAUGGCUUUGCCGGAAAAAGUGAUGGAGACGGUUGAUCCUUCACUGCUGUUAGCUUGGAGCGAUGGACGCAGAAGAGCUAAAGUCGAGGAGUGCUUGGUUACUGUCAUUAGAAUUGGCGUUGCAUGCUCAAUGGAAUCUCCAAUUGAGCGAAUGGAGAUGAGAGAUGUUUUGGCGAAGUUAUGUGCUGCGAGGCAGACUCUUGUUGGCAGGUUGGUUUGAUGUAAAAUAAUGAUUUUUUUUUUCUUUUUCAUUUGUUAGAUCUGGGAUUUGCAUUCCAGAUGUUUGUUAAAAGUCCUCUUACAGUUGCUCUUUGCGAGCUGCUGGAUAUACCCGGUAUCACGCUUUUGAGCAUAUGAAACAAAAUGAAACAUCACAAGAAUUGCCAUGGAAAUGUAUCAAUGACUUGUUUUGAUUACAAUCACAUAAAAUUAGAACAAAAUAAAGCUUAUGUAUAGUUGUCAAAUUGAGAUAUGUCUUACUAGCUAUGUAAAGAAAAUUAAUUCACAUUAUUUAUAUAUUAUCUAUUAGAGCAUGUUUGGGAUUGUGUUAGUUUGCCAAAAAGUGAAUAAUUAUUUAACAUUCUUACGCCAAAAGGUGUCACCAAACACACUUUAAAUAUAAUUAUCAAAGAAUCUAGUUCUCAAAUAACAAGAUUUUUUUGUUGAAUUUUAUAAGCAAGUUAGUGUAACUUUUCUACAAGUUGAUUAUUUAAAAAUUAGAUUUUGUAAGCUACGCUGCCAAAAUUGCUCUACUUGAAAAUAUGAAUUUCCAAAAAUACCUUUGUUGGUUUUCCACAAACAAAAUAUUCAUAAUUUUAAUUUUUUAAAUUAGAAUUUCGAAAAUUUUACUCAAAAUUAUACCUAUGAUUUGUUGACAAUACUCUUUAGCAAAAUAAAUAAAGUGAAACAUCCCAAGAAUUACCAAGCAAACAUAUCUAAAUAGGCAUUGACCACCUUCUUUGCCCAGUAUAAAAACAGCUGAAAAUGAGAAUUUGUAAAUUAGUGAAACUACUUUAUGAUUACAAAUUUUAAUUACGUAAAAUGAUAAACACAGACAAAGCAAACGUAAAUUAAAAGCAUUUUGAAAUAGCUAUUAACAUUUUUAUUUUUAUUUUUCCCCUAGAAAUGGGUAUGUAAAUCAUUUUGGAAUUUAAUGGAAAGUUUGGUUCUUUUGUUGGUUUUGCAUUUUGCAUUUUAUAUUGUGUUGGCGAUAAUUUCUAAAUUGAUGGCAAUCCUUAGAGUUAUUUUUUGUCAAUUUAGAAGGCAAACUGCUUACAUUGAUUCAACAAUAAGUAGCUUAACUGGAAUGCAAAUUUUGUCUAGUUUGUUUACUGAAGAAAGUUUAAUCUUCCCAAAAGAUACAAAAGUGGCAAAAAUAAUAAAGCAAUUAAAAUAUAUUUUUGCUUCAAGUGGGACUAUUGACAUCCCUCCAAGUACUUUUAAAAUCCCUUUAAUUGUUUCACAAUUUUUACCUUUAUUAAAAUUAUAUAAUAAGACAAUUUCUAAUUAAAUUCCCACUCAAAAGUCAAAUAAUUUUUUUUCCUUCAAAAAUCUAACAUUUUAAAAAUAAAAAAGAUUAUCUUUUAGUGGAAGAAAUCCAACAGUUGCUACAAUGAAGAGAAGAAAACCAUUGUUUUUUUUAAUGAAAAAAAUCAUUUUGUUAAAAUAGAGUUUAAUAAUAAAAAAAUUUAGAGAAUGUGACUUACACUAAUAAAUUUUAACUAAGGAUUUUUUUUUAUUGAUAGAGGUAUUAAAAGAAUUUUAUAAUUUUUAAAAUAUUUUAAUGGGUUAAUAAAGAACAGUGGUGUUAAGAGGUAUCCGGACAGGUGUAGACCGUGUAGUCCUUAGGUUCCCAGUUCCCCUAAUUAUUCUAAAGCUCUUCCCACACGAUGAGCUCUUGGAUUUGCCUUCUUUUUGGGCCAAUUAUUAAUGUCCAAGGUCUGACCCAUAAUGUUCAUGGGCUCCGCCUCAGCCUAAUGCAAAGAAUUUUGGGACAACAAACUUCAAAUCUACAAAAAUGUUAAGGAGUUUCUAGUGUGUGUGUACAGUGGUGAUAUCUAACCCUCUUAAAAAAUCUCACUAAUCACCAUUUAUCAAUUAACCCAUCCAAAAUUUUAAAAAAUAAAAUAAAUAAUUUUUCUCUCAAUAUAGCCCAUAUAAUCCCCAAUUUAUCCUUGUUAUUAUUUUUCACACACUUCACCGAAUUUAACUCCAAAACUCUACUCCAUAACCAUAUUCUAAUCCAAGCAUAAUUGAAUAUUUCUUUAAGCGCUGGGUGCUCGCCAUCAACCAAAAAGGGUUCAAUGUUGAUCAGUUUAGUGUUCCUCAUGUCGACGAUGGCCGUAGUCAUGGCAAUGGCAAGGCCUAUUAAUAGGCGUACAUUGUCAGCUUGGUGUAACAUUUGCCCGCUUAAGUUUCAAGCAACCAAACAGACACUCCUUUUUAUGGUCGGCUACCAAUUGCUAAAGAUCUACUAAUUGAGGGAUUGGAAGUUUAUUGGAAGGAAAGAUUAACAAAGAGAUAUAUCUAUUUUAGUAAUUUUAUCUAGGGACAAUAUAGGAACUAAAAUAACAUUAAUUAUUGGGGGAUGCUAAGAGAUAUAAAAAAAAGUAAAAUAUCACCACUUUUAUAUAUAUAUUGAGAGAGAUUUUGGUUCAUCAAUAAUUAUUGAAAUCUUUUUUUAUAGGUCCGUUUGAUAUUAAGAUUAAACAGUAAAAUUAUAUUAUUAAAGUACAUAAUAAAUAAUUAUUAUUAUAUCUUAAAAGAUAAAUAUAUUUAAUUUUAAACUUAUAUAAUAAAUAAUUUAUUAUAUAUUUUUAAAUUUUAUUAAAAUUAUUAUUUAAAAAUUACAUCUAUUACGUAUUAUUAAUUUUUAUUUUAUAACUAUUAAUUUAAAAACUACUAAACUUCAACACUUAAAAAAUACCUACAAAUUGUAAACUUUUGUUUUUUAGAAACCGACACAGAAUCGUUAGUACCAAAGCAUUGAAUAAUAAUUGAACAAUUAAAUACAACACUGAAUCAUUGGAUAAAAAACCUCCACCAAUAGAACAUUUUGAGAGGGGGAACCAGUUAUGUCCCAUCAAGAUCCCUCUUCUUGGUUUAAAAUCUCUCCGAUCUUGCCAAAGCCACGAUUUGCAGCCGCACCAAUUUACAAGCCAUUUUACAACUUGAAUAUAUGUUAACACAGAGAUAUAUAUAUUAAUUCUUUAAUUUAAACCACCCACCCCCCGAAAAAAAAAAAACUGUUCACUAACAAUCACCAACCAAUUAAUUAAUUAAUGAACGCGAUACUUUAAGAAAGUUGUAAUAAAAAAAAAAGUAGUUUAAAAUUGAAACGGAGUGCUUUGGAGUAUCUUCAUAGGAGGGUUAACGUUGUUUUAAUUAAAUUAAAAUUUAGAGAAAAAAAGACGAUAUGUAUUAAUUUUACAUGGGGAAAUUUACAAAAAUGGCCAUAAACAAACCUUCAUCACUCUUAACAAACUUCAUCAUUCUCGAUAAAUCAAUUGCAUAAUCAAAUAUAUAAUUAUCAAUGUGAGAGCUUCUUAAAAUUAGUUUAUGCUCUUAUAUAAUGUAAACCUUUAAUCUAUUAAUUUUAUCAACUAAAUUCGAAAUUAAAGUGGGUUUUGUUGUAAAUAUUGUUAUUUUUCAUUUAUAAAACAAUGUGAUUUGUUAAAGUACUUAGAUUGAGUUGAAAAAUGAAGAAAAACCAUUGAAAACACAGAAAAAUCGGGCAAAAAACGAAGUUCAGAACAAGUGAGACAUGCAAGUGGGACAGGUGCAUGUCUCACAUAAACGCACUGCAUUUAUGUGCGACAGGCACCUGUCCCAUUGCCUGCCGCACAUAAACUCACGGAUUUUAUGGAGUACAUGAUUUUGAAUUUGAUUUGUCUCGUCGUAAGCUUCGAAACGGUAUAUUAUACGCCUAAAACGGACAUAUAUAGCUCAAGUUAUGGCUUUCGAAACAUAUAUGAAAUUUAGUGAGACAUGCACAUGUCCCACUUGCCUGUCUCACUAAAUUUCAUAUAUGUUUCGAAAGCCAUAACUUGAGCUAUAUAUGUCCGUUUUAGGCGUAUAAUAUACCGUUUCGAAGCUUACGACGAGACAAAUCAAAUCCAAAAUCAUGUACUCUAUAAAAUCCGUGGGUUUAUGUGCGGCAGGCAGUGGGACAGGUGCCUGUCGCACAUAAAUGCAGUGCGUUUAUGUGAGACAUGCACCUGUCCCACUUGCAUGUCUCACUUGUUCUGAACUUCGUUUUUUGCCCGAUUUUUCUGUGUUUUCAAUGGUUUUUCUUCAUUUUUCAACUCAAACUAAGUACUUUAACAAAUCACAUUGUUUUAUAAAUGAAAAAUAACAAUAUUUACAACAAAACCCACUUUAAUUUCGAAUUUAGUUGAUAAAAUUAAUAGAUUAAAGGUUUACAUUGUAUAAGAGCAUAAACUAAUUUUAAGAAGCUCUCACAUUGAUAAUUAUAUAUUCGAUUAUGCAAUUGAUUUAUCGAGAAUGAUGAAGUUUGUUGAGAGUGAUGAAGGUUUGUUAAGUUGUUGAGGAAAAUCUGUAUUUACUUUUGCUGGAAUUGAAAAAGUGGCAUGCCUUUGUAAAUUUGAUGAAAGUGACGAGGGUAAUGUAGUCCAAAUAUAGGGUAUUUGGCUAGUUAUGAUAGAAAAAACUUUGGGGGGUUAAAGUUGAAAAACGCAAAAUUUUUAUGGCCAUUUUUGUAAAUUUCCCAAAUUAUCUCUACUCUCUAGCAUACAUUUUCUAAUUUAAGUAGAGAUUUUCACGACAACUCGGCUAGUGGCCGAGUUGUUGGGUGGGCCAGCAGUCUAAGUACCCAUAAAAAUAUUGCGGUAAAUUUUAAGUUAUUCUUCAAUUAUAAUAUAUAAUUGAGUAAAAAUAAUAUUUUUUUUUAUUAAUAUAAGUGCAGUAAAUAUUUUUUGAAUAUUAGUGAAGAUAAAAAAUAUGCGCAAUAAUCUCUCAUGUAAAUAUGAAUUAUAAUUUAAUUGUAAAUAUCAAUAAUAACUUCAUGUAAUAUAAGUUAUAGUCGAAUUGUUAUAGUUAGUUAAAAAAAAAAGAGUUCGUUGCCCAUGUCAAAAAUAUGAUCUGCACUUUAUAAAAUCCUUUGAAAGUUAGAACUUCAUUUUCCUAAAUGUUUCCUAUAUAUUAUUCCUAUAUAUUAUUUUUCCUUUUUUUUACAAUGUUAAAAUCAGCCUUUAUCCAAAAAUAGGAGAGGGAGCAUGUUACUCACCCAUUAGAGACAUUUCUUUCCCUUAGUAUUAAUUUUUCCCAAAUUAAUUAACAUGUUUUACCACAAGUUUCAUCAUUUUAAAAUAAUUUACAGUAACAAAAUGUUUGGUAAACUUGAUCUUAUCAACAUUUUUAUGACUUCAAUGCCUUCGUACCAAAUAUAACCUAAGUUUGUGGGUUCCAAGCUAGAGCACCAAAAUAUCAAACAAAGGCAUAGUUUAAUUGCAAAACUUAAUCAAAGCAAUAGGCCAGCUGAUACUAGAUCAAGUAUAUAUUAGGCUAUGCGGUAGAAAUAAGUAACAACAAUUCUCAGAAGAAAAAUUGGAGCUCGGGGACUUUAUUUAUGCAUCAUAAAUACCUACGGAGAUUCACCCCCCGACCUGGCACCUCGAGCGGGGUAAAGAGAAGAUAACGUAGCCCAGCGAGUAUUAUCAUUUAUGCCAUACUGCAUACUUAUGACCUGAGGUUGCUAGUGUCCAUUCUUUGCCAGCCGGGCACCAUGAACCAUCCCCAAUUUUCAUGCAGACUUUGUCCCCAAUUAUUGCAGCGGCAGGCAGUGGGACAGGUGCCUGUCGCACAUAAAUGCAGUGCGUUUAUGUGAGACAUGCACCUGUCCCACUUGCAUGUCUCACUUGUUCUGAACUUCAUUUUUUGCCCGAUUUUUCUGUGUUUUCAAUGGUUUUUCUUCAUUUUUCAACUCAAACUAAGUACUUUAACAAAUCACAUUGUUUUAUAAAUGAAAAAUAACAAUAUUUACAACAAAACCCACUUUAAUUUCGAAUUUAGUUGAUAAAAUUAAUAGAUUAAAGGUUUACAUUGUAUAAGAGCAUAAAUUAAUUUUAAGAAGCUCUCACAUUGAUAAUUAUAUAUUCGAUUAUGCAAUUGAUUUAUCGAGAAUGAUGAAGUUUGUUGAGAGUGAUAAAGGUUUGUUAAGUUGUUGAGGAAAAUCUAUAUUUACUUUUGCUGGAAUUGAACAAGUGGCAUGCCUUUGUAAAUUUGAUGAAAGUGACGAGGGUAAUGUAGUCCAAAUAUAGGGUAUUUGGCUAGUUAUGAUAGAAAAAAUUUUGGGGGGUUAAAGUUGAAAAACACAAAAUUUUUAUGGCAAUUUUUGUAAAUUUCCCUUUUACAUGAAUAUUAAAAAAAAAAAAAACCACUUUUGUGAGAGACUACUUUUGAGCGGUUGCAAUAAUUGAAUAACCCCAGUACCCCCUUUUAAUUAUUUAUAUCUUUCAAGUAUUCCACCAUAAUUAAAGAUGAGAACAGCGACACAACCGAUCUAAAAAUAAAAUUCUUCCACGUCUUCGAUUUGUUUUUGCUGUCUAUAAUAAUAAAGAAAAAUUGUAUUUUUUUAAUAUUUUGUUAAAAAAAUAUUGAAAGUUCAAAAAUAUUUUACAAAACUAUUUGGAAAUUUGGCACAGACAGUUGACUAACCUCGUUCCGUCUAUUUUGUCAUUCUCAAAUGCUGGAAAAAUUGUGAGCCACGAGCCAGGAAAGCGAGUGUGGGUCAACAAAGACAUAAACAGAACGAACUCGUCAUUCAUCAAGACACGUACGCACUUUUCUCGAUUCCACUCCCCAUCUGCCCCACUAGAAAAGCAACAAUCCACUUCCAUCCAGUAGGAGCCCGCCACGUUUGAUAAAGAAUCUUUCGAAGGAUUUGCCGCCACCUUCUCUUCUCUCAUUGGCGACUUCGUCGACCUAUCGUGUAACCCUCAAAUCUUGAUCUUCUUUUGAUGCGGCCCCACCAAAAUUAAACCCCUCAGCUGUUGUUGCGAUCAUCAUAUUCAAAGUUUUGGUCUGAACACGUGGCCCCUCCAUAAGCAGCCAGCACUUGCUGAUCGUUACUGUUACCGAUAUGAUUAUCCUUCCCUUCGCAGUCGAGGAAAGAAUAAUAGAGACUAGAGAGAGAGAGAGAGAGAGGAGAAAUUCGAAAAUAAGUUUCAAGAGAUGGAGAGGUGGCGACGCACUGAUGCUUUGCUUUGUUACAGGUCUUUGAGAGAAGGAAAAGCUGAUUUUGAUCGUACGGCUGUGAUGGGGAGGGCCCACAACCCCAUGUGCUUCAACAUUCAAGCGGACAAGAUUGGACGGGUGUGAUUGCGUCAGAACUCAGAAGGAACAGUGGGGUGUCGAGGGUGACAAUACGCGUGCAUGUCAAAGAAACAAAAGAAGGCUAUGAGCUGUACGGACGUGAUUCACGUGAAACAACUGUGGAGGAAUUGCAUGGAUAUAGAAGAAAACACUUAACCUAAACGACGGCGUUUAAACUACUCGCCCUCUCUCUAAGACUCUAAGACCAGCCACUCCCUGUUAGUUGGCACUCCAAAUUUGAAAACAAUCAAUCAAAUAAUUUUUUUAAAAUACAUAUUUUUUACGACUGUUUUCAAAUUUGGAGAGUAGAAGGAGUUUAAAAAAAAGUAAGUGUGUGUAUCAUAUUCUAUAAUAUAAAACAUUAAAUAUUCAAAUUUUAUUAAAUUUUUAAUUAUUUAAUAGAGCUCAUAUUUUGAUGACAUCAUUGAACGAUGUCCAAAUUAUAAGAUACAAUAUCUCAAAAUUCCGUAGUUGAUCACAUACGGUAGCAACUUCAAAUUAAAGUUUUAUGUAAUUUUACUACGAAAAAUUUGCUCUUCUUGAAACUGGUAUUGUUAAUAAUUUUGUAAAAGCAUAAAACGAAUGAUUAGGGCUUUAAUUCAUGAGAUGGGAUUGGAUAAUAACAAAAGCUUUUGACGAAACGAGACGCAAAUAAUCCAUCCUCCUUUCAAAAUCUAAUGACGCUGCAAAAUCUCGCAAUAAAUCCACGUCUCCAUCAGACCAUCCACGCGUCCUCAUCGUACCAUCGUGUCUUCAUGAGAGUAUUGCCAAUCCCCACUCUCACGCAAGAACGUGGUUCACAAACAUCAACGAACACUCAGAGACGUGGCGUUGUUCACUUGCCGGAAAGAGCGUGGAAGGAGUUUAUAAAAAGUGGUCUCGGCUGUUGCGAACCAAAUUUUACAUGUUCUGUGCUAAUCGAAAUGAACCACGUGUGAACUAUCUCGAACCUGCCUAAAUAUGUUUUUGUCCUUUUUCCCCCUUUAUUCUCUAGGUAAAGGACACGUGUUCCCACCUUUCGGCAGUGCUGAACACGCUGUAGCUUCCGAUUGGCUGAAGCCGUGGGGUCAGCUCCCCAACGAUCAAUUACGCAGGCUACACUACUUUUUGAGUGGGACCCGCGUGAGAGUAGGAAAAAAAAUCGACCAAUCAGGUUGUACCACUGUUUCAAAUGUUAGCCCUAGACACGUGUUGGUUUUUCACCAAAUGACCCUGUACUGCUUCUAAGAUUAUCGCCUGAAUUAUCUCGGGGGUAGAGAGAGUGUGUGUGUGUGUGUGUAGUUUUUUCGUUUCCAAAAAAAAAGAAAAAAAGAAGAAAGUAAAAGAGGAGACAAGAGGGGUAUCUCCGGCACCGGUUCAUGAUAUGGACGGUGGUAAGGCUAAAGAAGGGUGGUGCAUGCUAAGAUACGCCGGUGGUGUGCAGAAUAGUGAUAACGAGAUAAUCAAUCGUACAAUGCUCAGAUUCCGUCCGAUUGCACCGAAACCCGUGUCAAGCGGCACCGUUUCAGGUAACUUGUUAGUUGAUAGGUUUACUAGCAAAAGAUCUAAGAGAAAGUACGUUCGGGUUCGCAAAAAUAAUGGGUACAAGAGAAAGAAUAAUAAUAAUAAUAAUAUUAAUAAUGAUCAUGAUGAAGAAGAAGAAGAUGGAUUAAACAAGAACGUUAACGUUGUUACGACGCUACAGUUGUUGCCUGAGAGACCUACUACGAAAGAUCAAGAGUCGUUUUCUUGGUGCAAUAAUAAUGUUAGCAAGAAUGAUCCUGAUUUGAUGAUGGGUUCAAAAGUUGACGAUAAUCGUCAGGAUCUGAGGGCUGCUGCUGCUAUCUGGCUAAACAUGAAGGGGAAAGAUUUGAUGAUCAACGGUGUUGGUGGGGGUGGGUUUGGUGUGUCAGAUCAGACGGUGGUGGAAGUUCGUCGGAGGACGGUGGUGGAAUCUUGGGUGACUGUGGAGAGCGUGACUGCAGACACAUGCAUGGAUAUAUUAGGACGUUGUUUGGACGUUGAGGGAGUGAAGACUGAUCUUGAUAAGGACACGUGUCCAGGGUUCAUAUCAGAUGGUUUUAACCGGGUUCUGUGGGUUAACAAAGCUUACAAGAAGAUGGCGGUGAAUGGCGACGGCUGCUGGCCGGAGAUAGAGAUAAUGGUUUGGUUGGUCCUUAAAGAGAAGUUGCCGAGUUUGGAUUACUCGUUGUUUGCGAGUCAAGUGAGGCUGCAGUACACGUGGCAGAAUGAGAAGUACUCGAAGAUGGUACCGUGUGAUGCGUUCAGAAUGGACGGUGGAGGGUUUGCAUGGAGACUCGACGUUGAAGCUGCCCUCAGUUUGGGCCGUUGAUAUAAGAAAAUCAGAAAAAAAACUUCAUCAAAUGAAGUUUCAAAUCAACGAGUAAAAUAAUCAGGUAACAUGAGAAUAUAUAUUUUGCCAAUUGUAUAUGUAUAUACUGAACUAUGUGGUUAAAUUAUAAUAUAUGGGUAGAUAGCAAAACACUACACGGUAAAAAUAGUCGUGGCUUAAGGAGGAAUAGGAUCCUCUAAAAGUCUAAAUAUUUCUAAAGAAGUGUGCUAGGUUGGCAACAUAGCAUUAGCUAUAUCUAUUGAGUGGGAGGGGGCAAAUGAAAGCGAAAACAAGAAACAAGAAACAAGAAGCGAAAACGAAAACGAAAACGAAAACACAUAAAGCAACAAACCAGAAUGACAGCAAAGACAAGAAGGGACAGGUGGAGGGUCUUUUGAUACUACACAACGCAGAACAUAACUACUGCAAAAAAAAACUAUGUAAUGAAUCAGCUUUAAAUUUUAUAAUACAUUCACUAGAUUUCCCACCCAACAUGUACUCUUUGUUUGAUUAAUAACACUGAUGUGCUGUUUUGUGUUCUUUCUUGCCAGGUAAGAUAGGGGUGUUGGGAGUUGGGACACGUGUCCUUAUCUUGCAGUUGGCUUGUUAUAUAUGGUGGUAUCUUAUGCUUUCUAGAACAAAGUUGAUGUUUAUCUAUAUUACUACUAUAUAUAUACAUGUGUCUGUGUAAACUUGAAUAACGUAUGACACAAGCAAAUGGUGUUUACUCGCUGUUUAAUUAGGUGUAGAAGGUAACAUCUUUUCUUCAGUUAAAUCACUACUAAUUUGUAAUUAACUAUUUAUUUAACCAAUAAAAAGAUGCUUUUCCUUCCAAAAAAAUUCUUAAAACAUCAAUAUGUAAUCUAUAUACUAUACAGAACAAGUCUAACAUUCUUUCCUAUGAUAUAUACAAACACUCUAGCUAGUUCCAAAACUAUCUAAAUCUCAUUGGUCUAAAACUUCCUUGCCUUUCUCUUACUGCACAAUGACAAAACACUAGCUAUAUUCAAAACUAUCUAAAACUCGUUGAUAUAAAACUUCCUUAUGUUUCUCCUACCGUACAAUGUAUAUCUCCUAUUCCUGAAAUUAAUAUACUAUGAAGUUUAUGAUAUACAAAGUCUCUAAAUCCUAAUGCUUGGUGGACUUCUAUCAUCUAAAAUUCAUGUUGUCCUAAUAAAUGACCCUAUUACCGUUUAAGUAGUGGUGAUCGUUCUAUUUAAUAAAAGGUAUCUAAUUAUAUACUAUUUAAUAAAAUAAAAAUUUAGAUAAUUAGAUAAUAAAAUCACAUUCAUAAUAGUGGACCCAAACAGUUUCCUUAUUCUCCUUUCAUGUAUACUAGUUCUCUUAAUCUCUAUGAUUGCUUGUGGCACAAGGUUUUUCCUCACGCACUAUCCUUUACGUGCCUUCUUGUUUGUCCAAAUCUCUAUUGUGCUUCUUUUCUCAUGCAUUUUUCAAUUCACAUGCUUAAUAGCGAACCUUUAAUUAUCCUCAACACAUUCCAAUUGAUGCAAUACUCUUUUCUUAUAUUGUCGUUGUUUAAUUACUUUCUUGUAGUACAUUAGAACUAUAAUUAUUGGUCUUGGCACUAAUCAAAUAUAUAUACACUAGUAUACAUUUGAUGCUAUUGUUGCUUUUAUUAGAAGGAGAGCAAGAAAUAGAUUAGGAAGUUGGUGGAGACAAAAAAGGACUACUUAGUGCUUGGAACAUGAGACUUAGGCUUUGCAUCAUCUUCUGGUAAAUCAUUUGAUCUAAAAACUUUUUCUUAUUACACAUUAAGGACUAACAUUAACAUAUAUUAAACUUGGUUUGACAAUCAUCAUCAUAUGAAACCAUUUUGUCAUCACGUAGCGAAUUUGUAGAUAUUAAAGAACUCAUGACAUCUUAAUAUUUCAUAGGUUCCAUUAAAAAAAAAAUUACACCUUUUCUUGAAAAUCUGCCACCUGGCUAAGUAUUUAUCACUUUUUCACUUCGUCUUUUAGGUUGAAGAUUCAAGUCUACGUACACGAUGAAGUGGACUUUCAAUCAACUAGGGUAGAAACCUCUCUCUUUAGAGUAGACUCAUGAGCUACUUACGAUUCAAGUGGGUAUAGAUGGACUUUAAUAUAAUUAAGCAGGUCCUGGUAAAUAUUUUAUGAGUACGUAUCAUAAAAUAAUUAAAAAAAGGGGUGCACCUUUCUUUGAAAAUAUGGGGCUGAUCUGCAGAUGGUUUUGAUCUAGAUGGUUAUAGAUGCAUUUAAUCUAAGGUAAUUGCUAAGUUACAGCCGGCUGUAACUUACAUCCAAUUCAAAAACAUACAAAAAGUAGUAACUAACAGUGAGCCCCGCAUGAUUUUUGUAUGGACUGUAAGUUACACAAAUUGUAACCUAGAUCAAUUUAAAGUCUUUGACGGAUAACUGUUAAACAAUAAGAAAAAGCUGAUUCUAGUUUUCCAGUGAUAUGCUGAUUAUCAUAUGGGAUUACACCUACUGACCUUCAAGUAGUCCAAUCAAAUCUUGCCAGCUAACAAUUUGAAAUCGGAAACUUUAGCCUUCUUUUAGUGACUUGAUCUUGCAAUAUGAUCUAUGUUGCUAGACUUACUGACAAUGAAAUUGUGUUGAUAUUUAUCUCUGUGGUUAUAUGAUUAGAAUAAUGUCGUUUUCAUCAGUAUUAUAAUUAUGUUUAUUGUUUAUAAAAUUAAUGUAAAACAAUUUACGUCAAGCAUAGCUAUUACUUAAAAUUACCACUUUUACGUCAUGCAUGCAUGGCAACUGAGUUAACAAUUUCUUUUUUGUAUGUAAUUUUCAGAAAUAAUAUGUUACAAUAUGGUAUAUUAUAUAUCAUAUCAAAAAGUUUUGGACCACAACCACUAGGUUUUUUGAAUGUUUUACCAAACUUCAGCACUGCAUGUCUAUAUGUAUGUAUAUAAAAAUGAAAGGGUCAAUAAUGCCUCUAGUUGUGGCUCAGUCACUUUCUUACAAAAGGAAAAAUCCUGACGUGCCAACUUUAUCUGGAGAUUUAACUCAUGAGUCAUGACUAUUGAAUUGCGAAGCUUUUUCAUUAAAGAAACACUUGGAAUUUUCUUUUUUUCCUUUGUUGGGCAUAUAUCACGAAAGUCUUUUCAGCUUGUCUUAUGUCCUGUUGUGGUAUCUUUUAUUAUGAUUGAAUGGAAUAGAUAUUUUGUAUACAUAAAAUACAAUGGAAAGUUAUUUUGGGCUGCGUCCGAUGUGUGAAUUAAUAUUGAUUGAUUUAUUUUUCCUAAAUAUAUAUUUUGGAGUAAUUCAACUUAUUUUGAGUUAAAAUAUUCAGAUUAUAUCAUCACAAAGUUAUUAAUUUGUGAGGUUUGGAUAGAUUUUCAGUUGUAAUAGUAAGUAGAUUUGUGAUGGUGUACUGAAAAAAAUAGAUGUCAUAUAUUAGAAAAAUAUUUGUAGUGUAAUUUGAACAAACAUUGAAUUGAUAAGUACUUCUUUAUGAUAAAGUACUCUCGGUUGUUCUAUAUACAAGUUCUUUUUGUUCAAAUAGGCAUGCUUUCACAGGCGCACCCACACACAAAAAGAAACCAGAUAAUUUGAUUGAUUUCAAUGUUGAUUAGGUGAUAAAAAUAUUGUCAUGUUCACUCUUAUAAGUUAGAUUGUGUAUAUAUUAAAAAAAAUUGUUCCUGUGACAGGUUCUUAUUAUUAAUUAAAGCAGUUUUUGAGCGAGAUCUGGCAGGGGAAGGAGCAAAAUGCUGAUUAAGACGAUGGACAAGUCUAGACAAAAAAGGAAAAAAAAAAGUGUAUAUAAAAUAUAAAUAUAUAUAAAGCAAGCAUUAUUCGGCUGACUAUAAAUACCAGUAAGUGUAUAUAUAAUAAUUAAGUAUUGGUGAUAAAGCCAUUUCCGGUGGUGAGCAGCCAAUCGAUCGAUGAAACCUUUGCAACUACAACAAGUGAAGACUUGAUGGAUUCAGGUUUUCUGAUUGAUGAUCGAUCAAAACUUCAACAAGUUUAUUAGGUGUGGCUAAUUUUGCAAUAAAUAUAUUGUUGUUAGCAUGUCAUUUUCCGAGAAGAAUCUCUCGGAAAUGAAUAAUUGUGCCACUUAAUUAAUUUCUGAUAAUAAAUUUAGGAUAUGGCAUAUAUUUAGUUUCUACCUGUCGGUGGUUGGUAAUUUAAUUUUCCGGGUCACUGUGUAUGAGAAGAAUUUAUUAGUCUCUCUAGAUGUGAUUUGUGGGUAAGCUUCAAUUUGAAUUCUGAAAAUGUUUUAACAAUGGGUGAAAAUGAUAUUUUGAUCCAUUUUCGAUGUCGGUUUUAAUGUUUAGGUGUUGCGUGAGUAACAAGAAAAACAUCGUAAUCGUAAUGUGAAUCGAUUUUUUCACAUUAAAUUUGAUUAUCUGAGGUCGCUGUCAAUUAAAUUAGUUGGUUCAAUAGUUAAAAGGUCAUAUUUAUUCUUAAACAUUGUGUUUUUUUUCUUUCUUUUUUUUUUUUACUGCAAGUUUAACACUAUAGGUGAAAUAGGAUAUUGAAAUUUUAUUAAGAACCUAAGUGGUAAAUAAAAUAUAUUUGAGAGGGAAUAAAGUGACAUUCCUCUCCGAACGAUAUGGUGAAUUAGUUCAAAAGUAAUUAUUAACUUGCCUAAUUAAUAAUUGCAAACAUUUACUUAGGAUAUCUGAGGAUUCCAUAUGAAGCAAAAGUAUCAAAUUAUUUUAUUAUAAGUUUUGUACAACGACACCUUAACUCGUGGCAUAAGAACCUAAUAAAGUGGAGGGCACCUGGUUGGCAGGGCACUUUGCUUGUUAAUUGAUAUAUAUUCCCGUCUUGUGGACAACAGGACCUACUGAAAAUUAUAUGUUUAAUUUUUAUAUUUUUGAAGAGCUUUUUGAUUGGUUCAAUUUUAAAUCUUAAAAAGGUGUCCAAUGGGCUGUGUUACGCGUGGUGCAUUUUUUUUUUCUUUUGAAUUAUUAUAUCAAAAUUUAAUAUUAUCAGAAACAAUAUUUAUCAAGACUAUAUAAUAGCAUAGUGUCGCAGACCGCUCAAAAUUCCGUGGCAAAGAGGUAAAGUGCACAAACCAAGAUGUGAUAACUUGAUUUUACAGAAAGUUUUAUCUCCAAUAAUCUUUAGCACUUUCUCUUCACUUGUAAGUACUCACUAAUUACAGAGUGGUAGAAUGUGGAUCCUCUAGGCCUUGUACAAAGAAAUCAAUAAAGCUUAGUAGAUGUAUAAAUUUAAUAGGCUCUCAGAAAUCUCUAGAUACGGAAAGUUCUAGGCUAACCUCAAAUAGGCUUGGCACUCGUCAUUUUAUAUUUUUAUUUUUUUAAUUAUGUUAUAUACAAGGUUGUUAUUAAUAUUUUAUCAGAUAUUAUAAUUGAUAUUUAUAAUAAGAUUAUAUAACUGAAAUCUUUUCAUGGCGUUUACAUUAAUCAUCAGAAGUACUUCUAAAUUUUUUAAGUCCUCUCUAAUAUUUAAAGUAUUUACUUCUCUCACAUUUCGUAACAGAGAGAUUGUCUUCAUUUAAUUAUUUGAUAUUAAAAAAUGAUUGAAACUAACAUUCAUAAUAUUUUUAUAGGGGUCCGAAUCCUUACUCUCAUCAUUGUAAUUGUAAAGACUCUUCGACUACAUUAAAGGCCCAUGGAUUCUUGUCAUUUUUUUCGGGCAACAAGCAAGCAAGCUAGUAAGCAACUCAAAGCAAACUCUCAAAACUCUCUUGUACACAUACUUGUGAAAAGAAAAUGUUCUCUUUGGCUUAAUUGCUCACUAUUUUCUCUAAUUUUUUUGCAAGCAUCUUAGUUUAACUAGUUGAGAAGCUUAGAGCUUCCUAAGCAAUUUUUAAACAAGAGUUAUUAGAGUAUCACACAAGUAUGUUAGAUGCAGAAUACUAAUCUUAUGAUAAUAGCCUCGAAGCCUAGACUAAGUAUAGUUCGGAAUCUAUGUGACUACAAUUAAGAUGGAACACAGAUAACUUGAAAAUUUAUGUAAUUAAAACAAAAUUUAUUCUCAUUUAUUACGAAAUAAAGAAACAAGGAAUUGUAAUCUUUUUUUUUUCCGCCCCCCGACUUGUAGAAAUUUGAACUCUAAUGGGUUUUUAAAGUAAUUAAACUAAUUUUUGUAAUUUAAUUAAACUAAUUAAAGGAAAAUUUUAGACUAAGUUCCAAUGAUAAAAUGGUUUUUAAAGUUUUCCCCAAUCCUGCUUUUUAGCGCCAAAAAAAGAAAAUCCUAAUGGUUACAAGAGCACAAGGAUCGUGAUCCGAGAUCCUGCUCUCCAAGGACUCCGAACCGUCGAUAUUUAAAGUAUUUUAAGCCAAUCAAACGAUCAAAAUUAUGCCAUUCAUAAACCAAUUCCAUUGGUCACUUUCAAUUUCACAUGGAUUGACAAAUCAGCAUACACUCUCGAAAUAUUCACCAUUGAUCACUGUCAAAUCUACGGUCCAAAUGCACACAUUCAAAUCUCUCAAAGUAACACAAAAUUUUCGAACUUCCCUCCUCCAAAAAUAAUUUUCCCUAUAAGUACUGCCACUUCCUCACCUUUGUUCACAAAUUUAUCUUCAGCAACUCUAAAAUUUUGUUUCACUUUCUCAAGAAACAAACACUCAUUUUCGUCUUCUACUCUCACAAAUGGCCCGCACAAAGCAAACCGCUAGGAAAUCAACCGGAGGAAAGGCGCCACGCAAGCAGCUUGCAACAAAGGCGGCUCGUAAGUCGGCUCCGGCGACGGGAGGAGUGAAGAAGCCUCACCGUUUCAGGCCAGGAACCGUUGCUCUGAGAGAGAUCAGGAAGUACCAGAAGAGCACUGAGCUUUUGAUCAGGAAGCUUCCGUUCCAAAGACUCGUUAGGGAAAUCGCUCAGGACUUUAAGACCGAUCUGAGGUUCCAAAGCAGCGCCGUCGCGGCUCUUCAAGAAGCUGCCGAGGCUUAUCUAGUCGGUCUCUUUGAAGAUACUAACCUCUGCGCCAUUCAUGCCAAGAGAGUUACUAUUAUGCCCAAGGAUAUUCAGCUCGCUAGGAGAAUUAGAGGCGAGAGAGCUUAAUUGAGUUCUUAUGAUUGUAAAUCUUUGGACUGUAAUGUUGAAUCUCGAUUUUAUUUGCUAUCAAUUGAAAUGGAAAAAAAAUGUUGCUCUGCUUAAUCUCUUGUUUGGCUAAUUUUUCGGUCCAAUUUUGAUUUCCGGUCCAAACCGGGUUCGUAACAAUCCGCCUAGUUUAUAAUUCGCAAUGUGCCCAAGCGUACGAUAGCUCAGGACUUUAAGACCGAUCUGAAAUCGCUCAGGACUUUAAGACCGAUCUGAGGUUCCAAAGCAGCGCCGUCGCGGCUCUUCAAGAAGCUGCCGAGGCUUAUCUAGUCGGUCUCUUUGAAGAUACUAACCUCUGCGCCAUUCAUGCCAAGAGAGUUACUAUUAUGCCCAAGGAUAUUCAGCUCGCUAGGAGAAUUAGAGGCGAGAGAGCUUAAUUGAGUUCUUAUGAUUGUAAAUCUUUGGACUGUAAUGUUGAAUCUCGAUUUUAUUUGCUAUCAAUUGAAAUGGAAAAAAAAUGUUGCUCUGCUUAAUCUCUUGUUUGGCUAAUUUUUCGGUCCAAUUUUGAUUUCCGGUCCAAACCGGGUUCGUAACAAUCCGCCUAGUUUAUAAUUCGCAAUGUGCCCAAGCGUACGAUAGCAGAAAUGAUUCUGGCGGGAGUAGUGAGCGGGUAAACUAUCUGUUGUCACUCUAAUGGAAAAAUACUUAGUUUCUCGCGAAUCUGUACCUGAAAACCCUAAACGAUGCAAUUCAAGGUUUAAAAAAAAAAUAUAACUCUUAAGAAUAUUUAACUGCAGUAUCCAUUAUUCUUUAAUUCAAAGUUUUAUUUAUUUAUUUUUUUUAAUGAAAAGCAAUCGUUGGAAGAGGAGUGUGGUUGAAUUGAACGGCAGAUUUGAGUCCAAGUACCGACAUGACUUGUCUGCUUUGCUUAUGCAGUCCUAUUCUCAGGUGAUCUAAUUACUUUUGUCUUUUCAUUAGUUUCGAUUUUGGGUUUUAAGUCGUUUAUUUAUUUUUAUUUUUAUGUUACGGAAAGAUUGGGGCAUUUCCCCAUUUGUAUCAUGUUGAUAGAGUGCUGUGUCCGACCCACGAAGGCAUUGUCAAUAGUCAGGUAUUGCUUCUGUUUCCCAUUUUUGUUUGGUUAAUUGGCAGCCUUUUUCAUUUUGCGCAUGCAGUUGGGUUGAAUUUUUAGAUUUUACAGAGAAGUCGGGCUGGUGAUGUUGCAAUGAUUGAUCACCGACGGUCAUUUGGAAAGUGGGUAUUGCCUUCUCUUUGUGUUGUCUUUUCUUGUUGUUGAGCUUUGAGUGUGAUUAGAUGAUUAAAAUGUAGUGAUUAUGGUUAUGUUUUUUUUUUUUUUUUUGUGUACUCAGACCAGGCAUCUCUGCACUGGACUUUGACUGCAAGGUGAAGUGUCAAAUUUGUUGUCUGUAGAACUAUAAUUUCUGAAAUUGACAACUUCCUGCUAAAAAUGCCUGUGGCUGUCGUGUUUCGUGGUUGUUUGUAAUGUGUUUAUGUCUUUUUCAUUGGUAUCUUUUUUAUUUGGUUUUAUAUUGAUAUGGUUCUUCCAUCACCUACAAUUGGUCCAUCAAAGGUUCUUUCGAGAUAUUAUUACAUUUUCAAUAAUCUUGAAACAAUGUUUAAAGAUAUCCUGUAAUUCUUUAUUUUAGAAGGAAAACAGUGUUUGAACUUAUAUGGUCAAUUCCUUGGAACUUUCAGCCUUCCUUUUUUAUUGAAUGUGGACUUUGUUUGGAGAAACAUUGUGGAAUGUUACUUAAUUUCUUUGAACUUUUAGCCUUAUCUUUUUCUUUUAACUGGUUGUGCUGACAAAUACAUUUUGGUUUUGGUCUUCGCUUUGAAGCUUGGCUUUUACUUUAGUUGUUGCAAUAUUUCUUCAGGGGAUUUACUUGGUUUCUGCUACGAGAUCUGGGUGCUUAACGGUGCAUGACUUUGAAUCUCUAUAUUACCAAUGUAAUGGAACUUUACCAGGUUAGUACCUUAACUCUUAACUUAGCAAAACUACGACUAGGAAAACUAUAUGGACUAGAACUAGAAUAACUGUAACUGAGUCAAACUGCAGCAAGGAAGUUCUAAAGAAAGAAAUAUAGCUAUUUCUAAUAGAAAAGUAGCAUUACUAUGCACCCCACAUCUCAAACUCUAGUUAGUGAAGGAGAAGCGAGCUCGAGUUUGGAGACCAAUUGUAUAGCUGACUCCAUUUUCCUGUGACUGAAGAGUAGAGUAGAAAGUUCUAGUAAAAUGGUUUAUCUAACACACGUUUUGAAAUAAGUACAAAUUUUAUUCAGUUGGUGGAUUCUAUGCAUCUCAGUACUUGAGUGGUUCUAAAUUUUCAGUAUUACAUUAUUUCUAUUCUAAUUUUGUUUAUUGUUUUGUUAGGAGUGGGCUUGAAGGAAGACCAGAGUAAACACUUACUGCACAUUCCUUUGCCUCAACAACUUGAUGCUGUUAGAUGGAAUCUGGCUAAUCAAGAUGAGGUUCAGCUUACAUGUGUACUCGCUGUAUAUUUAGAUUAUUAUGCUGAUUCAUUUGUUUGAGCUGGGGAUAAUUAUAGAUAGAUAAUCAUGUAGAAAUUUACCAAAUUUUUGUUCUAGAAUGCAACAUAAAAGUCUUCAUUGCACUAAAAUUUUUCUAAUUAGUUCUCUCAGUCAGAUAAAGUUUAUAUGUAUAUGUCUAAAAAUUUAUGGUUACUUGUGUUUAUUCCAGUUCUAACUAUAUUAAAUUUGGUUAUGCAAUGUGCAUUGUAGUUCAAUUUUGUCAUUCUUGUGUCAGGGUGAAAACUUGUUCUGUUUCUUUACCAUUAAUUAUGCUACUUAAUAUGUCAUUUGCUUCUACUUUAGAAACCUUUUAAAAUUUUCUGACGCAUUUGCUUGUGGGAUCACUAAUUUGCGGUCCAAAAUAUGUCAUUUGCUUCUACAAUUUUGUCAUUUUUAGAGAUGUAGAAAACAUAAUUUCUUACCUGCUCAAUCAUUCUAUUUGGAAUAUUUUUGUGUCAGGGUGAAAACUUGUUCUCUUUCUUUACCAUUAAUUAUGCUACUAAAUAUGUCAUUUACUUCUAGUUUAGAAAUCUUUUAAAAUUUUCUGACGCAUUUGCUUGUGGGAUCGCUAAUUUGCUGUCCUUAUUUAAAAUAAGUUUUCAUAGUGAAUUUCUGAUCUAAACAUAUUUUCAUUUUAUUCGUUUAUUCAGGUUGCUUGUGCUUCUACAAGAAGUAAUGUAGUAAGCAUCUAUGACAUUGGUUAUAUAUCAGACGAACCAGUCGAAGUAAGUUGACUUUUCCAUCUUCUUAUCUGGCUUUACUAGUAUAUUGGAAGUAAUAGUUAGUAGUUUUCUUCUACAAAUCAUUGCUAAUGACCUCAUUUUCCACUUGAAUUUCUAUAAACUCCCUCUCCAGCUUCCUUAUCACUAAUAGCAUAUGCCUGUUCCUUAAUAAAGAAUGUUUCCAAAAAGUAUUUGACAAUAAACAUUUUAUUUUUCAUUGAAAAUUAAGUUGAGUUAUUCUUCUAGAACAUGGUCCUGAAUUUUCAACUAUCAUGAUGACAGGUUUUUUUAUUUUUAUUUUUUACCUUGAUGUAGGUCUUAAAAACAAGACGUUCUGUCACUGUUGUUGGGUCUGAUGUCCAGAAAGGUCUAUCUGAUCUUGCUUUUAGUGCAGUUAAUACAUCAAGGUACUAAAAUGGUUGACCUUUGUUAGAAAUACCAAAUUCAUUCAAUGAAUGGACUACUCAUUUAAGGUGCAUAUGAUUGUAUUUGUUAAAUAAACUGUUGGCACCGAAGGUGGUACCUAGGUGGUAAAUUUAUACCAGAAUGUACACUAGUUGCUAGAGAUUGCAGUGAUUAAUGGUGGAAAAACUAUCCCUUGGGUUAAAUAACUGUUACCAAAUGGAGGAAAACCCCUUGUCGUCCUCUAUUGUGUAAAGCUUAGUAACAAAGAAUGAACCAUUUCCCAGAUAUUUUAUAAGUAUUGAAUAAAGUUAAAGCCUUUUUGGUUAGGGUUAUCAACUGUUUGGCCUGCAAUAUGUUUUCUGCAUGAAUGAUCCUAGGAGGACCAUGCAGAUUUGUAGGAGAGAAAUGCUGAUAACAUUAUGCAAAGAAAUGUGUACAAUAUGAUCGGAGUUAAACAUAUCAAGAACUGCUAUAGCAAUUAUGUGUUUAUUAUCUCUAAGGGAGUGAGGAAAAUCCUGUUAAACAUUAAUACUGAGCUGAUGGCCUCAAAUGACAACACUGGAUGACUUUUUAUUUUGGUAGAAUUGAUGCUGAGGUUUCAUUUUUGUGCUUAUUGAUUUAUUUAUCAUGCAUUAACCAUGAUAUUUUAUGCAGGGCAGGGAACCAAAGGAAAAACCACUAUUUUUAAAAGUUCAUUUCCAGUUUUCCUCCAAAAUUGUUUAUGCUGGGCACCAUAUAGUGUGAUACCCUUAUUGAUAAUUUUGAAUAUAUCUAUAAUGAUGUGAGUGAGGUACAUGGCUAUUACUUGGCUGCCAUUUUGAUAAAUUGAGCAAAUAGGAUUAGAGUCUCUGAAUUUCUAAUCUAAAAGAUGAGGAAGGUGACAUGUAAUGAUUUAUAGAAACAUUAAAUGUGUACUUCUGUUUCCCCCAAUCCUCCUUCUCUCUCCCCUCCUCUAAUAUAGAUGAGCUCAUAAAACAUUGUAGACCAUUGCAUCACCGAAUAAUCAUUUAUCACUUUUGAAUAUUUAAAAGUCCUAAUGAAAUCAUUUCAUAUGGAGGUUAUAUUAAGCUCGUCUUUCCCCGUGUAGCCUUUGGUGAUUUCAGCUUUCAAUUUAACUGACCCAUUCAUGUCAUAUAACUACUGUCUGGUUUUAGUGUACUUAUCUAAUCCUUUCAUUAUGAGAAAUAGGAUUCUUAUUGAUCUUCUGCCCUAACAUUUUUGAACUAAAGUCAAUGACUGAGGAUAAUGGGAGGUGACGAGAUGUGCCUAUGCAACAAGCUUUUUGCUAUUUUGGCUUGUUGACAAUAAUUAUUUUCCCACUCGAUGAUCGAUUUUUGUAGGUUAAUUGCUUCCGAUACACAUGGUGUAGUAAAUAUAUGGGAUAGAAGAGUUGGUGUUCUUCCAAGUCUUGAGCUUUCGACUGGUUCCCAUGGCACUCUUAAUAGCAUUCAAUUACAUGCUGAAAAUCAGGUUAAUUUAUUGAAUCCAAAUAUUCUUUUAUUUAUUGUAAAUAUCACUUGUUUGUUUCUAAAAAUGUGCAAACUUUGAUUUUUUUCGCAAUUGUGAAUGUAAAAUUUUGUUGCAUUAAGAUGUUGUCCCAUCUUUCAUGUGUGCGACAUUUCAGAGCCACCUUAUGUAACAGUUUUUCAAUAAAUUGCAGUCAGUCUUUAGAUGAGUGUGCCUAUUUUAUAGUUUACAAAUGGAUUGCUCAAGCUUGCAUUAAAAGUGCUAUGCCAUUUCUGGGAUGAAAAUUGCCAAUUGAAAGAGUGCAAACCAUAAACCAUAAGGUCAAAAAGGAACGGCACCUUGUUUUAUUUAAUAUGGCAGGCUUAUAUAUAUGCCAUGCCAUGGUCCUAUCAACAUAGUGAUUCUUAGGUCAGCUUUUUCAAACUACAAUAACAAUAAUGAAUUAGGCAGUUGGAUUUUACUCUCUAGUGUUUAAGUAUACUUCAAGUUCUUUCUUCUAAUAUCAUCCAUCACUUUCCUGGAGCCCUAAUUACAAAAGUUCAUUUACUUCAGAUUAUUUUUGCUGCUGGUAAGCAUGGGAGCAUUUAUUUGUGGGAUCUUCGUGGUGGAAGAACAUCUGCUCCUUUUCAUAAUCAUAAGGAGGUUGGUGGUGUUUAUAGAUGUAUCUUUUUCCUUUAUCUUGCAAUGUGAUAAUUCAAAUGAAGACGCGAAACAACUGCCAGCAGUUACCACAAAAAUAAGGACAAUCAUAUUGUGAAUAUUUGCUUAUUGAUCCCAUGAGCACUAGCACUGAUGUCUAAACUUUCUUGUUACAAAUUGUUUCAUGGUUAGCUUUAUUGGUGUGCCUGUGACAGAUUAGUCAAUGAUAUUUUGAUAAGCAUUUGGGUUAAUGUAUCUUAUGUAGUUGAUAAUAUGGUUGUUUUGCAUAAUUGAUCUCUCUCUCUCUCCUUCCCCCCCCGCUUCUUCAGGUAUGUCAUUUACCUCUAACAUCUCUGAAGUUAGCAUCAAUGCUGGAAAAAAUUGGGACUUUGAAGGUAUGUAACUAUGCACAAACGUUCUGAUGCUGUCUUCAAUUAUUUUCAUCAAGUUUACUAUUGUGGAUGGCAGCGAGGUGUUAAUAAACUAAGUAUUCCUGCUGUUCCCAUUCUGCCUAUUAUUAGGGCAAAGAAAUCACCACCUCAUUAGCUUUAUGGCAGGAUCAGACUUCAGAAAUGUAACUUAGAACAUACAUUUUUGGAAAGUUUGAGAAUCCUAGAUUUAUUUUUUCUCUAAUCUGAAAAAUUAAUGUUAACAAUAAUGUAAUUGAGACUAGAAAUAUGGAGUUUUGUAAUGGCUUUACUUAUUACAAGAUGUAUUUUGUUUUACAAUAAAAUGAUGAAGGACUUAGAGGGAAGCCAAUUGGCAUUUCCUUACAAAGCUAAUCCAUAUAAAUUUUAUUCGAGAGUAAUUUUCUAUAUACAAAUAUUUUUAUACAUCUAUGUAUGCUGUUUUGCAAAUGAUUUUACUUAGUAUAUAUUUUCUCUUUUCUUAUCAAAAUAAAAAUGUUGACAUAGUUAUUAAUGAUAGAGAGUUGGGUUAUUGUAUAGAAAUUAAUGCUGAAAACUUUUCAAAUGUGAAAGGCGCUUUUUGUUGUUUCUGAAUUGUGAAUAAUCCAUUAUUAGUGUUUAUUGCACAGGCACAAUCAAAAAUUGUUUCACAGGAAAUACACUCAAUUGAUCUUGAUCCAUCUUGCUCAUACCAAUUGGCAUUCCACCUUGAUGAUGGCUGGUAAGUUGUGAAAUGAAUGUGUUUUCUUUGACUUAUAUAUAUGUGUAUGUAUGUAUGUAUGUAUUCUGAACACAUUUGUUCAUAUCUUAACACUGCAUCAUGCUUUGCUAAAUUAACACGUAAUUUUCUUAGCAGUUUUAAAAUUCAACACAUCAUUUACAAUGAAUUAUACAAUUAAAAGACAAUGUAUUGCUACAGGCUGACUCACUACUAGGAUUUGGAAAUCAAAGUACGUUAUAAAAGACUACCUGAAUUAGUGAAUUGUAGAGGUUAAUGCUACCCAACAAGAAAUCAUAUAUUUGCUAGAAUCUUUCUGCAAUUCUGAGGUUUUAGAAUUCUCUUUUUCUUCAGCUUGUUGAAACAUAAAAGAACAUGUUGAUCCAGAAUGAGCUAUAGAGGAUGGUAAAAAUUGAUUGCUCCCUGUGGCUGGAGAAUAUCGAACUAGGAAAUUAUUCAUAAUUUUUUGUUGGCGUGUCAAGCAUUUCUGACUUAUUUAGCAAUCAGGCACACAUUUAGUUCUUGUUUUGAACUGUUUUUUCAAACUCUUGAAACACUUGCUGACAACUUCGACAUUCUUCGUAAUCUAACAUUUUGACUAUGUCAUGCCAGUGAUAAAGGUGGAGAGACAAAUUGGCAUUAUCUUAUACCGUCUCUUUUUCAUAGCCAGUAUAAUCAUGCAAUACUCUAACUUCGUGAUGUUUCAAAAUUUGAUUGUUCAUAUGUACAAGUCUUAAAUUUUGCCCUAUGAAAGUUAUGAUUAACUUUCAAUGUUUGACAUGUUUAUCAAAGGUUCUGCUUGUUUCUUAUUUAUAUAAUUAGAUUUAUCACAGUGGUUGACUUAAGUUGUUAGCAAAUGAUAAUAUGAGAUGAUAUGUUUCUAUCAUAAUUCAUAUGCUUCAUUUUAAUUAAAAUCUCCCUUACUUAUUUUCCAUGUGAUGCAGGUCUGGCGUUUUGGAUGUUUACAAUUCUCGAGUUAGCCAUGUUCAUUGCCCACCUCCAGCUUGGUUGUAAGUAGAAUUCAAUAAUGUUUAGGAUUGCCAUAUUUUUUCUGUAAUCAUUGGCAACUUUAAUAAUUGUGUAAUUACUGUCCUCGUCUUUUUGGAGUAAUUAGGAGUGAUUCCAACAAUUCAGCUGAUCAAUUACACUUGCGAAAGCCAUCAUGGUUGUCAACAAAUUCUGUAAGUUUUUUAUUUUAUUUUAUUAAUGAUUAUUAUCAUUGAUUUACCUUUUCCUCUGGGGAUAUGUUUAUGUAUGGUAUGGGCAUGUGUUUUACAUGGUGGUUGAGCACAGAAUUUGCAAAGAAGUAAUUUGCAAAGAAGUAUGGUUAGCUUCAAGCUUAAUUACAAAGAUUUUAUAGGACAUUGCAUAUCUUAACAUUUCUCGUCAUUGGUAAGUAACUAGUGUAAUGUCUCCAUGAAGAGAAUGAAAUACUCAUUUCUGGUUAUUAGCUGAUUUUUAUUUAAGCUCAGCUCAAAUCUCUUUUUUGUUUGUAUUGAAAUCAAGCAUGAAAUUGAACGCUAUAGAUUUUGAUAUAUCUAUAUAACUGGCAUACCAUAAACUAUUAUAAAUGUACAUCACUUCACCUCAAUUUCAAGUUCAAAUGACUUGAUAUCUGAUCAUGUCUUUUUGUGCUGAGCUUGCUCAUUUUUAUCACAUACAUGUUAUCUGAUCUCAACUUUAUGCCCUCUUGAGGUCUAAUCUUUCUUUUCAUUUCAAGCUGGGCUUUGAAAGCCUAUUUAGUCAUCUUGACUCUGCUCAUCGUCACCGCUAUUUUCUCAUGUGGGAAAGAGUCAGUUUAAUUUCUUUAUUAAUAAAGCAUUUUUAACUAGAAGAACAGCAUUUCUCUUGCCAAUUUGAGGUGAAGCAUGGAAACAAUUUUUUCAUUAAUUGUACACUUUGGUUGGAAACUUAGUUUUGUAAUUUUGCCUUUCGUGUUUGAAGGCAAGUCAUAUUCCAAAGUUUUCUCGCUUUAGGUUUCGUCAAAAAUUUACAAUUCUAGCCAUUUUUAUAAUUCCACUGGAAAAUGUGCUUCGGCACCUCCCUUCAACCAAUUAUAACUUUGUUGCCUUCGAAUGCAGAUCUAUGCGGUUGGAUCAUCAUCUGACCAUGGCAUUCAUCUUUUAGACUUCUUCCCAGGCUCCAGCUCUCCCAGCCACGUGGACUACAAGUAAGAAACUAUGUCAAAUAGCUAACUUAUGUUAUGUGGCAAAAAUACUUCCCAGGGAUUGACGACCUGAUUUUAAUCCUGCAUGGAUAAGAAUACCCAGAAAAAAAAUGUUCUCAUUUUUCUUAUUGCUUGUAUCCUUCUUUCUAGUGAGGAUAUAGAGAGCCUUUCUGAGAGAACAAAGCUCAAGAAGGAAAAUAGAUUUGUUCCACUAUCAGAAGGUGUUACUGCAUGUGUCACUCAUCCUCUCAAUAAUACCAUCGUGGCUGGAACAAAGGUUUGUGGUUUUGUAGAAUCUACUUUGAUAAUAUUUCGUCCAGGAUAACAGAAAUGCCAUUGUUGAACUCCUUACGCAACUUCCUUAAAAUUUUAUGAACUGCCAUUUAGAUUUCACUAGUGGCCAAGCACACCAUAACAAUACAGAAAAAGGCUUGCUCACUUUAUACUUGCUUAGCAAAAAUAUUGUUGCAUGUGGUAGUGAAUGUCAAGCUCCAAACGAUAUGAGUAAUUUACCCUUCUGUUUGACGAUGAAUAUUAUCGUUAGGGUUAUGCUAUGAAAUUUCUACAGAAAGAUUGUUUUCACGAUAAUGGGUCUUUGAACAAAAGUUUAGGCUUCUGUUUCAAGCAUGAACAUAUCACUUUUCUUUAAUAUUUUGUUUGCAGAAUUCAUCUUUGCUGGUCGUAUCCCAGAAACAACAGUGCACCAGUGAUUCAAUGCUAGAGCAAUGAAGAAGCUGGAGAGCAUAGAUCCUAUAUUUCCCAAAAUAAACAGCUUACUAGAAGUCUAGAAACUAACUGCAGAAGCACUUGAAUCUCAAAACGGUUUACCAUUAUUUUGGAGGCAACCAAACAACAACAUAGCUUAAUAGUUUGGAGCUGCUGGUUAUGGAUGUUAUCAGUUUUAGGAGACCAAGCGCUGCUUAAGAGUUACAAAUUGUAAAUAGAGCUGAAAUUAGAGUGAAACAAUGGCCUCUUGCUGUGUUGUCAAGUAACUUUUAAGUAUGCUAAUGACAAACUUAAGUACGCGUUAACCAUAAAUGCAGGUAAGAACACGAUCUUGAAUGAGUUGAUUUGUUUUAACUAGUACACCCAUGGACCGUAAUGCGGAAUCUGGAUUUUAUUUGCCAUCUAUUCAAAUGAAAAUUUAUUCUCCGGUCCAAACCGGGUUCACAAAAUUCGGAAAUGUUUUUUGGCCCUAUGUACUAAAAAAGCAUUAAAGAGGCAAGUUUAGAAGAAAUGAUUUUGGAGGGAAUAAAGAGUAAACCGAAAAAAUAUAGUGUCAUUAUGAUUUAUGAGGGGUAAAAAUUUAAAAAAAAAAAAAAGAAAGAGAGAGAGAGGUGAUUGUCUGUUGGAAUCACUAAUGGAAAAAUGCUAUAGUUCCGCGCAAGAAUCUGUAUCUGAAAACCCUGAAAAGUGCAUGUUAAGGAAAAAUAAAAUUUAAUCUAUUUACCUGGUAUGAGAGAGAUAUUAGGGGCUGGAACAGAGAAGAGGGGAGGAGUGUAUAGUUUGAUUGAAUGUCGAGAAUGGUAAUGAGUGAGUGGAAUCAUUUUGUCCAUGUGGAAAGUGAAGUUGAUGAGAAUGCAAAUUACUCUCUCUCUCUAAUCCUUCCUACCAAGGACCCUGAAGAGGAAGCUUUCCUUUGCCUUUUAGAUCUCUCCUACAUUUAUGUUGCUCCAUUUUUGGGAUGACUUAUUUGUUUAUAAAUGAUAAAUUUGAGAUGAUAUGUUUCUGUCAAAUGCUUCUGAUUAAAUCUUCUUGCUUUCCUCAUUUUCCAUGUGCAGGUCUGGUGCCUUUGAUGUUUACAAUUCUCGAGUUACCCACAUUCAUUGUCUUCCGCCGGCUCCUCUGGCUUGGCUGCAAGUAGAAUUUGAACGUUCAGAAUUACCACAAUUUUGCUAGAACCAUGGGCAUCUUGUUUAAUGCUUGUGUAACUACUUCCUUGUCCCUUUGGAGUAAUUAGGAACCUUCCAACAAUCCAUCCAAUUGCGAAAACCAUCGUGGUUAUCAACAAAUUCUGUAAGUAAUUUAUCGUUGAUAUCAUCUUUUUCACUGGUAACAUGUUUAUGCUAUGGUGUGGGCAUGUGUAUCACAUGGCUGUUGAGCAUAUAAUUUUCAAAGAUAUUAUAUGUGGCAACUAAUUAGUGUAAUGCCUCCAUGUAGAGAAUUUAUUACCUGAUUUUAUUUAAAGCUCAUCUCAGACCUCUUGUCCGCUGGAAAACAUGCUUGAGUGUCUUCCUUCAGUCAAAUAUGACUUUGAUGUCUUCUCAUGCAGAUUUAUGUGGUGGGAUCAUCAUCUGACCAUGGCAUUCAUCUUUUAGACUUCUACCCGGGCUCCAGCUCUCUCAGCCUUGUGGACUAGAAGUAAGAAACUACCUGAAAUGGCUAACUUACUUUAUGUGGAAAUAAGGCUUUCUAGGGAUUGAUAGGAUUGAUAUCGCCAUGAUCCUGCAUAAACAAGAACACCCAGAAAAAGAGGAUAGAUAAGAAAUGUCAUAUGUAUAUAAUUUCCUGUGUUUUGCUCAUGUUUUCAAAUGCUCCCCAGUCUUGAAGUUCUUUUUCUUAUUGAGGAGUAUCAGCGAGCAGGUGCUUUGAGUCUUUGUCUCUCUUUGACAGCGUCUGUGUUCACAUUUUUCUUGUUGCUUGUAUCCUUCCAGUGAGGAUAUACAGACCCUUUCUGAGAUAAAAAAACACAAGAAGCAAAAUAGAUUUGUUCCACUAUCAGAAGGUGUUACUGCAUGUGUCAGCCAUCCUUUCAACAGUACCAUCGUAGUUAGAACAAAGGUUUGUGGUUUUGUAGCAUCUGCUUUGAUAAUAUUUCUUCCACGAUAGCAGAUAUGGCAUUUUUGAACCUCCUUCAGAAAAACUGCCGUUCAGAUUUCACUAAUGACCAAGUGCCAUCAUAACAAUACACAAAAGGCAUACUUGUUUAACAAAAACGUAGUUGCAUGCGGUAAUAAAUGUUGAGUUCCAAUUGAUAUAAGUGAUUUAUUCUUUUAUUUAAUGAUGAACAUUAUCUAUUGGUUAUGCUAUGAAAUUUAUGCAGAAAGAAGGAUCAUUGACACCUAAAAGAGAGUUAAAGACAAGACAUUAAAGAAAAGUGAUAGCCUAAACUUUUGUGACUGCAUUUCUGUUGGUUGCAGAAUUCAUCUUUGUUGGAGGUAACCCAAAAGCAACAGUGCACCAGUGAUUCAAUGCUGGAAUGGAACAAUGAAGAAGCUGGAGAAGUGAUCCUAUGGUUUCCAAAAUAUACAGGCAGAAAGGAAACUAAAUAUUUAUAAGUACCUGAAUCUUGGAUUGAGCUUACACUAGAAGGUUUACCACAUUUUUUGGAGAAUUACUGGUUGUAGAUUUUGUCGAUCCAUGUCAGUUUUAGGAGCACAAGCACUGCUUAGGGCAAUUGAAAAUAGAGCUGAAACCAGAGUGAAACAAUGUCCUCUGCCUUGUAGUAAAGUAUGUUGAGUAUCUGCUAAUGACAAACUCCUAAUUUAUUGACUGGCAACUGUAAAUUGUUUAACUCUAUUCUUUAUUUCCUUGUUUGAUGAUAUUAAUUAGCUUUAUCUCAGUUAAAAGACAGUGAUUGCUGCUUUAAGAAUGAAAACUUAUGUCAGCUGUAAAGAAAGAACAAAUAAGCUCUAAGAAAGUAAAGGGAAGAUAGAAAACUGAAGAGCAAAACUUCUUGCAUUCACUUGAUAGGUUUUCAAUAUUCAUUGUGCAUUUGCUUCAGUCAAUUAAGAAUUUACAACCACAACCGGAGCAUCCAAUUACAAAAUCAUCUGGAUACACAUUGACUUCCUCUAUUAUAUGUUGAUUAGGUCAUAAGAUAUUCAGCAGGAUUGAGAAGAGCUACAGCGCCUCGUUUGUGACUUGAGAAUUUUUUAUAAACUCCUAGCUUUUGCUCACUUUCCGCAGCUGCCAAGUGAAAGCUUACCAAGAGCUUUGCACAAUCCCUGUUACAUGGAAUAUAACAUGUGAAGUUAGAGCAUAUCACUUGUCUCAGUUACAAAUUAGAGCCAUGAGCAAAUACCAUGCUACAUGAGCUUACUGAUAUGCGCCACUUAACACCAGAAAUCAGUAACCAAAUAUAAAGGAUACUACAGUAAGAAGAAUUACAGAUAAUAAUGGAAAGGGGACAUUACUUUAGUUGCUCUUCACUGUAGCCUGUGUGGUGCUUCAAAGUCUCAGUCCAAAGAGGGCUCUUGUUAAGGGUGCAAUGUGCAGCGUAUACAGAUGCGGCAGCAAGCAUGGACGGGCAGUAACAAAUGACAGUGGGAUAAUGGCUGAUACCUAGUUCGGCUAGGAAAAAUACCAGAUUCUCCAUCUAUGUUGGACAGAAAUGUCAAUCAUUUAGUUUGAGUUAUUGCACUAUAAUCAAAACAAGACCAAGAUAUUUGCAGCACCUCCUGAUCAGGUGAGACAGAAGCCUUGACAUAUCGAACUAGGAACACAUAAGGCGUAGGAACUGUUAAAUACCACCCCAAUUUCUCCAAAAUUGCUUUCUCCAUGACAAGUACCUGUGAUCCAAUGUAAGCAUAGUCUGAUAUGCAAAUGAAGUCAUUAACCUGCAAAAUCAAAGCCAAUCAAUGAGAAUUUCUAAAUACUUUGAAACUAGUAGAAACAACUUAAAGAAACAAAAGAAGGAAGAGAAAAGAACUAGUAGAAACAAAAGAAAUUUUGAAAGAUACCUGUGGAGCCCAUAUUUCUUCAUACUUGCAUGCAAUGAGCAUUGAGCUAAUGCCAACUAGCUGAAGCUCCCUCCUGUUCACAGUUUUCAUGGAAAGAUAGCGAUCGAGUAUGUUUACAGUAAGAUACAGGGUUUCAGGCAUUAGUUUAAACUUGUUAUGAACUUCUAUCAGCCAGUCAACAAGGAUAGUUCUCAUCUUAGCAUUGAUAUUUGCCUGUGAGACCAUGUAAUCGUGCACUCGACCCUCUUCCUGCAUAAAAGUUUCCCAUUAUAAGAAAGAGGCCGGAACUACUGCUGAGAGUGAAAAGUAUAAAAGGAACAUUACUUCUGUGAGCUUGUAGAACAUGUAGAUAUCAUCAACAUAUUCAACAACUGCCAAAUCGUCAUUAACAUCUGGUGCAUCAAUGUUUACUAUCAAAUCCUUUGGCUUGUCAGUGAUUCCACAAGCAGCCUAAUACAAAUAAAUUUGGAAAAGACAAAGAUAAAUAUCUUAUUGAAGAAUCUUCAUAAUCAACAAAAUAACCCAAGAAGAACAUCAUCAAAACCACCUUGCUUCUAGCAGUGAGAACUGAAGUGAAUGUCCUGUCAUUCCUCCUCAGGGACCUUUCCUUUGAGCUCUGCUCCCCAACAGGUUUAAUUUUUUCGUUUUUAGCUUCUACUUCUUUAACGUUCUCUUCUUCAUCAGAGCUUAUCACAACUAAGUCAUUGUUGGCAAUUUCAGAUGCCUUUUUUUGAGGUUCUGCUGGCUUCUUUACAAUUCUACCUUUUUUGGUGGCUGCAGCUACAAUAUCAUCAACCACUACGAGCUGCAAAAAAAAAAAGCAUCCGGUCCAUAAAAUGGUCCAAUUAUUAAUGCCUCCAAUUACCAAGAUUCUAAAGAUAAAAAAGUUUAAUAUAACUAUAAAUAGCUGCAUAUUACUACCUUGUUCUUGUCUGCUGCUGCUUGCAGUUGUGCACAAAAACUCCUUGUCAUGGGGCGAGAGAUCUUCCCCUCCACAACUGGAAGCGUCUCCAUAUUGCCAAUAUCACAAAGAACUCGUCGAUUCUGACCUUGUGCUGGCUCAUUCUUCAUCUUUCCUCUUCCUAGAAGGCAAAAACAAAAUAAAAAGAGAAGAUUUUUAAACAACAUUCCACUGAAAUGAGACCUAAGAAAAAAAAAUGCAAAGAAAAAGAUAUAAUCUGGUUUUAGAAACAUAAUGUGAUCAAAAUAAUCCCAGAUGCUCUAGUAAAUGUCAGAAUUCAGAGAAACUUCCAUAAUUUGGAAAUUGACGAACAAAGAAUCAUUUAAAAAAGAAACAGGAUGAUAAUCUUAAGAACAAUACCCAAAUCUUUGGAAUUAAACAAGCAAUAAUUAAAAAAUCAAUUUUUUUAAUAAAAUCUACGUAAAAAAAUUUACACUGAGAGAGAGAAUGAAAAUUGAUAUUAGAACAAGCAAUAAACCCCUAGAACCCUAAUGAAUGAUACACGCUAAAGCAAACAAAAGCAGACGAAAAUAUUAUCAACCAUCAUUUAAUAAAACAAAACAACUGGGGAUCAAAAAGAAAUAGUACCCAGAAACACAUCAAUGCCCAUUAAUGAAAAGUAAAAUCCCUAAACUGAAUCAAAAUAUAACGAAUCACUUACCCAUAAAAUCCAAACAAAUAUAGUAUCAAGCAAAAAUAAUGCCUUUGGGUACCAUUAAAGAAUCAAAAGAGAAAAAUCAUACCCAUUAAAGGAGGAGGGGACGCACAAGUAAUUAAUGAAGAAAAUAAAUUGAGACUAGGAGAAGAAAUUAAUUAACCUUUGGGUUGCCUUGCAAUAACAGCAUUGGCUUCCAUUUUCAAUUCUUGGUCACAAUUUCCACACACUGUUACUCUGCUAAGUCUGGUAAAGAAUGAGGGUUUUUAACUUAAGAUGAUGGCUUGUUAAUGAAUUAAAACAACUUAGCCUUUUGAAAAAAAAAAACUAACGGUCAUAUUUUCAAUUUUCGAAUCGCCGCCGUUUGAUGAGUGCUUGCCAAAAUAAUCACACGGCUAAUAUCGCUUUUAACCAGCCAUGGGCCCCCAGCCCAGUUAGCCCGCCCAAUCCACUUUAGUGAAUAGUGAUAGUUAUUCAAGCAAUCAAGUUUUUUUUUUUUGGGCAAGUUUGAUAUUCAAUUCCAAACUAUAACAAUAAUUUAUAAAAACAUAAUCUUCAAAUUUCAGAAUUAGAACUGUGAAGAGGCAUGAUUGGGUGUUGAGAAGUUUUGUUAUCUUUUGUGUAAUUUUGAUCUUCAGAAUUUUUAACUAUUUGUAAUUUUUUAUUGAUUGAAUUCCUUUUUAUCUUUUUUAAAAUACUGUUUUUUAGGAUCGGUUCGAUAUCAUUUUGUGGAAUUUAUUUUUAUUUUCAUUUCGAAAUACAAAUAUAGUACAUGGUCAGCGCACUGUAUUGAAAAAAUAAAUUGUUAAAUAAAUAAUCACUACAUGCUGUCCCAAAGUAAUUAAUUAAUGAUAAUUAUGGAUAUUUCUAUAAUAAUAAUUUAAUUAGGAAUUAAUAACAAUGUACCUUACUCUUCUUAAUUUGUCAUUAGUUUAAAAAUAUAUAAUAUAGGCCUCAUCACCUGCAUAGCUCCCUGAUAUAAUAUCUAACUUACAUAUAAUAUCUAAUAUUUUUAUUUUAUACGGUUAAUAAUAUAACUUAGGUGUGCGAAUGCCAUCACAAGCUCGGGUAUCCCUCCGCCAUAUUUUGCUAAAAUUCAUUCUGAAACACUAAAUAAUCGAACAGGGCCCCACCCAAAAAUUACGUUCCUCCUGUUACUAAUAAGGCCCCAUUUUAUUUAUCAAAAAGGCCCUUCAUUUUAUAAAUAAUAAAAAUAUUAAUAAAAAAGGGGUAAUUUUUAAAAACCUCCCCUGAGGUUUGGACUUGUUGCAAGUAGAUGGCGAGAAUCUAUUUAUUUGUAAAAAAUCCCAUACCGUCAGUUAAUUUUAACAUUGACCGUUAGUUGACUGUGCAAAGACAAUAUUACCCUUAACAAUAGUUUGUAGACUGACAUAACUAAAAAAAAAACUAAAAUUAUUGGCUAUUUUACCCUCUUUAAAUUAUUGAUAUUUCCUUAAAGUUCCUACAAGAAAGAUAAAAUUAAAAACUUGAAAAUGAAAUAGUCAUAAUCUUUACCUAUGAUAUUGUAAAUCUUUGGAAUUUACAAGGAUAAAAUUGUCAAAAAAUAGGAUUUGUGCUUUUCGCGCCAAUAAUUUUAGUUUUUUUUUUUAGUUACGUCAGUCUACAAACUGUUGUUAAGGGUAAUAUUGUCUUUAUACAGUCAACUAACGGUCAAUGUUAAAAUUAACUGACGGUAGGGAGUUUUUUACAAAUAAAUAGAUUCUCGCCAUCUACUUGCAACAAACCCAAACCUCAGGAGAGGUUUUUAAAAAUUACCCAUAAAAAAAGUUAUAUAUGUCAUAGCUUAUUCUAUUAUCAUGCAUAAUUAUUCAAAAAAAUUAAAAAUUGAUACCUGAAAUCUAAUAAAAACGUUGCAUCUCAUAAUACAGGAAGGAGAAGCUUAAAAUAAUUUUUUAAUAUAAUUUUAAUGGUAAUUAUAAAAAAGUAUAACUUAUAUUUUUUAGCCUACGACCUUAAUUUUCCUAGGCCUUAUUAUGGUCUACGAAAACAAGUUGUUAAAAAUGCUUGUUUUAUGAUAUGAAAAAAAUUGAAUCAAAUCGACCGGUUCUUAAACCUCCACAUCAAAAGUUUGAGUUUAAUUGCGCUACUAUUUAAAUUGAAUAAUAAUAGAAUUUUCAAAGAAUAUUUUAAUAUUUUUAUCUGACGUGUUGAACUGGCAUUUAUUUAUGAGUGAUGAUACAACUAUAAAUUUUUAUAUAAAUUUAUUUUAUACAAACUGACGUGGCGUUAAUUCAUUAAUUGAAUAAAAAUAUAAAAUAAUAAAAAUAAAUUAUGUGGGCCAAAUGACAUUUAAUUCAACCAAUUUUAUCAUGCCACGCGAUUACUCAGGUAACAAUUUUCAGUACUUGCCCUGCUGUACGGCCAAGGCGGAUGUACGGUACAGCAGUUAAAAUUUUCACUUAAAAAUUAUUUAUGUUAAUAAAGUUCGUAAAGGAAAUGAGUUUAAUUAAUGAAUAUUAUAGGAGAAAUUAAAGGAAACGAGUUUAAUUAAAGAAUAUUAUAGGAGAAAUUCUAUUGUUUGGUUUUUAAUAAAUUAAUUAAUAGGUUUAAAAAAAUUAAUAUACAUCAAAAUAUUAUUAGUUGGUGGUGGUUCCACAUCGGACUAAGACGUGGCACCUUACUUGUGAGAUUAAGACAAUCGGCUUAGACUAUUUAAAUAUGUUUGAAGCUUAGAUGGCACCGCUUCAAUUUGCAUUAAUGAAUGUCAUUCUUUAUCCUAAUUACUACCGUAAUUGAUAACAUGCAAUUGAAAUAACUAAUAUUAGCACUUGGCUAUAAAUGAACUAAAGGCCGUGCAAUUGAAUCCUUACUUGAUCACUUCAUUCCUUUAUUUUGCUAACACGUCUGUUUAUAAGAUUAACAGGUGCCAGCUAUUCCAUUACAAAUUCUCCCCUUCAUCAUACAUUUUGUUAAAAUUCAUUCUGAAACACUAAAACUAAAUAAUCGAAUAUGGGUUUGCGGGUCAAUGAUGCCAGAAGCAAUGAGAGUGCAAUUAUCACUUGUUUAGUUUCUGUGCUUGCCGUGGUUUACUUCGCAUGGAAUGUGAAAAAAUCAAGGAAAGCAAAUGCUAAACUUCCACCAGGACCUCGCGGCUUGCCUGUAGUCGGAUACCUCCCAUUUCUCGGAACUACUGACUUGCACAAGAAAUUCACGGAAUUAUCCGGAGUUUAUGGUCCGAUCUUCAAGCUCUGGCUCGGAAAUAAAUUAUGUGUAGUGGUGAGCUCACCUUCCCUAGUUAAACAAGUGGUUCGUGAUCAAGAUACAACAUUCGCAUACCGUGACCCGCCGAUCGCUGGACUAGUGGCCACCUUUGGUGGCAAUGAUAUUGCAUGGUCCAAUUACGGUCCCGAAUGGAGAAAGUUGCGCAAAUUUUUUGUGGGCAAGAUGAUGAGUAACGCAAGCCUUGAUGCUUGUUAUGCUCUAAGAAAACAAGAGGUUAAAAAUACUAUCAGGGAUUUGUAUAACAACAACAACAAAAUUUGCAAGCCCAUUGACAUUGGUGAAUUGUCGAUUUCAACACUGGUAUGUGCUAUGCAGAACAUGCUGUGGGGUGAAGCGCUUGAAUUAAAAGAGAAAGGGACCACUAUUCUUGGGGUUGAGCUAAAAUUUAAGCUUGCAGAACUCAUGGUGCUACUGGGAACACCGAAUAUUUCGGAUAUCUUUCCAAUGCUUUCAUGGCUCGACAUACAAGGUAUAGAGAGGAGAGCAAAGAAGAUUUCACUCUGGUUUGAAAAUAUUAUAAAUUCUACUGUUGAAAAGUAUAGAAGCAAGGACUUUAAUGUUGAAGGUAAAGAAAGAGCAGGGGAAAAUUUUGAAGGAUCAAGGAACAAGAACUUCUUGCAGUUACUAUUGGAGCUUCAAGAAAAUGAAGACGGUUCUUCCUCAAUUAGCAUGAACCAAUUUAAGGGCGUGCUCGCGGUAUGUUAAGCAACUAGCCACGAACAGUUGUAUAUUUGCAUGAGUGACGCUUUUCAACUUUUUUUAAUUUUUUAAAUUAAAGUUUUAUUGUAAUCUUUUGAACAGGAUAUAAUUACGGGUGGAACCGACACCACAACUACGAUGGUGGAAUGGACAAUGGCAGAGUUGAUGCAGCAUCCACAAGUAAUGAAGAAAGUUCAGGAAGAAUUAGCUCAAGUUGUGGGCAUGGACAGUUGUGUUGAAGAAUUUCAUUUGCCUAAAUUGAAAUAUUUAGAUGCUGUGGUGAAAGAAUCGUUUCGUCUGCAUCCUGCAUUGCCUUUAUUAGUACCACGCAGAGCAAGUGAGAGUGGCAGCAUUGGUGGCUAUACCAUUCCCAAAGAUACAACUCUUAUGUUGAAUGUUUGGGCUAUCCACAGGGACCCUCAACUUUGGGAUAAUCCCUUAGAAUUUCGACCCGAGAGGUUUCUGAAUGUUGGUGUCGAGAGUAAGUUCGAUUACUCAGGUAACAAUUUUCAGUACUUGCCAUUUGGUUCUGGUAGAAGGAUGUGUGCUGGGAUUCCUCUAGCUGAGAGGAUGCUGAUGUUUGUUCUGGCUUCGUUAUUGCACUCAUUUGAGUGGGAAUUGCCAGCUGGCACAAAGCUAAACUUAUCUGAAAAAUUUGGGAUUGUCAUUAAGAAAAAAGAGCCUAGUGAUUUCACUUUCACAUUUUUUUUUAUCUGCUGUACGGCCAAGGCGGAUGUACGGUACAGCAGACAAAAUGAUUGUGAUGAUUUUGUGAGUAUCGGAAGAUUUGUAUGUUAUUUCAAGUUCAAUCGUAAUAAAAUAUUUCAAUAAAAGUCCUCCGUUGCUAAUUUUUUUUUCAACGGCAUAAUCUGUCAUCAUGCUUGUGUUUGGAGCUACUUUGAAAUAAUUUUUGAAUUACAAUUUAUAAAUAUUUACAUUUUAAAAUUUUAUGAGAGUCUAAAUCUAUACACGUUCAAUAAAAAAUUUCCUAAAAGUUUUAGGAUUCAAAAUUCUAUUAAAGUAUAGAUGAAACUUUUAUACCUCCUAAUUUUUUGGUCUAUUCUACGAGUUUAAAGAGGAGAUAUUUCUAGAGCUAGUAAAAAGAGUUACCUGAUUGUUUUCGCGUUAUGUCAUUUUUUUAUUGUGUUAAAUUUAAUUUGACUCAAAUAUGACCCAUUUAAUAAUCGUGUCAAAAUAUUAAAACUUAAACUUGACACGGAAAAUAACUGGGUGACCGAAAAACCCAUUUAAUGAUUAGGUAACUAUGUCACUUAAUACGACAUAACCCAAUAACUCGUUUAAUACAUAUUUAACAUAAUUUACAUUGUACAUUGUACAUUGUACACCAUUUUGUCAUAAAUUACACUAUUUUAUAUUUCUAAAUAAUAUUAUAUAUUGAUAUUGUAUAAAAAAAAAUCAAUAAUCUCAAAAUUUGUACACCUCCUAACUUUUAAAAAUAAAUAAAAAACUAAUUAAUUAAUGUUUAUUUUAUUCAUUAAUAUAUCAUAAUCCUACAUGUGUUUUAUUUGUUAUUUUUUUUAUUUAAAAAGAUAGGUAGGUGGAUGAAACUCAAAUAAAUUUUUAGCCUAUCUUGAUCUUUCAAGUUUCUUAUUUAGGUGGCCAGCUAAAGAAAAUUACUUAAAAACUACUCCAUCAAUUUAACAAAUUUUAUUUAUUUAUUUAAUGGAGGUGUAGAAAAUAAAAGUAUCUUCAAGCACAUUGCAAUAGUGAAAGCAAUGUACCGGUGUUGCAACAUAAAUGAACCUUGAUAACCUAUCACAUAUUUUAAGUUUUAACAUUGGUAGUUCACGGAUCAGUUUCUACUUCCACGAACAAUUAUUGAAGGAAAUGAGUUUUUUUUUUUUUAAUGAAUAUUUAUAGACCCCGAUUAAAUAUUCGAAUAUAUAAUAAAAGAGAAACUGACAUAGAAAUGAGAAAGAUAUUUGGAGGAGGCAAAAAAAAAAAAAAAAUGCAACAGACAAUUAGAUCAGCAACACAAUUAACUAAUUAAUUCAUCUAUACAUCAUAAUCCUAUUUGUAUCUUCUUCCUUCUUCUAAUUUACAUAUAAAUUUGGUUAGAUAAAACAUAUUUUAAUACUCGGUCACAAUCGGUGGAUAUAGAAAAUUAAUUUAGAGGGGGUAAUACCAUAACGAAAAAUAAUGAUUCAUAAUUAAAAUCAACCCCAACAUCAAAACUUAUUUACAAGAUCACCCCCAGUCAAAGGUAAUUUUUCCUAAAAACUAACACGAAAUUAAAUAAAUUUAACUUUUAGUGGGUUCAAUUGCCCACGCAUUCUGAACGUAGAUCCACCCCUGGCCCCGACUGAAGCAUUUUUUACAAUAUGUACUCUGUUUAUCAGCGGGAACAGCCUUCCACCUUAAAUUAAAAUUUUCACUUAAAAAUGAUUAAGGUUAAUGAGGUUAGUAACAAAAAUGAGUUUAAUUAGAGAAUAUUAUAAGAGAAAUUCUAUUUUUUGACUUUUAAUAAAUUAAGAUAUAUUAAAAUAUUAUUAGUUGGUGGUGGUUUCACGUCAAAUUAAGACGUGACACCUUACUUAUGAGGUGGAGACAAUCGGCUUAAACUAUUUUAACGCAUUUGAAAUUUGCACUAAUGGCUAUCAUUCUUUGUCCAAAUUAAUACGAUAAUUAAUAACAUACAAAAGUCAAGAAAAUGAAAAUUUAUCCCAAUUAAAACACUUUCUGGCUGCAUUUGGCUGUUUCCAUUUGAAGUUAAAAACGACAACGUUUCUUUCGUUUUGUGGGCGAUUCGAUUGAGCAGGCGCCACUAGCUAGCUGGCUUCCAGUGCUAGUGUGUGACGAUAGAAGGCUAGUGAUUUCACUUUCACAUUUUUUUUUAUUAUUUUUUUUGGGGAAUCAAGAUAAAAGUCAAGAAAAUGAAAAUUGGGCUGUUUCCAUUUGAAGUUAAAAACAGCGUUUCUUUCGGGGCGUCAAUUUGAUAUUUGAAUGGACAGGCAAGUAAGAAAUACAUUUCCUUCAUAGACAGUGACAACGAGGACAUCAAGCCACAUCAUUAUAGUUUGUAGCCCAUCUACAUUUAAACGAUUAAUAAACAAGAUUAGGUGUGCCACUGCUAUUAUUAAUUAUCCCCUGAUCAUUAUAGUUUCUGAAACAGUAAAACAAAACGAAAUUGAAUACAUCAACGAGACCGCAAUUAUCACUUGUUUAGUUGCGGUAUUUAACUUAAUUUUAAUAUAAUAUAUUUGUUAGUUAAACUUUUAAUAAUCAAAUAAUUUUGAUUUAAAAAUAAAAUUAUAGAAAUUAUUAAUUAUUAAAAAUUCACAAUUAAGGGAACGUUCAUCAAACACACAUAGCUAUUGUUUUCUCUAUAUAUUGCAGUGUGUACGAUAUUGAGGGUUGAAGCCCCAAGCAUGCUCUAAAAUCCAGAUAAUAAUUAGAUCCAUGCAAAAUAUUCAUCGUUGUAUCAGCUGAUCAGUUGGUGGUGAUGAAGGGUGUUAUUGGCGGAGCUCAAAGUUAUUAUGUGCAUGUUGGGUGGAUAUCUCUAUUGAAAAUAUCUCUGAUAUUUCACUCGACAAACUUGUUAAUAUAAAAAAAUCUAUGGUUUUGCCGUCUGCAUACUGUAGAAAAUUUUGUCUCUACGUUAAUCUAAAUGUUUGAGGUGAUUAGAAAUUGCCUACUAUAUAUAAAGGGAAAUAAUUUCUAGGUUGAUUGAUACAUCUCUAUUGAAAAUAUCUCUGACAUUUCACUCGACAAACUUAUUAAUAUAAAAAAUCUGUGGUUUUGCCGACUGAAUAAUGUAGAAAAAUUUGUCUAUGCAUUAAUCUAGAUGUUUGAGGUGAUUUAUACAUCUGUGGUAAAGAUUUAUAGGUUGACUUAUACGUCUGUGGUAUAGAUUUUAUGUAUUUCAUUACAAAAUGCUGGCCGUUAGAACCCUUUCUACAUCUAUUUAUAAGAUUAACGGGUGCCAGCUAUGCCAUUACAAAUUAUCCCCUCAUCAGAUAUUUCGUUAAAAUUCAUUCUGAAACACUAAAACUAAAUAAUCGAACAUGGCUUUGCGGGUCGAUGAUGCCAGCAGCAAUGAGACUGCAAUUAUCACUUGUUUAGUUUCUGUGCUUGCCGUGGUUUACUUCGCAUGGAAUGUGAAAAAAUCAAGGAAAGCAAAUGCUACACUGCCACCAGGACCUCGCGGCUUGCCUGUAUUCGGAUACCUCCCAUUUCUUGGAACUACUGACUUGCACAAGAAAUUCACGGAAUUAUCCGGAGUUUAUGGUCCGAUCUUCAAGCUUUGGCUUGGAAAUAAAUUAUGUGUAGUGGUGAGCUCACCUUCCCUAAUUAGACAAGUGGUUCGUGAUCAAGAUACAACAUUCGCGAACCGUGACCCACCGAAGGCUGCACUAGUGGUCUCCUAUGGUGGCAAUGAUAUUGCAUGGUCCAAUUACGGUCCCGAAUGGAGAAAGUUGCGCAAAUUUUUUGUGGGCAAGAUGAUGAAUAACGAAAGCCUUGAUGCUUGUUAUGCUCUAAGAAAACAAGAGGUUAAAAAUACUAUCAGGGAUUUGUA
rnacentral:lncRNA from 1 species